UUUUUUUAAAUUAAAAUUUAGAUAGUUGUUUUCACAUUCUAAACUGUACAAUUGAAGCCACAUUGGCAAAUUUCAAUUUACAUUACACAUUGAUAUAAUUGUCAUUUACAUAUAAAGAACUUAAAUGCAUACAAGCUCAAUUAUAACAGUUUAGUACUUAAAUAACCUUGAUCAAACUAACUCCUAACAGUCAAAAAAUGUACUGCACAAAUUCUUAAAUUAACUAUACAAACAAAUAUAAUCCAAAAAGGAAAUGGAGACUAUAUUUUGUGCUUACAUAAGGUGGGAUUGGCACUUGGAACAUUUAUACCCAGCCAGCGAGCUCGCCCUUCAGAAACUGAAUCCUUAAUGCUCAGAAUUAUACACAUAGCAUGCUUUGCAAAGUAGUUCUUGUCUUGCAACUAGGCUUACCAAUGUGGUUCCUAUUAAAUCAAUAUUUAUUGGAGCCCGAUUAUCACCAUUUUCAUUGGUUGGCUGCAAAGAACAGAAACAAAAAAUUCAAAUCAAAGGUAAAGCUAAACAAAUUAGCUUUUAAAGUAAAGAAAAAAACGCAGAGCCUCAAAAAAUCCAAGUAUCACCAUUUUCACUCAUUAGCUCAAUCUCGAUUUUAUAUUUACGGCACUCUAUUUAAGACAUAAAACCAGAAAACUUCUUCAUUUGUUUGGGGUUUGACCACACUCACAAGGGUAGGGAGAAAAUUGGGUUGCCGUUAAGCUAAAUAAUAAUGACAAUAAAAUAAAUAAAAAAUAAAAAAGAAGUGUAGCACUACAUACUUCUUUCCCGUCAAAAUACAGCCACUGGAAUACAACCCAAUUUAGCAUUUUGAAUAAAACCAUGCAAGUCUUAGGAUCAAUAGCCUGAAGAACAAAACAAUGGAUUAAAUAAAAAAAAUACCAUUAGCGCCAUAAAUUAUAAUCUGCUGCAAGAUUUAAAUUAUAAUCUAUUAAAUUAAAGUAUUAAUUAGAACUCAAACAAAUUUAUUUAAGGAAAAAAAACUAGAGUUGUUCAUACGGCAGCCAGGAAAAUUUAGAGAAUUUAAUUGAAAAAGAUAUUAAUGCUUUAUAAGUAAGAAGAUUUCGAAAUUAAUUAAGCCACGCAUGAACAAAAAUCUAAUCAAAUAGUCAAAGAAGAGAUUAUGUGAUAAUUGGCCAAACCCAUGUAACUUUGAAGUUGAUUAAAUAGUAUAAAAAUUCACCCAAAAUGAAUUUAACACAUACAUGAUAAUUAGGCAAAUAUCUGACACCUGUAAAUUUAUACAUGAAUUUGAAUAGAUUAAACAAAAAUAAGAGAAGAAAUCAGCCAUUACAGUUUAGAAUUUGCUAGGUAGUAUCAACUUUAAUACCCAAAAACAGAUUAUGGAACGAACAUACAAAUUUUUUUUUUCAAAUAAGAAUCGGAACUUGAAACAAGCAUGGCAAAAGAGACUAAUUUCAAUGACAUAAUACCUAAAUAAACAGAAUUUUAAUCAUGCGUGCAAGUUAAUUUAGAAAUGACUUAACAACAUCAACAUGCAUGCCAAUUUAAACAAGAAUUUUGAAGAAAAAUAAAGAAUAAAAUGAACUGAGAAAGAAGGCUUACAAAUUCAAAAAGCCAGAUAUUUAAUAUUUUGCUCUGAAAUUGAAUUCUCUCUCUUUAAAUCCAAAUCCUUCACCUAGCCUCUCUUGUCUUUCUCUUCUUUCUCCCUCUUCUCCUCUCUCACGUCCUGUUAUCCUCUUGUUUCCUUUCUUCCUUUUUCUGUUUUGUUCCUUUUGAAUCCGAACACUGGUUUUUGUUUCGUAAAUAAAUAAAGAAAUGCUAAAAUAUAAAGAGGUUCAUGGGCUGGACUUGUAACAAAAAUUUUACUAACAAUAUAAUAAGCAUAAGACAAUUAAAUCAUUAAUAAUUUAAAUUUUAUUUUUUUAACAAAUAAGUAAACUCCACUUAGUAAAAAUCAGGGCGUUUCAGUCCUCUUUUCUGUCAAUGUGAUUUUCUAUCCCCUUACCCAUAAUUCACUCUUUUUCCAAAUUCAUUAACCAAGAAAAUCAAGAAACAAAAGGCCAAAGUGCACGACAUAUUUUAUAAUAUUAUGAAAGGAAAAGGAGAGACUAAGGUACAAGCUACACAACACAAAAUCACCAAAUCGAUUAUAAAUGAAGAGGAAAUAAAUCCGACGAGCAAAUAUUUCAAAGCAAAUUAAGAGGAAAGAAUUGCAAAAUUGGAGAAAGCAACUCACAGUGGUGAAACAAUAACCCUGAAUUCAAAAUUUUAGAAUAUCAUUGGCAACAAUCUCACCAACAUUUUCAAGAUAGCACCCAGAAAAUUUGAACUGACUUGACAGCGGAGGCAGUGUCACCACAAUAACCCUGCAUCUGACGGUGAACGAACACAGAGGCAAUGUCGGCAGAGAUGACAGCAGCUGUUUUGCGGAAGUGAAUCGGCUCAAGAAUGGCAGAGAUUGACAGCGGCGGCAGAAAAAGGAAGCAAAUCGGCUCAAGGACAGCUAGACUCAGCGCUGGAGCACUUGAAUCGAUUUGACAGCGGCAGCGGCAUUGACGUUUGAUAGCUUAGGUAGGGUUAGGGCUGGUGUGUGUGACUGAGUGAGUCGUUGUGAUUGUAAUUCGUGAAAAUUGAAGAAGAAGAUAAGGAAUGUGAGUGGUUAGGGAUUGCGCGUUACCUUUAUUCCUUUUAUCGGCUUUUUUUUUUAAAUUUUUUAAGGCAAAUAACAUAUAACGACGGUUAUUAUAAAACGGUCAUGAAAUGUAUUACAAACGAUUCUUUAUAUUCGAUGACGGUUAUUAAACACCGUCAUUAAAAAUAUUGUGGCUUUCUAAUGAUGGUUUUUAAACAAAACCGCCAUUAAAAGUAAAAUUUUAUAGUUAAUGAUAGUUUAUAUAUAUAACUGUUAUUAGUGAUUUUUAAUGACAGUUUUGUUUAAAAACCGUCAUUAAAAGUAAUGAUUUUAUAUUUAAUGACGGUUAUAUAGUAAAACCGUCAUAAAAAGUAAUAGUUUAAUAUGUAAUAACUUUUAAUGACGGUUUUUUUUAUAAAUCGUCAUUAAAAAUAAUAACUUGAUAUUUAAUGACGGUUAUAUAGUAAAACCGUCAUAAAAAGUAAUAGCUUAAUAUAUAAUGAUUUUUAAUAUAAACCGUCAUUAAAAAUAAUAACUUGAUAUUUAAUGACGGUUAUAUAAUAGAACCGUCAUUAAAAGUUUGAAAUUUAUAAUGAUUGUUUUUACAAGUAACCGUCGUUAAAAGUAAAAUUAUAUUUUGGCAUGAUAUUUAAUGACGGUUUUAUAAUAGAACCGUCAUUAUAAAUAUUAUAUAAUAUGAUCGUUCAUAUAAUAACCGUCAUUAAAUAUUUUUAAUGACGGUUUUUUAAAUAAACCGUCAUAAUGUAUGGGUCAUUGUUUUACAUUUUUGUAGUAGUGAUACUAAUUAUGUUGACACACUUUGACCAGUGAAUUCUAUGAUCAAGUACCGAAAAUCCGUCAAAAGAUGUAUUGCAUAAAUUCUAUAUAGUUAAUCUAUAAUCUCACUGCUCAUAAUUGCUUCACCAAGAUACUAGGUAAUCUUGACUACAAAUAUAUGUCACGCCCAUUAGUAACUCAAAUGAAAUGACUAUCACAAACAUGAAACUAUAAUUAACUCAAGAUUGAGAUUGCAAUAAAAUUAAUGCCUAUGAAAUUUAAUAAGUAUGACAAUCAUUUUAAGGUUAAUUAAAUCUCAUAUAUGAUCCAGUUCAAUAUAGUCGAACUACGUCAGUAAAUUCAUACAUGAUUAAGACAAAUUAUUCAAUGAAUUUACCACAGUCUAAACAUAAAAAGAGCGCCCAACUCUAUUUAUCAAAUGCGAACUUAAUUUAUUUAAUCAUAAGAUAAUUUAAAUUUAUGUUUUCUAUGAAUCCAUAUGAUGAUCACAUAAAAUACAUAUAAUAAGAUUAAACGAACUUUAUUCAAAAUUUUUAUGCAAUUAAGAUGUCUGAAAAUGUCUCAAAUAUUUUAUUACUCAGAAAAUAAAUAAAUCAAUAUGCUUUAAGAAGCACAUAAUUUCAUCCACUGAAGUUAUUGGACAUUUUGAGGGACAAAAGAUUGAUGUUUAUUUGAGAUUCAGUGCAUAGAAGUGAGUUUGAAUCAAUGGUCAGUAUGUUACAAUCUACGAUUCCUGAAGGAAAGAAAUCUUUUUGUGAAGGAAAAAAAUAUUUUCAUAGGAUUCCCCGUUGGAAGAUCUUUAAAGCCAAGGCACUGCUGAUAUUAAUUUUCAUCCCAUAAUUAAAGAUGAUAUGUUUCUUGAUUUGUUCUUAGGAAUACAAUGCAUCCAUCGAGUUUUACUGGGCAGCCUUUACCGCCUAGUCCGUUUUGAAUUGUGCAACAUUCCAUAUAUUACAAAAUAGGCUACAUACUUGACUCCAUUAUAUUUAGAGGCGCUAAUUAAGAUCAAUGACAUGCCAUCAUCAGGAGACGGAUUAGAAGUUAUGAGUCAUCAAUCUUUAUAUGAGGAUAUAGCUAUAGCUGUUGACGAAAUGAUGGACAUAUAGGAGACACCACCAAAAAUAAAUUAGCCAGCAAUAGACAUCCAGCAUUAGUCAAAAGUCAAAAGUAGUCAGAGUCACGUGUUUUUACAGAUGACCUUCCUUUACACAUUACCCCAUAAGGAAAAAACUGUGAAGGCAUCUUUUUCGCUUUGUCUUUUGUUACCGACAGUGAGUCAACAUAAAAAAUAGUAGCCAGUCAUUAUUUCUCGAUAGUGAGUCAUUACAAAAUAAUAAUAACUAGUCAGUCUUUUAUUUUUCAUCUUUUUAAUUAAUCGUUGGCCUUUUGCACAUGUAAAGUGCAAUUUUAAAGUUUUGUCUUUUGUAGAUAGAGUCAUAAUUGUACCAAUGUCUUCAAGUGUAUAUAAACCCUUUAAGUCAUUUUGAGAAGAGACAGGGAGUAAGAAGUGAUUGUGUAAAAUAACAAGUCAAUGCUUUGUAAUAAAAAAAAGCAAUAAAAAGUUUCUUAUCCAUAAAUGCCUAGCAAUCCUUUAGACAACAAUUAGCAAGUUUCUAUCAAGUAGUUUAAAUUCUUUACUUUUAUUUAUUUAGCUUUCAGGUUUAUAAGUCUCACCUAAUUAAUGAAAGUAUAAAUUAUAUUUAAAACAUUAACAAAAGGUGGUCCUUGUUAGCAUUUAGGAGAAAAGACUUUGGAGGAAAAGUUCUUGAAAAUUAAGGUUUUUAUUUUUGACAAAAAUAAUAAGAACUUAGUAAAGUUUUCUCUGAUUUUCUGAACUUAGUAAGAACUUCGUUGGACCGUUUAGCCAUUAAUGCGUUAAGAAUGCGUUUUUGGGAAUGAGUCAAAAGUUAAAAGUGUUUCUAACUAGCAUGUUUUAAAAAGUAGUUAAAUACAAACUUUGAAAGGCUAAUUUCUGCCAAAGCAUCUUCUAUAGUUUUCAUAAAACAUUUUGUGAAUUCUCUAUAUAUAGGCGGGAAACCAGUGACGUAUAUUAUGAUGGUCAACCCAAACGGGAACUAGAUUAGUUUUCACUGCUGGUAUACCAAGUCACGUACAAGUCUUCCCCUAGCCUAACCUAGCUGCCCUUUCCUCUUUCCUCUUUCUUCUUUCCUCUUUGGUAUCAGAGCACCUCUUUUGUUCUUGUUUUAAUUUUUUUUUAUGUGAGUAAUUAAAAGGUAGACUUCGUUUAGUUUAAGAUAUAUUUUGCACAAUUGCUAAAUUUGACAAAAAUCUUGAAAAAAUCUAUAAAAAUCCAUUUGUUGUUUUAGGAAAGGAUUAUGUUACUUGGAUAGAAAAUAACCCUUAUAUAGAAAUUUUAAAAAGUGCUUUAGAAAUUGUAGAAAUUGAAGUAGUAAGAAUUAGUAGUGAACAGUUCCAAUUAGACACAUUAUUAGAAGAAAGACGAGGAAAUAUAAAACUUCCUAUAGAUUACACAUCUCCUUCACCUCCUAAAAUAGAAAGAAAAAAAAGUAUUAAACAUUACACUUUUACAAAUUUGCCUAUAUUUAACUUUAAAAAGUAUAAUUUACAAUAGUAUAAUAUUAAUAAGCAAAUAAAAUUAUUAGACAAGUACGAGAAUCUAUCAUUAAAAAUUAGAAAUAAAUUAGAAGAAUUAGAAAAUUAGUUUAUAAAUUCUCAGAGAUUAGAAUAUUUAGAUUUAGAAAUUAGCAAUCAUAGAAAACAAAAAUUAAAUUUGACAGAAAGGUUAAAAAUCAGUUGUAAUAGAGAACACUUAGAAAAUUAAUUUAAACAUAUUCCACACACUAGCAAUAGUCAACAAAAUUUCAUAGUCGAUUUAUUAAUCAAUUUAGGACAACACUUUGAAGUCAAUAUUAAAAAGCUAAAAGAGCUAGUACUAGGACUAGGAAAAUUUUUUAAACUAGUAAUAUUAAUACAUUAAGAAGAAAUUUAGAUUAUAUUAAAGAAUUAUUAGCAAAUUUUAAUAGUUAUGUUAAAAGAUUCCCUAGCAAUAAAAAAAUAAUAGAAUUAAUUCAAUUUUAGACAUAAAAACACCUUAUCCAAUAGAAUUAGAAAUGAAAAAUCUUGUAGAAAGUUUAAAUGUAGAAAUAGAAAAUAUUAAAUUUACACAGAGAGAUCUACAAAUACAAUUAGAUGCAAUAAGAAUAAUAGUCAGUGAAUGAAUUCAGACAAGUUAUUAAUAGAAUCUUUAGCAGAACUAAGACGUGAAAUCCCACAUCUAAGUGCCAGUUUGGGAUUGCAGUUGCUGCUUCUACUUUGCAGAUGCAAUAAACAACUGAUUAAAAAAACAGUUUGGUGUUUGAUAAACUGUGUUAUUGUAAUUGUUGUGAGUUUGAAAAGUAGUGUACAUGUGUUUGGUAAAUUUUAUUACAAAUGUGUUAUUUUAUCAUAUAAUGAUCAAAAUGGACAUAAGUUUAAAUUACCUUUUAUUAUUAUUUUUGAAUUAUGUUUAAUAAUGUUUAGACAUGCCAUUUUCUUUUUAAAACACAUAAAAUUAUAUUAAGAGAAAAAAACUUAAUAAUUUAUUAUAUAAAAUAUUAUAAAAAUUCAUACUAAUAUAUUAUUCAGAUAAAAUAAAAAGUAAUAUUCAUUACUUUCACAUUAAACUUGUUGCAAUAAAUACCAUGACUAUAGAAAAAAUAUAAAUAGAUUGAAUGUUAAAAGCCAUGGUUAUGAAAUUGAUUUUAAAAGUUAUGGUUAAUUUUCAUGUGAAAUUGUUCAUAGUUAAAAAGAAAAUUACAUAAUUAUAUGCAAGUCUUUUUUAAUCUUAUAAUAGAAAAUACAAGUAUAAUAUAAAAAAAUAUGAACUUACUAGAUCAAAACUUUGAUAUUGGAGAGAAUAUGUAGUAGUUGUGGUGGUAAUUUAAUUGUAGCGGUAAUAUGAUAUUUAAUGGCUUAUAUAUUAGAGUGUACGGAAAAAUAUAACAUAAUUAUUUUUGUUAAAAAUUUAAUUAAGGUUAUAAUAGGAACAUUAAAAAGAUGUGGUAACUUAUUUAAUAAGCUGCUUAUCAAAAGCAACUCCCUACUUGCUUUUAAAAUUUACUGUUAAAAUGGAGAAAACUAUGAAAUAAGCAGCUUUUACAAAAUUUACCAAGCACUAUUUUUGUCACAGAUUAUAAAAUAAGCAGCUUAUUGAGUUUCAACAUCAAUCUCAAACAAGGCUUAAAUUUAGUAGGUUAUAACUUUAAAGAAUUUAGUCAAGAAAGUAAUAUUAUCCAACAAGCACAAACCAAUACUAUUAUUAAAUUAUUAGUCAAAUCAACAAGUUAGAAGACCUGAACAACAAACUUAGUAAAUUAGAAAAUAAAUUUCAAACCUUGAGAACAAAUAAAGAAUCUAUAUUAAACUUAGAACUUAGCAACUGAUUAGACAAUUUAGAUAAAGAAAUAGAUAUAUUAACCAAUAGAGUAGAAAAGUUAAAUUUAAGUGGACAAAUUCUAACACCUAGAACAAUAGACAUCAGAGAUAUUUUAGGACCUAAAGUAAUAUUAAAAAGUAAUGGACUUAGUAAGAAAUAGUAGAAUAGACAUAAAUAUGGCAGAAAGGCUUAGAAGAUCACUAUUGUUUUCUAGUAAAGGUAAAGAAAUUAUAGAAAGAAUUGAAGACAUGAUAGAUGAACAAGAUCCAGAUAAAUUAUUAGAAAAAAAGUUUCAAAUGAAUUAGAAAGAAAAGAUUAUAUAAUGAAUGUUUAAUGUCAAAAAUAUAUAUAAUAGUUUAUAUAUUUACACAGAUGAGACUAAAUUAUUGGUAGUAGAUAGAAGAGAAGAUUUAACUUUAAUUGGUCUAGUAGGUAGAGACUAUCUUAAAAAAUAAAAUUACACAGACAUACAUAUGAGAAUAAUAAUAAUAGGAAUUCUUAGUCAGACUAGAGAAGGUUUAGAUACUAAAAUUCAUUUAUAUCUAUAUGAUAGCAAGUUCUAUGAGCAUGAACAAGCUCAAACAGCCAGUGCAGAAGUAGAUUUAAAAAAUAAAGAAGUAGUAGUAGGAUGUAUACCUAAUAUAGACAUAGAUAUUAAUGAAUUUUGUAAACAUAUUAAAUUAAGUGUAUUAACUAAAAGUUGUAAAAUGAAUGCAGAGUAUAAAAACCUUAGGAUUAAAACAAUUUUUUUCUUGAAAAACUAUAUAAUAAAUAUCAUAAAAAAUUUAGAUUCGAAAGUAAAAAUAUCGUAGAUUGUUUUAAAAGUCAAUAUGUUGAAAUGAUAGUACCUAAGAAAUUAAGUAGUAGUCAAUUAAAUGAAUUAGAAUGGAUAUUAUCUCAAUUAGAACAAGAUAAUAUAUUAGAAGUACUAGAAACUAGCCAUACAUAUAUAAAUAGACAAAAUCAAGUUACACAAAGAUUUUAUAAUUAUAGACAGAGAAGUAAUCCAGAAUUAGAUGAAAAAUGAAGAAGAAAUAGAAAUUAAUAUGACUAUAAUAGACAAUUUAGAUAUAGACAAACAUAAAACAUUAUUUGAAAAUAGAGAUAAAAUUAUAGAUCUAAUAUUUAAUAACCCUAAAAAAUAUUUAGAUGAAGAAUUAUUUGAAAAAUUAUGUAAUAAUGAUGAAUUAAUACAUGAUGAUAUAGACAAAAAACUUAUAAAAAAUUUAGAUUUUAAGAUUUAUAAAUAGAAAAAAUUCAUUAUUUUGAAAAAAAUAGAUGAAAUAUUAAUAGGAGAAGAAGAUAAAAAGCCAGAAAAAGUAGCAAUAGACCUAUAUUAGAACCUAUAGUAGAUCCAUCAAAUGUAGAAAGUUAUUUAGAUGAACGAGGAAUUCCAGAAACUAAUGAAAAAUACACAGAAGCAGAAAAAGUAUUUAAAGCUAAAACAAAAUUAGAAAAUUAGAAAACAAUACCGCAAGCCAGAGAUUUAUUAGUAUUAGAAUUAGAAGAUCAUAAACCUAGUCAAUGGAAACAAGUUUUUAACUAGUGGGUAGGUAAUUUACUUAGAUAUUCUAGGAAGCAUUAGCAAUGAUUGUAAACCCAAAUUAUGAAUUAAUAUAUUUAGAAAGUACUUUAGGAAGUAGAGAAAAACAAAUAUAUUUAGGAUGAAGAAAAAUAAAUUAGAAGAAUUAGACAAUUUUGAUAUCAAUAUUACACUAAUCAGUUUUAUAGAUUUAAUGAAAAAAUUAAUAUUAAGAGUAGACGAAAAAGACAAUAUUAUUAAAUAGAUUAAAACAAUUAGAAAUUUAGAACAAUUGAAAAUUUUUGAUUUAAGAAAUUUUGAUGAGUAUGCUAAUUAUUUUUAUAAAUAUUAGAGUGAAAUAGCAUAAGAACCGAUAUAGUUAAAAUAAGCAACCUUAUAGGUAUAACAAUAGAAAAUUCUAUAAAAAGAAACCUUGAUGUGCAAGUAUUCGCCUAUUGUAAAGCUACGUGAUGGAUGUACAAAGUUUGUACUACAAAUUAGUGAUCAAUGGCUAUGUGAGCACAUGUUACUGGCAAUGUCUUAUUAACCGAAGCUAUAGUUGUUAACAUAUUUUCCUGUUUCCGUGUGAAAACGUGGAACUGUAGUCAAUUGUAUUUUGUUUUUGCAUUCAAGUUUAAGGCUAUGUUUAUGGAAUUGGAAUAUAAUGCCAUCACUGCUUUUAGAAGGGACUUGGGCAAAUUGGCUAGAAUCAAAAUUCAAUCCUUUUACUCGAAAGAUCUAUUUUAUGAGUAGAGGUGGUAAAAAUAUCUGUCUGGUCCGGACUCGGACCAUACCCGGGUGUUGUGGGCCGGGUAUUACCCGGCCCGGGUAUGAAGUCGGGUCGGUCUUGGGUAUCACUUGAUAAACCUAGAACCUGGAUUUUAUUAAAAAUAUAUUAUAAAAUAUAUAUUAUUUUAAAUAUUUAUAUUUAUUUGACUCAUUUGUUAUACAUAUAUAAAGUUUUAAACACUUAAAGUUUAUAUUUUCAUGUCAAAUUUUAUUGAAAUAAAUUUAAAACUUAUAAAAUUACCAAAAAAAAAAAUAUACACAUAUAAUAUUAAAAAAUAUAAAAUUUGGGUACCUGAAUUAAAACCCAGCCCGGACCCAGACCCAGACCGGUUGCAUCCAGGCAGGGUUCGGUCAUUGCAAUACCCGGACCUGGCCCGGGGUUUUGCCAUCCAUAUUUAUGAGUAUGUCUCCAAAACAUCAAAGGUAAGUUUCACCCAAAAGCUGCACAAACAUAGAACAUUCACUACAAAAGAAAGUGUCUUUCGUGACGGCUCUUGUGACUGCAAAAUUAGUCGUCGCAAUUCUCACUUACAAAAUAUGACACUAGCUCAUGGAUAACUUUGUUGGGUUAAACAAUAACUCAGUCCAAAUUCAUUUCAAAAACACAUUUGACCUCAUUUUAAAAAUAAAAAAUCAAAAUCAAAAAGCAUAUUAAAAAGAAAAAAAAAGAAGCGUUGUUACGAAGACAGAGCGUGCUUUCUCUGUGGCCUAUGCUUUCUCUGGUUCUUGCUUCUUUUUUUUGUAAGUUUAUUCAAUUCAAGUUUAUUUCUUCUUUUUUUCUAGAUUUAAUUUUUGUUUUUGAAAUGUGAAAAAGCUUAUUGUUGGAAUUGUGAAAGACCCAUGCCGAAUUGAUUCUUAAAAUUUACUAGAGAAAAAAAUUGGUGUAUAAUUCAUCUCCUCUCUUUGUUCUCAUUCACUACAACAUCCAUUGCUUCUUCAUUUACAACACACCGGUAAGAGAACUUAACUGAUAUUUUUGUAAUUUAUCCUCGUUAUUUUCCUUUUCUUUCUAAUUACUGCUCUAUUUUGAGUUUAUGCAUGAAUGAUUUUUAGGCUAGAUCUAGCUCUAUUUUCAUUGAUGAUCGUUAACUUAUCUAGAGUAUAUUUUAUGUUUAAGCAAUUUUUUUGAAUGAAUCUAUUUGUGUACUGAAUAUGAAUUUGAUGAAUUGGAUUGCUCAGCUGUAACUUAUUUAGAGUGAAUUUUGGUUGUUGAAUUCUAUUUGAGUAGCUUCUGUGACUAAUUCUACUUGCCAACUGAAUUUUAAAUUAGAUGAAUUGUUUUAUUGAGCUGUAAUUUAUCUAAUGUGAUGUUCGUAGUUGAAUUCUAUUUGAACAGAUCUUGUGACCGAUUUUAUUUGCUUACUGAAUAUUGAAUUAUACAUUGGAUUGUGCAUUGAAGAAAAAAAGAAGAAGAAAAAAUGUCUUGACUUCAUAUAUGUGGAGAAUUAAUGUAAAUUGACUUGUUUUCUUGUGCACUUAAGGUUAGUAAAAAUGGACAAGAGUUGGAUUGAUUUGCCAAAUAAGACAGCCAAACCAUUUACUGAUGGGGUUAAGACAUUCCUCGAUUUUGCAUUUAAGAAUGUUGUUAAUGACAAUAGGAUUUAUUAUCCAUGUAAAAAAUGUCGUAAUCAGUUUUUUGUUGUAAAAGAGGUGGCAGAAGCGCAUAUUAUAGUACAUGGCUUUUGGUCAAAGUAUAAAAAAUGGAAAAUGUAUGGUGAACCUAGUACAUCUAUAGAAUCUAACCAAGAAAAGGAGGUUAGCUAUAGUUCAAGUGCUGAUGAUGAUAUGGUUGGGAUGAUAAAUGAUGCAAUGUGUUCUCCAAAUUUAGGCUUUUGUUUAUUUGAUAAUCCUUCAUUAGAGAAUAAACAUUAUAAGGGUCCAAAUGAUAGAACUAAAGCAUUUCUUAAAUUACUUGAAGAGGCAGAAUCUCCUUUGUAUCUAAGCUAUGAGAAUUUUACAUCAUUGUCAUUCAUUGUUCGACUUCUACAUAUGAAAGUAUUAAGUGGAUGGACAAACAAAUCAGUGACAAUGUUGCUAAAAUUACUAAAAGAGGCAUUUCCUCAAGAAGCUAAAAUUCUAGAAUCAUAUUAUGAGGCUCAAAAGAUAAAUAUGACUUGGGUUUUAGCUAUAAAACAUGGGAUGCUUGUCCAAAUAAUGGUAUGUUAUUUAGACAUGAAUAUGAGGAGCUUGACAGAUGCAACAUAUGUGAAGCAUCUACAAAUAAGCAAUGUGGCGGUGAUCCUAGUUAGAGAUGGCCAAUGGGCUGGGCCAGCACCAAAGCAAGGCCUAUGCGUGCUCGUGCCCGUGCCGUGCCGUGCCCACUAUGUGUUUCGUGCCGUGUCAUGCCAUAAUUUUUUUGCUUAGACCUGGCCCGGCACAUUCGUGCCGUGCCGUCCUUAAAAAAAGUCUAAUAAGCUUUUUUUUUUUAAAAAAAAAAUUUUAAGAGCGCAUGUUAAGCUGUUGGUAUAUCUUUUUCAAAUCUAUGUACUUUUCUUAGGUUUAUGCCUUUAUUCAAAUUUAAUAGAAUUGAGAAUUCAAAACUCAAGUCCAUAUUUAAUAAUAAUAAACUAAUAAUAGUAAGAAAAUAUAAUAUUAAUUAUUAUGUUUGACCUUAUAGUAAUAGAUUUUUUUUAAUAUUUAAUAAAAAUAAUAAUAAAAAAAUUUUCUUAUAGGUUAACUUAAUUGUUAACUUAGACUUAUAUAGAGUCAUAAAUCAUAAUUCACAAUAAUAGUAAUGCAUAUUUAUAAAAUCAUGAUAUUUAUAAUUUAAUUCAUUAAAAUCAUGAUAUCAAUUAUUUAUUUAAUAAAUUACAAAUAUAAAUCAAUUAUAUAUUUUUUAAAACUAAGAAUUAAAUGAAUUUAAAAAAUUGAAUUUCAAGUUAUUUGUAAAAUCAUAAAAUUUUAAGUUUACUUUCAUUAAAAAAUAAAACGUGCUUAUUACGAGCUUUUUUUAUCGUGCCGUGCUUAACCCAUCUCUAAUCGUACCGUACUUUUAAGACCCGCGUGCCUGAAAUUCUAAGCUCGGCACGGCCCACGUGCAUGUCGUGCCGUGCCGCGUGCCCCACCGAAAUAUGCUCGUGUUGUGUCGUGCUACGUGCCGUCCGGUCCAUUGGCCAUCUUUAAUCCUAGUGGCCCUUAAAAUCAAGAUAAAAAAAAUAACGGCCAAACAAGUUUGGUAUUUUCCACUAGCACCAAGAUUACAGAGAUUAUUCAUGUUUUUAGAAAUUGCUUCUUUCAUGAGAUGACAUGUUGAAUCACGCACUAAGGAUGGUGUUCUGAGGCAUCCUACUGACAACCUUGCAUGGAAAACUUUUAAUGAAAAAACCACUGAUUUUACUAUUGAUAGUCGCAAUGUUAGGCUUGGAUUAGCUGCUGAUGGUUUUAAUAUGUCUGUGGCACUUAGUACAUGGCCUGUUGUUCUAAUACCAUAUAACUUGCCACCAUUGUUGUGCAUGAAACAACAAUUCUUCAUUUUAUUUGUGCUCAUAUAACUUGGCAUGUUGUUCUAAAGGACCUGGUGAUAAAAUUGAUGUUUUUCUCCAUUAGUUGAAGAAUUAAAAGAAUUGUGGUCACAAGGAGUACUUACUUAUGAUGCAUCACGUGAUCAAAUGUUUAAAUUGCAUGCAUCAUUAUUAUGGACUAUUAGCGAUUUUCCAGCAUAUGUUAACUUGUCAGGAUGGAGUACUAAAGGUGAAAAAGCUUGUCCUAUUUGCAGUUCAAUUUUGAAUGGCAAGUGAUCGGUUCAAAUUUAUCUAAGUUUAAGUCUCACCUCGGGAUUAUAGUGAAAAUUUGACUAAAGGUUCCUCUUACAUAUGCUGAAUGGACUCACAUGCGUGAUGAUGUCCUGAAAUUUAUUUGGAAAGAAGUGAAGGUAUCAAACUAUUUGUAUUUCUCUACUAUAUAUUAUAAUUCUUUAUUGUUGGUCUCAGUUAUUUGGUUUUAGAAGGACUAACAUUAAAUAUAUAAAAAAUUCAAUAUUUUCUUUCAAGAUAUGUGAUUUAUAAUCUUGUAUCCUAAGGGUAGUAUGCUUUAGAAUCUUGAUCGCUAAAAUUCCAUCUGAUAAUAUAUUUUGCCACUUUGUUGUUGGUCUCAAUUAUUUGCUCGUUUUCAUAGAGUUAUGAUACAAUUUUUUUUUUUAAUUGAUAUCCAUGGGCAAGUACAAAUGCUCCAGAUGCCUACAAACCUCAUUGCCUAAAGAAUGCAGGAAAACUUUGGAAGGAUUGGAAAUAUUGAGUGAAAAGUAAGCAUUAUAAUGGCAAGACAGAUGCAGAAUGCCUUACAUCCAUUCGUCCUAGGGUUGUUGAAGAGCAGUGGAAGACAUUGGUAGCUUAUUGGGGCACUGAGGAAUCUAAAGUAUGAGAUCAAUUUCCAUAACUGUUAACUAUUUUCAUGGCUUCAUUCUUAGCAUCCACUAAAACAAAAGAUAAAACUUAAUAUUCUUUGAGUUAUAGGCUGCUGCAGAAAAAAAUAAAAUAAAUCAUUCACAAGUGUAUUCACUUCCUAGAACUGGUCAAACUUUAUUUGCCAUUAAAAAAGAGCAGGUUAGUAUUAUGUUUUCCAAUCAAAUAUGUAGACAUGAGCUUUUUGUUUAUACUUUAUAGUGCUUUUACAAUUUUGGUCUGGCAUCCUAUGUUGUAAAUUGUUAUGAUUUUCAUUACAUUUAAAGUGUGCUUGAUUUUGAUUUUACAUUCUUCUAAUACUUUGAAUUCAUUAUCUUUUUCUAGAUGAAGAAACAAGGAAAAAGACAUAUCAAAUAAGCGUUUUUAUUGACACUCGAUCAAAACUAACAGUAGUAUAUGUGAUCUAGAGAGUGAGGAAAUAAUUGUAAGGAGGAAAAAAAUAUCAAGUAUUUUCAUAUUAUUUCAUAUUGAGAUAACAAACAAACAUUUUAUAUUCUAACAAGUUUAAAUGUUUGAAGAGUCAAUUUCAUGAACAUCUGUCUCACUUACCAGAGGAACAACAAAUAGAAGCUGUGAGAGAUUGAGUUUUUACUCAAGUGAUGGGACCUGAUGGUCAUGGAUAUGCUCGAACCUAUGGGCAUGGUCCAACACCAUCAGACGUGAUACGCACAAAGUCAAAUGAAGCUAAUGAAAUACUGCAACAAGAGGUAAAUCGUCUUAAAUCCAAUUAUGCUGACCUUCAAUGCAAAUAUAGUGAUGUUGAGAUACAUUCAUUUAUGAGAAGCCGUUUUGAUGAUUUUGUUGCUGAGAUUUAAUCAUCCACAAAUGAGCCGGUAUGAUUUUAAUAAAGUAGUCUAUUUCUAGCUAUUUUUUAUGCUCGCUUAUUCAUAAGUUCAUUUUUUGGGCCUUGCUUUAAAGAUUGAGACUUCAUUGACAUGGGAUUGAGGUUGCAUUCUAUUUAAUAAUUUUAAUGUGGGUUGAAAUUAUUCUUAACUUGAAAUGUUGUCAGUGUGAAAUAGGAUUUCAAGUAAGAUUGUGGGUUGGUAAAAGGAUCAAAGUGUGAGAAAUACAAAUAAUGAAGUGGUGGAUUAAGUACAUUUUGAGAAGUAACAAUUGCGAGGAGAAGUGGCUAAUUUGCUUCCGAGAAAACCUGUACUUGUUGAUAGUGACUGAUUUUAGUGAUUUAAAUUCUUUAAUUGUAAAUAAGUUCUUAAGAAUGACCUACUAAAUGAGUAAAUAUUUUUCAUUUAAUAUCAAGCACUUACCUUUGGAAUUAAUCAGCUUAUAGUGUAGAGAUAAUUCAUCAAUAUUCAUUGAUGAUUUCAUUUGUUUCUCACUUGCAGAGUCCAGAUGCAUCAAGCUCUCACCAUAACAAUCAAAAUGCAAACCCUGAUUUUGAGAUUAACAACUAGCAUGCUUGCCUGUGGCUUUGAUAAUUGAUUUGUAGAUUUUAAUGGAUAAUGUUGUUGGAUAAUUGGUUCAUUAGAUUGAUUUUACAACUUGUUAUGUUAAGCUUGUAAUUGUUACUUUUCAUUCACAUUGUACAUUGAAUUGAAAAUUAUCAAUUAUAUAUCUCAUAUUUUAUAAUUAUAUGAAUGUUAAUCAGAAUGUGAAUAACGUUCUUAAUAUAUAUUUUGGGUAGAAAAUUAAAAAAAAAAGAUUUGGGAAGAAAAUGAGUGGCUAAUAGUAGUUGAGAUGCUAAAUUACUUUACGACUCUAGUUUACCGUCACAAAAAAGACGAUGCAAUGGUAAUUUUCCAAUCGCAAAUAGAAAUCGACGCGAUUACCUGUGUCCACCAUUCCCCGUUGUAUUGCCGACGUCAAAAAUCUUUCAUGACGGUAAGUAGCCGUUGCAAAAGGCUCUUUUUCCUGUAGUGAAAAGGCGUCCUUUUCGCGUCUGAAAUUCGAAAUCUUGAGUAAAUCUGAUAUCUAUAGCCUACGCGUUACUGAUUUUUGUUUUGAUUUUCGACUCUUCUCAUAAUAAGAAAAGAGUACUUUAGCUCAACUGGAAGAAAAUGAAUAGUCAUCAUAUCUGCACUGGUAUCUGCCAAAGAAGGGAUCGUUCCAUUUGUUAAAACUUAAAACAGAGAAUAUGUACAAAUUUUUACCUUUGAAUACCUUAUUAUGAGCUUAUUUUCAUACAGAAAGUGAGAACCUCAACCUGUUUAUAAUUUAUUCCAGGUGAUAUGACAACUUGUUGAUCCGCAAAUACCAGAGGCUGCAUAAACAAUCCAUGUUGCAGUCAUCACUUAAUUUAUUUACAGGAGUUCCCAUUCAGAAUCACAUAUAUGUCUUGUAGGUGAAUUUUCUGAUUCCAAGGUAGCAGAGGAGGUUGCUGGCAAGAGAUUUUGCAAUGUGUCUUGUUCAGGCCCCAUAUAAGCAUCUCCAAACCAAAUUGCUAGCUGCUCGUACUCCUUAGCCAACCUCUUUUUUGGAACAAACGCCUCUUGGAUCCUUUUCUGAUGAAAAGAGAACAAAUUAGGACAACAACAAAUUCAUCUGGGCUUGACUAUUUUGAUGAUAAACAAAUACUUGAAAACAAAAAACAAAAAUGUUUUCUUGUAGUGUCAUUUAAAUGAAGCAUGCUUCCAAUGAAAUUUUUCUGGAUUCUGAUACAGGCAUGACUUACUAGGGUUCCAAACAUAUAUUCUAGGUUUCCAUGAAAAGGUGCUUCAUGAAAUUGAGAAAUAUAAUUGAGAUCUGCCAAUGAUGGUCACAUUUUCGUUUUGAUAUACAUAGCUUUUUUUUUCUUUUUCCUUAAAUUUUUACCUGUUAUGGGCAGAAAAUUAAUUACAAAAGGCAAAAAGGAUGUCCCUGUGGAUUUCUUUUUCAGUCAGGCCAUUCAGAAUUUGAAUAAAUAAAAAGAGAAUAUUCUCUCUUGUGAACAAAGUGAGACAACAGUAACUGGUGCAUGUGUCACAGAGAGAGAGAGAGAGAUGCAACCUUGAAUGACAUGAGUUUCCGGGUCCUAUAAGAGACAGCAUAAAGUGCAUUAUUGUCAACCAAGAUGCAGCUAUCCUCCAGCUCCAUGUUGUCGCACAAUUCAAUGGUUUCCAUCCCAGAAUAAUCCAAAUCAUCACCAUAAUCAUGUGAAUGUCCUGUAGUUGAUUUUGGAAUUAGAAUAAGAGAAAAUCUAAAUCAUUUAUAGUUUGAGCAAAAGGAAUAUUCUAGAAAUUUUGAGAACAUUAAUGUAUAUCACUGUGAUUUUUGAAAAGUUCAUAACCUCAUGGGCUUGGGGAAAAAAAUAGACAAUAGGUGUGUGAACAUGGAAUAACUGAGCUUUCUGUGGAGAAAUGUUAACUUGAGAAUCCAUCAAAGAAACUUGAAGGCGGUAGCCAGGGCAAGGGGAAACAAACCCUCUGUCUAUGUAAUAAAUCUACAUUUUUUUAGAGGAUAGAUAAACAUUGGCAGAUUGCCAGGUGCAUGAAUUUAUUAUUUGAACAACCCUUUUAUUUAUAAGCUAAACUUAAACACAAAACAGUUGCCCUGAACGCGUGAUAUUGUACAGGGAAAAACGCUCACUUUGAUUUUCAUGAUAGACAUAGAUGAAGUAGAAAACAUUUUAACAAGUUAAACACUACAGUUUUCCUCCUGAAACUUCCAAGCAAGUUCAGAAAGUCACAUCCAAAUUUGACUUAACAACCCAACAAUUAACAUAUUAAGAGACAAGAGAAAACAAGCACUGGAAGAUUACCAGGUUUUGAAUUUGAUAUUUGAACAAAUCCUUUGUUUAUGCGCUAAACUUAAGACAUGCACCAAUUGCCCUGAACAUGUGAUAUCCUAUUGGGAAAAACACUCACUUUGAUUUUCACAAUGGACAUAGAUGAAGUAGGGAAACACCUUGACAAGUUAUACUAAGGAACCCCUCCUAAAACUUCUGCACAAGUUCAGAAAAGUGGCAUCCAUAUUUGAUACCACAAACCAAAAUCUAACAUAAUAAAAGACAAGUGAGAAAACAAGCACAAUAAUGCCGGAGGUCAAUAUCACAUAAUCUGGGGUUAGACAAUGAUUGAUAAAACAGAACUAAAAAUAAAUAACUUGCUCAAACUAAAUAUCAGUUUUUUUCCAAGCACAACAGAAUGAGGCGUCAGCAAAGAAAUGUAAUAUCAGUUUCAUGAAUACUGUGAUUCAUCAGAACAGUCACAGUUCAAAUUACAACCAAAUUACAUACCUUGAAAAGGGAUCUAACAAGUAGCCAAACCUAAAAGGAAAUGACAAACGCAGGUGAACAGCAAGAGAAGAAAGCUCCGUGAAGGGCACAAAUAAAGUAGAAUACACAUAGUUUAUAAACACGCUCUAAAGGAAGAAGUUGAAGCGUAGUCUUAAUCAUGAACAUUGUUAUUACCAACAUAGUUUUCAUCAAAGUCAUCAUCAGUGUCACUACUAAUACGACCACCAAAUGCCAGGGAUUUAAAAGAAAAUGCCAGAAAAUUGGGACAAAAGAAGAAAAAAGGAACUUUGACAUACCAUUAUCUGGAGAGAUUGCAGAAGCCUCAGAUUGAGCAGUCCCACAAAACUCACAAUUAGUCUUUUGAGAUAUCCCACUUAGUGAUGUUUUGUAAUUAGUUCUGGAGACUUCUUCCUCUGACAAGACAGAAGUAAAUUAGAAUCAUGGUAAAAUAAUACCAUUUUGUAAGGAUUUGGAAAAUACAAACCACUAGAUUCCAAUGACAGGACACUGCUGGAGUUGAUAUGCUCCACCUCUGCUUCGUUGUCCUCGUGGGAUACAAUUGGAGAAGAUGUAGAAGACGGGAUUGCUUCAUAACUAUCAUAAACACACCCAACCUUAUCAACUGCAUCAGUACAAAUUAUUGUUUCUGCGGUUAAGCAAUCAUGCAAAUUUUUAGAUUCCAUUAAUCUGGGAUCACUAGAGGGAAUGAGUCUUGUCUCUAAUAUAUUUUCCUUACAAAAUGCAUCUGAGAAAGCCAUUUCAGAAGCAGCGAAAGUAUUUGAAGAAUCAGAAACACUCACGGAGUCAUCUGCAAAUUUAUAAGAAACUGCAUCCACUAUUUGGGUUGGUUGGCACUCCAUAACAUCAACUGAAUUUGCAUGUGCCAUCUCCACCACAACCCCAUGUGCAUUCUUAUCAUUAGAUUCACUGGAAUCACUAGACAAUGAUACUUCUGACAAGUUCAUCUCACCAAGAGACAUUAACUCCAACACCUCAGAUGUAGAUGACUUGUCUUUUAUGGCAUGUUCUUCAAUAUCCUUGUCAGAGCUCUCAUGUGCUAAAACAUCAACAGCUUUCCCGGAAACCAGAUCAGACUCUGUUUCAUCAACAGGAUCUCCGGAAACUGGGGUGAUGAGUUGAUUUUCAAGGUAAAGUCCACUAACUGCAUGACCAAGCUGGUUCUUUAAAUGAUCAACUGGGUUGGGCUCCUCCUGUGAUUGCUUAAUCAGAGUAUCCGCAGAAUUUUCUUCAGUACCUGUUACUGACUUAAUACAGGUGUCAAUGAAAUCAUCUCUUUUCAGAACCACUUCUUGUGCUUCAUGUCUUCCAUGGUCCACUGAAGGAGGAAGGAAAUCUUGGACAACAUCAGAACAGAAUCUUUUCACACUUGCUCCCAUUGUCUGCAUCUGAUUUUCAACAUAUUUAACAGUGUCCUGACCAGAAAAUAACUUCAAAUUAGGCCCAUCAACAAGACUGCAGAAUCAUAUCCUCAGGAAAUAACAAGAAAACAUGCAGGAGAAAACAUAUUAAUACCUCGCUCACAAUGUUAUCCACCUGUUGGCACAUUGUUUCAAAUUUCUGGGAGAUAUUUCUCCCAACACAAGCUAUACUUUUGAGUUUCAGAUCCAUUACAGACUUAUAUUAUAUUGCCGGAAUAAAUGUCUCAAACAGCUCCAACUUUUGUACAAAGUGCAAGCUGCAAGGCAUAUUAUUCCUACACCAGUACAAUGAACCGUCCUGCAUAGAGGCAACACUGCAUCAGAAUUUUCACAGCUUAAGAUAAUGGGAAAUGAGAACAACUCUAAGGAUCGCAAUAUCUCAUCUCACAUGAACUGUAUUGAGCUGCUGGCUAAACAAAAGCUCAUCAGACCUAAAAUUGUAAGAAUUUUGAAAAGCCCCAAAUUAAUUUUAAAACUUCUUCCACGCCUUUGAGAUAGUAACUUGGAUGUAUUCUUCUACUGCAAGUUCACAUUAAAAGGAUAUAAUGAUCAAGAGGAGAAGUUUGGGUGGUUGGACAGUAUAGGACUGAGAUAAUAUCAAGAAGACCAAAAAACCUUGAGAAACUAUUGUGUGCCUGCUUUUUGAAUACACCAUACGUAAAAUUUUUUGAUGCCCUCGCAGACACAUGCAAACCUAAAAUGAACUAGUGUUUGCAUCAAAGCUUAUGUACAAGGGUAACAUUACCACGAAACAAAGUUUUGUUAAUGAAUCAAGGAAAUCCUAUUUACAUCUUGUUAAUAAAAACCACUCAAUCUGGAAGAUUGUUUACUCUAUCAUGCACUUAUCUUGGGUUCCGGCAUUGUCUACCGUAAGGCUCAUAGCACUGCAUUUUCUACUUCUUCAGAAUCUCCGAACUUAUUUAUUGUUCUACAGGACUUCCGCUGGGAACAAGUGCCUUCCCCGAUAUAAACAGCUCACUUUGCAAUGCCCAAUGACAUUACCAACUAUGCAAACUAUUCCACAUCCACACUUUUUUAAGAACCAUAAUGCUCCCACCACAGUUUGGUACACUGAUAACUAAAUUCUACCUUUUGGCAUACUACACAUAUAGGAUACAAAAAGGUGUUUACCACUUCAUCCUAUUUUAUAAAAUAUAGCAUAAAUAAAAUUUCAAUAUGUUGUUCACUGAUGCAGUACCAUCACAUAAGUACUUAAACUUUUAGUAUACCAAACAAACCCAUAAUUUAAUUUUUAAUAAAAGAAAUCACUUUAAAAAAAAAAAGCCCAUAAUUUUAAUUCCUCAUUUUUCCCAUAUCCACAAUGACCAUAAGUCAAAAUAUACAUACAACUAACUCAAUUCGGUUUUCAUUGGUCAUGAUCACAAUUUAGAAUUCCAUUUACUCAAGAAAACCCACAAGAAUUAAGCUCUCUUAAACAAAGGCUCCUAGAUUAUAUCAAAAUCCCAUCUCGUUAAAACAAAGAACCCAUAUAACAAACAUUACAAAAAAAAAAAAAUUAAAAUUAAUCGUGCUCAACUUAUUAUAAUGAGAAUUUAAAAUCAUAAAAAAAAUUCCGUAGAAAGGACCAAUUUUUUACAUGCAAGAGACGCUGAAAGAGAUAAGGAAAGAAGAUUGGCGCGUUACCGAUUACCUAUAGCACCCAGUGAACGGCGGAGAUUAUCGCCGGUAACCUUGAUAGUGUAACUUUUAGCUUUUACAGGGGUUUUUGAAACUAUGGAGCUUAUAUUGCUUCCGUAUCCGACACAAGGGCUUUAGUAGUUAUCAUCAAUUGUGUUUUGGGCCAUUUAAUUAGUUAAUUUCUUUUUUUUUUUGUGGAGAAUUAUUAGUUAAUUAAUUUCUUAGACGGCGUUCUCUCUAUUCAACCUUCGCGCCCGGGGGGGGGGGGGGGGGGGAGGGGGGAUAAAGAAAAAAAAUCUUAAGAUUCACUAUUAUUUUUUAAAGGAUAUAUUUCAUAUUACCCCUUGUAAUUUGUAAAUUGAUAAUCUUAAAAAUAUCCUUCAACUAUUAUAAAUUUUAACUUAUAUUCGUUUUGGUCAAAAAAUAAGAACAAAAUAAAAUUGGGUUGAUAAAAGAUUUUUUAUCUUCUGUACAAAUAUAGGAGGUAAACUAAGAUUUAUAAUAGUUUGGGAGUAUUUUAAAUAUUGUUAUUGUACAAUAAUUUGAGGAUAAAAUGAAAAUUUUUAUUUUAAGUAGGGGUAAAUUAAAGUUCAUCUUUAAUAAUUAAUAUAAAUAAAAGAUGAUAGUAAUUGUCUAAACGGAAGAUUUAGAAUAUUGAGAGUUCUUAUCUUGUUUGUAGUUAUAUGUCUAAAUAAAGGAUGAUUUUAGCACAAAAGGCACUUGUUGCAACUUCCCAGCAAGUCAUUCAUCAUAUACCUUCUUGUUUUUAGAUAUAUGUCUAAACAAAGAGUUUAGAAUAUUGAGAGUUUUUAUUUUGUUUGUAGUUAUCUAUCUAAAAAAAGGCAAAGGAUAUAUUUAGUACAAAAGCUGCCUAAUUGUAACUUUCUAGCAAGUCACCCAUCACACUUAUAUAUGGAAUUUUAAACAAUUUUGAAGUAAAGGUUGUUAUAUUCUUCUGAAAAUUAAACGGUGAUUAGAGAAUGGAUAUUAAAUCAUUUAACUUAAUUUCUAUGUAGUCCUAGGGGUAGUGAUCAUAUCCAGACCUCCCAUUCCCCUUAUAAGGCAAACAAUCUCCUCCUUAGAGAUACGCUGGGACUCACUGACAUUUCGACAUAACUGCUAGUUGAUACAGUGCUUGUCCACUCCACUAGUUGACUGGGCCAUACUCAACCUCCGGCUCUACGAUACUAGCACACACUGACUAAUUGAUAUGAUACUAGCCCACCUAUCAAAUAUGUAACCAAACUCUAAUAUCACUUAUUAGACUAAGGCACUUGUUACUGUUGGUUAAAAAUACUUUUGCAGUGGAAAUAUUUGGAUUAAAAUUCUCAUACAAUAUAUAAAAUUACCAUAAUCUACAAAUCAUACAUUUACUUUUUUGUAGAAGUAAUAUAGGCUCGCAAAUCACGAUUUGUCACCACAAAUUUUGUUAUAUCACGAUCUAUUUCCAAAGAUCUUCCAACUUAUGACUCAAGUUUGAUUUGUAUCUUAACGUGUGGGUGCUUUUAUCAUCGUUGAAAGCAAUUAGCAAGAGGAAAUUUUUCUCUCAAAGUUAAAGAGAAAAACUCUUUUUUCCUUUAAUUUGUAUAUUGUGACUCUUCUAUAUUUUAUUGGUAGAGAAAACAAACUUUUUAUAUCUCUGUUUAGUGGAAACUUUAGACUUCAUAUUUUCUUCUUCUAUUUUUAAUUCUAUUAAAUCAAAUUUAAAUUAAAUUAAAAAAAUGAAACCAAAAGUGGCAUUACUUGUUCUUGUUAUAGAGGGCUCCGCCUUGUAAAAUAACACAAGACCCUUAUAUACAAGCAUAUUAAAUGAAACCUUCUACCAAAUAAUAUCUUGCUUAUUAAUCCAGUAGUGAUCUCACUUAUUAAUCCAGAAAAGAAAUCAAUAGGCUUUUAACUCAAAUAACUAGUUAUCUUACUUAUUAAUCCAGUAGUGAUUCAGUCAAUUAAAUGAGCUAACCCGAGGAUCAUAUGAGUACAUACAAUAGUUGCUAUAAUAAUUAAGUUUGAAAUUAAAUUAGUCCAAUUAUUUAAUUCCAAGUCUGCUCCACUAAAAAAUUAGAACUGACCUCCAUAAUUAUAUGCUAUCUAAGAUAGUGAUCUCGAAUUAUAAUUCGACCCAUGCCAGAUUGAUUUAUUUACUGAACAAUCCUUUGUACCACAUUGCUAAUUAAAUUGAUAUCUCAACUGUCUAAUCAAUUUAUUUACAUCUUGUCCCUUGACUCUUACUAGCUUUUCUCUAAUGAUCAUUUUCAACAUAUUAAUUAUGCUGACACACGCUGGCCAGAGAAUUCUAUGAUCAAGUACUGAAAACUCAUUAAGAGAUGUGUUGUACAAAAUCUAUAUUGUUAAUCUAUAAUCUCAUUGCUCAUAAUUGCUUCCACCAAGAUACCAGGUAAUCUUGACUAUAAAUGUAUGUCGUGCCCAUUGGUAACUCAAAUGAAAUGACAAUCAUAAACAUGAAAUUAUAAUUACCUUAAGAUUCAAAUUGGAAUAAAAUCAAUAACUAUGAGAUUUAAUAAGUUUGACAAUCAUUUUAAAGUUAAUUAAAUCACAUAUGUGAUCUAGUUCAAUGUAGUCAAACUACAUCAGUAAAUUCAUACAUGAUUAAGGCAAAUUAUUUAAUGAAUUUAAUUUAGUCUAAAUAUAAAUAAUGCGCCCAACUUUAUUUAUCAACAACGAACUUAAUUUAUUUAAUCAUAAAAUAAUGUGUAUUAUGUCUUCCGUGAAUUCAUAUGAUGAUCACAUAAAAUAUAUAAUAAGAUUAAACAAAUCUUAUUCAAAAUAUUUAUUUAUGCAAUUAAGAUAUCUGAAAAUGUCUCAAAUAUUUUAUUAAUUAGAAAAUAAAUAAAUCAAUAUGCUUUAAAAUGGUGACGAUCUUUAAUUCGCUGGACAUGCUCCUGAACAAGUGAGUCUGUUGGACGGUUUGGAAUUAUGGCUUUGGACAUGUCCGGUAACUAUCCAUUUGUUGAUCCACUAAAUGCGAGUUCAGGACCCAGAGGGUUACAUAGUUUAACAGUUUAGCCUAAUGAUUCAUGUGUUAACCAGAUGCCACCAAGUUUUCCCCUAUAUAAAUACAUGAGUAAUGAAAUUGAAAAAUGACUAAUGUUUGUUUGGUAUUGAGGUGUUUGUUUUUGGCAAAUAAAAGCUCUGAUUGUCAAAUGAAAGUAUUGACUGGUAUUAUUGUAUGCAUAGAAUGUCAAGUAAAUGAAGUUGUUGUUUUUUUAAUUGGUUAUGUAAAUAACACAGCUAUUGUCUAAAUUGUUUGUUUUAGUUAAUUUCUACUUCAAUUCUGGUACGAUUUCUUUUUUUUUUUUUUUUAAAUACACAGCAAUAUUUCAUUACAACCAUUAACAAUAGCAAUAUAAAUCCAGAAAUACAUCAGAAUUAUAAAUCAACUUAAAUCCAACUAUUGGCCGCGGUCCAAAAAAUGUUGUGUAGAAAGUCCCAAGUGCACAAGUUUCCUCCUGAAUUUCUGUACGUUUAAGCUUAUUUGAUUGAUUAGUGUAUUAAGUUAUUCUGUAUCGACAUUGCCACUCUAUAUUUGGUCUAAAAUCUAUACUUGAUUCCAGUGUAACAUUGAUCUUUUAGAAUAUAUGAGCAUAUUCAUAACAUAUUAAUCAGUCUUAACUUAUAUUUGUUAAUUAAUUAUAAUUAGUAGUUAUUUUAUAAUUGCAUGUAAAUAGGAAAAUAAAGGGAUGGCAAAAUCUGGAUACGGAUCCAGAUCCGCAUAGCUAUUUUCACAUCCGGAUCCACAAAAAUAUAUAGAUAUGGAUGAGGGUAAUAUCUACACAAAUUGCGAGUAGAUAUCCGGAUCCGCAUAAAUUUAAAUUCAAAAUUUUAAAAUUUAAUUGAAAAUUCAACAAUUUACAUAAUAAUAUAAAAUAAAAUUCAAUCAUUAUUCAACAAUCAACAAUUUAAUACCUAAAAUAACAUACAACACUAUAAAUUCACAAACAAAAAUAUCACGACAUAAAUCAAAUAUCAAUAAUAAUAUAAAUCUAAAUCUAACACCACCACAAAUAAAAUUAUAAAAACACUACAAAUCCACAUAAAAUAAUGGGGAUCCCAAUACACACACACACACACACACUUUAGUUUCAUUUAUAUAUUUUUUAAUUAAUUCUAUUAUGUCUUUUCAUUUAACUUAUAUAUAUUUUAUUUAAUUUUAAUUUAAUAAAUAAUUUAAUUAAAAAAUAAUGUAGAUCCGAAUCCAUAUGAAUUCUACAAUUUAGCAUCCGAAUCCACAUCUUUUAAUAUGCGGAUCUAGAUUUUUUUAGAUUCAAAUCUUCCAGAUCUUUGAGGAUCUGAGCCGGAACCAAUUCUUUUUGCCAUCCCUAGGAAUUGUGAUAUUGCCAGCCUUAGGAAUUGUUAUAAAAAUAGGGAUAAAUUAAAUAAAUUUGAGUUGUGGUAUUCAAGAUAUAAAUAUAUUUUGCAUUUAAUCACAAAAGUUAGUAAGGUAGUGGAAAAGUAAUUCACUCCAAAUAUAAAAGUCAUAGGUUCAAGAGCACUAGCACGCCACCUAUGAGUAAUUUCUGUUACAAAAAUAACAAUAGUGAGUUAACAAAUAAAACAGUAGCUAAUUACACGAAAUUAAUUGGCAACAGAAUUAAACUGCAGCAAGACAACAACUGAAAUUAAACAACAGCAAAAAACAGCAACUGGAAAUCAAACGAAACAAAAAAAAAAAAAACUCGAGGCCUGUAACACAGUGUCCUUAAAACAAAUUUACCACCUACUGUAGUGCUUUAGGUUUGCUGGUAAUUGUUUCCUAGAAUACAAUGGGCACGAAUUAUCCAUCAAGCACAGACAGAUAAUUCCGGUGAACCACAAUAGCAAACUCGAUCAGAAAACAAGACGUAAGAAGGAGGAAAGAAAAUUUUAAGUAUUGUGUACUGGUUUUUGUGUGUGUGAAAGACAGAAGAGGAAGCUGCCUUUUUAUACACAUGUGAGGAUGUAACAGUAGCAUAGUAUUGAAUUUCCGAAUUCAAUACAUGUCAUUUAAUUGUUGUAAAAGCCAAUUGAAUUGUUUAAAUUCAAUUCAGCCAAUUAAAUUCAAAAAUUAAAUUGCAUAACAGCCCAAAAAAUAAUUGCGAAGCUAUUACAAAUCCUUUGAAUUCAAAAAUUGUGAAAGUGUUACAAAAAAUUUAAAAGGAAAUUAAAAACGUGCCAUGCAAGCUUGAGUGAUUUUGGGCUGACAUUAGCGUAUGCAAGACGCAUGGGUGCACACGAGUUCAACCAAAUCAGUCUUAGAUUCGCACCCCCCUGCGCACGCGAGUGUGGAGAGAGCCUCUAUCUUUAUAAUUUUUAUUCAUGCAUGGGUAAGUGUCUAUAUAUAAACACAAAUCCCUUGGCUUAUUUUUUCAUUAUGGGAUAAACCUCAUUUCCUUUCGAAUUUUCAACUUCAAGGGUGCACUUUGAGAGACAAUUUCUCAUUCACCCAAGCACCAUUUUAAGUAAAUAAAUAUAUACUUUUGAAGUAUUCACGGAGUAGAACCCGAACUUCACAAGAUUUCCCACUUUCGCUAAGUGGGACCCACUCAAAAUGUGCCCUCAAAAUAGCAUAUUGAUAUGUUAUUUUUUCAACAAUCCCUCACAUGAAUGAAAAUUGGCAGUAAAACAGAAAAACCGCUAAAUUUUGACAUCAAAACCAUUUUUGACUUUGAUGAUCGAGUUUAUUGGAUCGAUACCUAGCACAAGAUAGGUAGGUCUUAUCCUUUGAACCUUCUCUUGUGAUACUAGCUGAUCAGUAGAAGCGAUAUCUUUGAAUUGUUCUGUUGUUAGUGUAAACGAUCAUAUACUACACAUAUGUAUUUCUCCUAACACUGUUGAGUUCUCAUGGUUAUGUUCGUUUUGGCCUUGAACAUCUACUUGGUUCUGCAAGAGUUUCUAAGAACUGAACCCCUAACAGCUCCCUUUGAAGCGGCCCCACUUCUCUCUCACAUAGGUGAUAUCUUAAUUAAGAGUAACCCGCAUUACUCUGCUCGGAUUUCCAACGCAUAAGAAUCAUUAAGAGCCUAGCUCAACCUUAUUUCCCACAGGCAUCAUUGUUUCAUCAUAGGAGUGGUCAAUGAGGUAAUCCUCUCAAGAGAAUGACCCUCUUAGUGAUCCAACUUUAGUCUUUAACAAUUAGGUUGUCCCAUUGAACCUAGAUCUUGGGAUCUCGAGUCAACUAGGUUGGGUUUUCCUUCAUUAUUGACUAAUCAUUCUAUGAGUUUUAAUCACAUUCCCCUUGAUGAUUUUUCUACUAGCUCUCUAUUUAAUCCUUUGGUUAGCGGAUCAGCAAUGUUGUCCUUUGACCUCACAUAGUCAAUAGAAAUAACUCCAGUAGAAAUAAGUUAUCUAAUGUUAUUAUGUCUACGACAUAUGUGUCUAGAUUUACCAUUAUACAUAUUGCUCUGUGCCCUACUGAUAGCUGAUUGACUAUCGCAGUGAAUACAUAUUGUAGGCACAGGCUUUGCCCACUUUGGAAUACCUUCUAAAAAGUUGCGUAGCCAUUCUGCUUCUUCAUCACAUUUAUCUAAUGUAAUGAAUUCAGAUUCUAUUGUAGAUCUGGAAAUUAUCGUCUGUUUAGAAGACCUCUAUGAUACAGCUGCACCUGCUAGUGUAAACACAUAUCUUUCAUGUCAAAUUUAGACUUCAACAUAUUCUUAGUAGAUUUAAUCAUGUCAUCAUCACUCUCAACAAUGAGCAUGUCAUCAACAUAUAAACAUAAAAUGACAUAGCCAUUUUCUGUUUCUUUGACAUAAACACAUUUGUCACACUUGUUGAUCUUAAAUCCACUUGUGAUCAUCGUAUGAUCAAAUUUUUCAUGCCACUGUUUUUGUGCUUGUUUCAAGCCAUAUAAUGACUUUACUAAUUUACAGACUUUCUUUUCUUGUCCUGGAGUUAUAAAACCUUCAGGCUGCUCCAUGUAGAUUUUUUCAUCUAAAUCUCCAUUUAGAAAAGCCGUCUUUACAUCCAUUUGAUGUAUCUCAAGAUUGCGCAAAGCUGCAAUUGCUAUUAUCAUUCGAAUGGAAUUUAUUAUCGUAACAGGAGAAUAAAUAUCAAAGUAAUCAAGGCCUUCUCGUUGCCUAUAACCUUUAAUUACAAGCCUAGCCUUGUACUUAUCGAUUGAUCCAUCGACUUUCAUUUUCCUUUUGAAAAUCCACUUAUACCCCAAAGGUUUACAUCUUGGAGGAAGAUCUACUAGCUUCCAGGUAUGAUUUUGUAAAAUGGAUUCAAUUUCACUGUUAAUGGCUUCUUUCCAUAAAGCGCCUUCAUAGUUAUAGCUUCUUUGAAGCUCUGAGGUUCACUUUCUAGUAAUACGUCAGAAAGUCUGGACCAAAAGACUUUUCUAUUCUAGCUCUUUUGCUAUAUCUGAUCUCAACUUCUUGUUCUUCUCCUUCCUCUGAAACUUCAUCAUUUUCUUCAUUUUGAUUGUUUUCAUUUAUUGUUUCAUGAAGUUGUCGUAGUUCUUUUGAUUCCACUCUAGAAUUGCAAGGAAACACAUGUUCGAAAAAUGAUGCAUUUUUUGAUUCUAUUAUUGUAUUUUUGUAGACAUCUGGAACUUUAGACCCAUGCACUAGAAAUCGAUAAGCACUACUGUUUUGUGCAUAACCAAGUUUUGUGCAUAACCAAUGAAAAUGCAGUCAACAAUUUUUUGUCCUAUUUUCACUUUUUUAUUUGAAGAAACCACUACUUUAGCAAGACAGCCCCACACUCGUAAGAAUUUAUAAGAAGGUGUUAUACAUUUCCACAGCUCAUACGGGGUUUUAUCUUCUUACUUUCGGGGUAUCUUAUUUAAUAAAUAAUUAGUUGACAAAACAACGUCUCCCCAUAUAUUUUGGAGUAACCCAGAACUUAUCAACAUUGCAUUCAUCAUUUCCUUUAAAGUUCGAUUCUUUCGUUCCGCAAUCCCAUUAGAUUGAGGUGAAUAUGGAGCGGUUACUUGAUGUAUAAUUCUACUUUGUUCACAUAGUGACUCAAAUGGAACAACAUACUCACCACCGUGGUCACUCCUUAAUUCUUUGAUUUUUCUAUUAAGUUGAUUCUCAACUUCAUUUUUGUAGAGAAUAAACUUUUCUAAAGCUUUAUCUUUACUUUUCAACAAGUAUACAUAGCAACAUUUUAUGCAAUCAUCAAUAAAGGUAAUAAAAUAUUUAUUACCACCUCUUGUUUAAAUGGAUUUAAAAUCACAAAUAUCACUAUGUAUUAAAUCAAGUGGUUCAGUGUUUCUUUUAAUUGUUUGGAAAGAUGACCUAGUUAGUUUUGCCUCAACACAAGUUUCACACUUAUGUUUCAAAUCAAUUUGGAAAUUGGGAAUAUGCUUCAUGUUAAUUAAUUUAUGCAAUGAAUUAAAAUUAACAUGUCCUAAUCUACCAUGCCAAAAAUUAGAAAGACUCAAGCAAAUAAGCAGAAGAACUAGCUUCAUUAUUAAUUUUUGGUUUUAGAGUCAUUACAUUGAGCUUAAAUAGCCCAUUAUUAACAUAACCCUUUUCCCACAUACAUCCCAUUCUUUGACAAAACUACCUUAUCUGACUCAAACACUAUUCGAAAACCAUGUUUGUUCAACAGCGAUCCAGACACCAAGUUCUUCCAAAUUUCUGGCACAUAAAGCACAUCGUUCAGAGUCAGCUCUUUUCCAGAAGUCAUAUUCAGAAUCACAUUCCCUUGACCCUCAAUCUUAGACGUAGCAGAAUUCCCCAUGAAUAGCUUUUCUCCAUUGCUAACUGCUUCAAAUAAAGUGAACAACCCUCUGUCCGAGCAAACAUGUCUGGUUGCUCCCGUAUCAAUCCACCAUUCUCUCGGAUUAGAGCUAAUCAGAUUCACUUCUGAAACCAUUGCAGAGAUAUUUAUGUUUAAAACACGUUGAGUGAUGUUUUCCACCACAUUUUCCUCUUGCUUCUUUUUAGGCAAUCUGCAAUUCGAAGCCUUGUGACCCUCUUGUCACAGUUAAAACACUUUCCUUGAAACUUUGUUUGCUUCUUGGAGAUUCCUUCUUUCGGUCCUAAUUUUUUAUUUUUCUUAUUUUUAGGCCCAUGUUCAACAACAUUUGCCUUAGUCAUAGAAAUAGCCCCUCUUUUUCUGCAUUUAUAUUAUCUUCCUCAAUUUGGAGCUUAACAACCAGCCCUUCAAUAUUCAUUUUCUUGUGUUUAUGCUUCAAAUAACUCUUGAAAUCUUUCCAAGCAAGAGGCAAUUUUUCAAUAAUUGCAGCCACUUGAAUAGUUUCACUUAGCAUCAUCCCUUCUGCAAGGAUUUCAGAUAAUAUGAUUUAAAGCUCUUGUACUUGACUUAUUACAGUUUUGGAAUCCACCAUUUUAUAGUCUAACAAGCGGCCAACAACAAACUUUUUGGUACCUGCAUCCUCAGUUUUAUAUUUUUGGUCUAAGGAUUCCCAUAGCUCCUUGGCUGUUUGUUUUCCUAUGUAUACAUUAUACAAGGAAUCACUAAGGCCAUUCAUUACAUAAUUUUUACAUAAAAAAUCAUAAUGAUGUCAUGCAUCAAUUGCACUAGCAACUUGAACAUCUGUUUCACCCUCUUUGGGUUUAGGAGCAUCCUCCAUCAAGAACCUCGCAAGGUUUAACGUGGUAUGGUAAAAUAACAUCUUUUGCUGCCAAUGUUUGAAAUUCUGGCCAUUGAAUUUUUCUGGCCUUUCCACAUGAUUCACAAGAAUAGCCAUAGCGGCUGGUUCUUUCACAACAGAUGCCCCAGCAGCAGAAAUUGAAAUAGGAGCAGUCGGAAUCACAUCAUUGGUUUCAGUUGCCAUCUCAACGUUAAAUUUGUUUUAAGAUUGUUACAAAAAUAACAAUAGUGAGUUAACAAAUAAAACCAAAAGCUAAUUACACGAAAUUAAUUGGCAACAGAAUUAAACUACAGCAAGACAGGAACUGAAAUUAAACAACAGCAAAAAAAAGCAACUGGAAAUCAAACGAAACAAAGAAAAUAAACCCGAGACCUGUAACACAGUGUCCUUAAAACAUAUUUACCACCUACUACAGUGCUUUAGGUUUGUUGGUAACUAUUUCCCAAGAUACAAUGGGCACGAAUUAUCCGUCAAGUAUAGACAAAUAAUUCCGACGAACCACAAUAGCGGCAAACUGGAUUAGAAAACAAGACGUAAGAAAGAGGAAAGAAAAUUUUAAGUGCUCUGUGUGUGUGAUAAACAGAAGAGGAAGCUGCCUUUUUAUACACAUGUGAGGAUGUAACAGUAGCAUAGUAUUGAAUUUCUGCCUUUUUAUACACAUGUGAGGAUGUAACAGUAGCAUAGUAUUGAAUUUCUGAAUUCAAUACAUGCCAUUCAAGCUUGGGUGAUUUUGGGCUGACAUUCGCGUACGCAGGACGUGCGGGCGCACACGAGUUCAACCAAAUCGGUCUUGGCUUCGCACCCCCCUGCGUACGCGCGUGUGGAGAGAGCCUCUAUCCUUAUAAUUCUUACUCAUGCAUGGGUAAGUGUCUAUAUAUAAGCACAAAUCCCUUGGCUUAUUUUUCUCCUGUGGGAUAAACCUCAUUUCCUUUUAAAUUUUCAACCUCAAGGGUGCACUUUGAGAGACAAUUUCUCAUUCACCCAAGCACCAUUUUGAGUAAAUAAAUAUACACUUUCGAAGUAUUCACGGAGUAGAACCCGAACUUCACAAGAUUUCUCACUUUCGCUAAGUGGGACCCACUCAAAAUGGGCCCUCAAAAUAGCAUAUUGAUAUGCUAUUUUUUCAACAAUUUCCACUUACGAAGCCAAGUUGAAAAAGCUAGUUGAUACAAAGGGGUAUUAUUUGAAAUAUGUUGGAGAGAGUAGAGAAUUAAGAGUGAGAAAUUAUAUAGAGAAGUUAUAAUAAUGGGCAAUUUUUGUAAGUUUUCUAUGGUAUUUAUUUAUUUUGUUAUGAAUUAAUUUUCUAUUACUAGCUUAGGAUAAAUCUUUUGACGCGACUCAAAAAUAGUUCAUAAUAGAAAAUUAUGUAGUCAAUAAUUAGAUAAAAAUAAUUAUAGGAUAAAUAGUUUAGAAGAAAUAUGUCAAUAUAAAAAGGUGCUAAGGUUAUGAGAUCCACUUGUGCUAUUUAAAUUAUGGAUGUGAUAAUCUCUUAUAUCCUUAUAAUUUGUAUUUUUAUUGGUUAUGGUUGUUGAGUGUUAGAAAAUGUAUAUUUAUAAAGGAGAAAAUCAUCAUUUUACACUACAACCUUUACUAACACCAUUACUUUUAUGUAUUUAACAUUCUUUUGAUUUAAUUCCGUGUGUUUUAUUUUAAUUAAGCAUUUUAUGUAUUUUAGGGGCAUCAUAGUCAUUUCACAAUAAACGAGAGAUCAGACGGCAAAACGGACAUCACUUUUGAACUCAGGACGGUCGAAAACCUUAGGAGGAGCAUAAAAGGAAAAAUGGCACGAUUCACAUGUACGGUACUAUUCACGUGUACGGUACUGUCUACGUUACUGUUCAUGACACUGUUCACAUAGACGGAUCGAUGACGUGGCAUUGACCGAUGAUGUGGCAUUGACUGAUGAGGUGUCACGAUCCUGUUGGGCUAAAAUUCUUAUGUACUGUUGAUGGUGACGUGGCAGCAUAUCAGUGGACGAAAAAUCUCGCGUACGGUACAUGCAUCACACAGGAUUAUUUUCAACCAAACCGCGUCACUGUUCACCCGGGUCAAACUGUGUUACUGUUCAUCCACGUGGUCAAACCGCGUACUGUUGACUGAUGACGUGGUGCAAUCCUGAGCGUCCAAACUGUUUUUAAUCCGAUGGCCAUGAUUUACUCCAUGUAUCUAUAAAAAGGGGGUUCCCCCCCCUAAUUUGAUAUCUCUGAAUCCAUUUUUGGACUCUGUUUUCUGUAAUUCCUUCUCCAUCUUGUAUUUUCUUCGUAUUUUAAUAAAUUCUCAUUUUGCCCCUAGUUCAAUUAUGAGUGGCUAGUUUUCUUUCAAGCUUGGGUUGAAGGUGAAGUCUCAACAUGUGUCAUGGGCUUUAUUUGGUAAAUUUAUUUUCUCUUCCCCUCUAGUUUUUGUGGAUGAUUUGACUUUUCGUCGACAAAUAAUAAUAGUCUUGUCUAGAUACCGCCUUGGUUACACCGGCUCUCUAGUACUAGGUUAUUAUUAUUUGGCACGAUAAGCCCUUAGCACCAUAUUGAUUAGAGCGUGGUUCAUGAGGUGUGGAUUCCCCCCUCAUGAUUUAAUUGGCAUUAAUAAGGAUUAUUUAGCCCAUGAUGCAUGUUGAUACGGAUCCAGAUACCCAAGUACGUCAUUUCAAUAGAAUUCUCUUCAAUUUAUUCUCGCCAUUUCAAUUCCAAUUUCAGAAUUUAUUCUCGCAAUUUUAAUUUAAGUUUUAGCAUAUUCCAAUUUAUUUCCACCACAAAUCCAAUCACCCAUUUACAAAAUUAAUUCUACACACAAUUAAAAUCCACCUCCUCGUGGGAUCGACACUCGUCACCAUUGAUCUAUACUACAAUAGAUUCGUGCGCUUGCGAGUACAUUAAAAUUUGCACAACAAGUUUUUGGCGCCGUUGCCGGGGAGGUAAGUAAUUUUAAUUCAUAGAAUUAAUUUUUGUGAAUAAUUUCUUUUAUUUGUUUUCUUGUAUUUUUUAUAAAAAAAAAAAAGUGAAUCCGCAUUUAGAGGUUAGUAUUUCUUUUCUUUUUCUCUUCUUUAAAAUUCUGUAAUUUAAUUUAUUUUUCUUUGUAAUUUUUGUUUAUCUUAUUAAUUUAAUUUUUAGUUAAUUUAUUUCACGUAUUUAUUUUUGUGUAUUUUUAUAGUAAGGUUGUAAUAGCGCAAUAAGGUUAGUAUCAUAAUUUCUCCCUCUUAUUUAUUUUCAUUUGUUUUGUUCCCAUCUUUAUUUUUAUUUUUAUUUUAUUUUGCAUGCAUGGUCGUAGGUCAUUAUUACCUAAUCUUGAACCUAUAGACCUUGAAUUAGAAAAAACACUUCGCACACACAAACACGUUAAAAAUAAAAUGGAUUUGCAACCACAGGAGAGGCAAUUUAAGGACUAUUUUAGUCCCUUAGCUAAUUUGAGUACAUCAUGUAUUAAAUACCCAAAUGUAGCUGCUAGGAGCUUUGAACUAAAACCUAGUGUGCUAAAUUGUCUCCCCACAUUUUAUGGCCUAGAAAAUGAGGACCCAUAUAAUCAUUUGAAUGAUUUUCAUGCUAUUUGUCAAACAUUUAAAUAUGAGAAUUUUUCAGAUGAUGAUGUAAAACUUAGACUAUUCCCAUUUUCUUUAAAGGAUAGAGCUCGUUCAUGGCUUAAUACAUUGCCUGCUAAUAACAUUACAUCAUGGGAACAAAUGGUAACGAAAUUUUUGAAUAAAUAUUUCCCAGUACAUAAAACCAAUGCUAUUCGGAGGGAAAUUUCAGAGUUUACACAGAGAGAGGACGAGCAGUUUUUCGAAACAUGAGAGCGAUUCAAUGGGCUACUCUUGAAGUGUCCACAUCAUGGGUACGAGAAAUGGCAUCAAUGCCAAUACUUUUUGGAGGGAUUAUUGCCGAAUGUGCAAGAAUGGCUAAUGGCAACAAGUGGAGGAGAGCUAAUGUCAAAAAGUGCAUAAGAGAUUUGGGAAUUCUUCCAGCGACAAGCGGAUAAUUCCCAACAACGGAGUCGAUCACUCAGGAAUACUAAAAGAAUUAAAUGAGUGAAUGAGGUUCACAUUGGCGAGUCAACUUCGGGAAUCAAAGAAGUCAAAGCGAUAAUUGAAGGUCUUUCUCGACAAAUAGCAUCGUUAUCGACUGCUAAAUCAACAGAACCACAUGACCAUGACUCAUACCCAGAUCAAGCCAAUGCCGUAGGUGUAAUGAGAAAGCCAUCAAAUUACAACCCAUACUCCAACACAUAUAAUCCUGGAUGGAGAGACCACCCCAAUUUUUCAUGGUCUCAAGGAUUCCAACAGAAUGGACCAACGGCUCCAGCUCCACCAAUGCAACAAAUUUCUCAAAUUCCUCAAGCCUCUCAGCCCCCAUUUAGACCAUUCAAUCAGAACCAAAACUACUCUCAACCCAGACCAUGGGAGGAUGCAUUCCAGAAUUUCAAGAAUGUUACUCACUCCAUGAUUGAGCAACAGAACCGCACCAUUGAUGGACUACGAAAUGAGUUGAGAGCAGGCUUCAACUCACAAGCUCAAUCAGUUUCAAGCCUGGAGAAAAUGGUAGGACAACUCGCUUCUUCAGUUCAGACCUUGGCAAUGACUGUUGAGAAAGGCAAGUUUCCAAGUCAACCAGUGCCUAAUCCUAAAGGAGUACAUGAAGCAAGUAUCAGUUCACCACAGCAGCAUGGAGAGGUCAAAGCAGUCAUGACCUUGCGAAAAGGAAAGGAAGUCGAUAACAAAGUGGAGAUGCCAGUGACAAAAGAAAAUCAAAUUGUACCUGUAAAUGCUGAGGACUCACCACCGGAGGAGAGAGAAGAAACCAACCCACAAGAAUAUGUUCCGAAAGCUCCAUUUUCUCAAAGGUUAGUUAAAGGAAAAAAGGAAAAAUCCACAUGUGAGAUUCUUGAAAUCUUCAAACAGGUAAGUGUUAACAUCCCUUUACUUGAUGCUAUUAAACAAGUUCCAUCUUAUGCCAAGUUUCUUAAAAACCUUUGUACUAAAAAGAGAAAUAUGCAUGUUCAAAAGAAGGCAUUUUUAACAGAAAACGUUAGUUCUAUACUCCAACAUAAAAUUCCUUUAAAAUGCAAAGACCCAGGCUCCCUCACUAUCUCAUGUAGUAUAAGGAACCACACAAUUGAGAAUGCUUUGUUGGAUUUAGGAGUUAGUGUAAAUCUUUUGCCUUACUCUGUAUUCGUGAAACUUGGACUGGGAAAAUUACACCCAACUCCAGUGGUGUUACAACUUGCAGAUCGGUCCACGAAAAUACCUCGUGGUAUUGUGGAGGAUGUGCUUAUCCAGGUAGACAAGUUUUAUUUUCCUGUUGAUUUCAUUGUAAUUGACACUCAACCAAUACAUGAUUUAAUGAAGCACAUCCCCAUUAUUCUAGGCCGACCUUUCUUGGCAACUGCGGAUGCUCACAUUCAAUGCAGGACUGGAAAUAUGCAGUUGUCCUUCGGCAACAUGACUAUGGAGCUAAACAUUUUCAACAUUGCCAAACAACCUCACAGUGCAGAUGAUGGAAUUGUUGAUGUGGAUUUAAUAGAAACAGUAGUUGAUAAUAUUUUUCUUUCAAACCUUAGUGAUGAUCCUUUACAGACAUGUUUAACUCACUUUGAUUUUGAUUUUGAUAUUGACAGAUCAGUUAAUGAAGUCAACGCUCUACUUGACUCAGCACCAUCUAUGGAGAAUAAUAAAUGGAAGUCAAGAGUUGAACAAUUAACACCAUCAGAGAAGAAACUCAUCCCAUCAUCAGAAUCACCACCGAAACUCGAGCUCAAACCAUUGCCCAACACUUUGGAAUAUGCGUUUUUGGGAGAAGAAAGCACUCUGCCAGUAAUCAUCUCAUCAUCCCUAAAUGACGAACAAAAAUGUAAGUUGUUGGAUGUUUUAAAAGAGCACAGCGGAGCAUUAGGAUGGACCAUGCGGACAUAAAAGGUAUAAACCCAGUAGAUUGCAUGCAUUACAUUCACCUUGAUGAAAAUGCUAAACCUACUAGGGAAAUGCAACGUCGGUUAAAUCCUAACAUGAAAGAAGUUGUUAGAACUGAAGUCCUUAAGCUAUUAGACGCAGGUAUCAUUUACCCAAUUUCUGAUAGUUCAUGGGUCAAUCAUGUACAAGUUGUCCCCAAAAAGUCAGGAGUCACAGUAGUUACGAAUGCUGUUAAUGAAUUGAUACCCACUAGAGUGACUACAGGAUGGCGUGUAUGCAUUGAUUAUAGAAAGUUGAAUUCUGUCACACGUAAAGACCAUUUUCCUUUACCAUUUAUCGAUCAAAUGCUUGAUAGAUUAGCAGGCCAUGAAUUUUAUUGCUUUCUAGAUGGCUAUUCAGGAUAUAAUCAGAUUCCCAUAGCACCAAAAGAUCAAGAGAAAACCACUUUCACUUGCCCUUUUGGCACAUAUGCAUAUAGGAGGAUGCCAUUUGGAUUAUGUAAUGCACCUGCUACAUUUCAACGAUGCAUGUUAAGCAUUUUUUCUGAUAUGGUUGAAUGAUUCCUUGAAGUCUUUAUGGAUGAUUUUUCUAUCUUUGGUGACUCGUUUAAUCAAUGUUUACAUCAUCUAACACUAGUUCUGCAGAGAUGUAUUGAGAAGAACUUAGUCUUAAAUUGGGAGAAGUGUUAUUUUAUGGUAAAACAAGGUAUUGUUCUCGGUCACAUCAUUUCGAGCAAAGGUAUUGAGGUUGACAAAGCCAAGGUGGAUCUCAUUUCUAAUCUUCCUCCACCUAAAACAGUCAAAGAAGUAAGAUCUUUCCUUGGGCAUGCUGGUAUCUAUAGACGUUUCAUUAAAGAUUUUAGCAAAAUUUCUAGACCCUUAUGCAAUUUACUUGCUAAGGAUGUACCUUUUAUCUUUAAUGAUUCAUGUCUUAUGGCUUUUGAAAAAUUAAAGCAAUUGUUGACAUCAUCACCCAUCAUUCAGGCCCCAAACUGGAGCUUACCAUUUGAGCUCAUGUGUGAUGCAUCUGAUUAUGCAGUAGGAGCAGUAUUAGGACAAAGAGUCGAUCGAAUUCCCCCACGUUAUUUACUAUGCUAGUAUGACAUUGAAUGAUGCACAGUUGAAUUAUUCAACUACUGAAAAAGAAAUGCUAGCAGUAGUGUUUGCAUUAGAGAAAUUUCGAUCUUAUCUCAUUGGUUGUAAAAUAAUUAUAUUCACAGAUCAUGCUGCUCUUAAAUAUCUUCUCACAAAGAAAGAUGCAAAAGCUAGACUAAUUCGUUGGGUGUUACUUUUGCAGGAAUUCGACUUGGAAUUUAAAGAUAAGAAAGGCACAGAGAAUGUUGUGGCUGACCAUCUCUCUCGUCUCCAUUUUGACACAAUUACAGAGCCAUUAAUAUUGAAUGAGUCAUUUUCAUAUGAACAAUUAAUGAGUGUGGAAGUAUUACCUUGGUAUGCUGAUAUAGUUAAUUAUCUUGUUACAGGUAAACUUCCAGAGCAUUGGACCAAGCAAGACAAGGCUAAAUUCUUUGCGGAAAUAAAGAAUUUCUUUUGGGAUGACCCAUAUUUGUUCAAGUAUUGUGCAAAUCAAAUUGUUAAACGAUGUGUCCCAGAAAAUGAAAUUCAGAAUAUUCUUUCAUUCUGCCAUUAACAAGUUGUGGAGGCCAUUUCAGCGCUAAGAAAACAGCGACUAAAGUUUUACAAUGUGGUUUCUAUUGGCCAACUAUAUUUCGAGAUGCUUACACUUUCUGUUCUUCAUGUGAUAGGUGUCAACGAAUGGGGAGCAUUACACGAAUAAACAUGAUGCCACUAAAUCCAAUUUUAGUGGUUGAGAUUUUUGAUGUAUGGGGUAUCGACUUUAUGGGACCAUUUCCCCAUUCUUUUGGCCAUCAAUACAUAUUGGUUGGUGUUGACUACGUCUCAAAAUGGGUAGAAGCAAUUCCAUGUAGAACCAAUGAUCACAAAGUGGUGAUAGGAUUUUUGAAAAGCAACAUUGUCUCAUGCUUUGGAUUCCCUCGAGCAAUAAUUAGUGAUGGUGGUGCCCACUUUUGUAACAAAGCAUUCAAAGCUCUUUUGACAAGUAUUCAAUCACACACAAAGUGGCGACUCCGUAUCAUCCGCAAACCAGUGGCCAAGUUGAGAUCUCCAAUCGAGAAAUAAAGCAAAUAUUAGAAAAGACGGUGAGGCCAGACAGAAAAGAUUGGUCAUUAAGACUUGAUGAUGCAUUAUGGGCAUAUAGAACGGCUUUCAAGACCCCGAUUGGGAUGUCACCCUACAGGCUAGUGUAUGAAAAAGCUUGCCACCUUCCUGUGAAACUCGAGCAUCGUGCAUAUUGGGCCAUCAAGAAAUUCAACUUUGACAUGCAGCAAGCCAGCUCAGAAAGAAGAUUACAACUGACAGAACUUGAAGAAAUUCGCAAUGACGCAUACGAAAAUGCCAAGAUUUACAAGCAACGGAUGAAAGUCUUCCAUGACAAGCAAAUUAUGAGAAAAUCGUUCACUCCAGGUCAGAAAGUGCUUUUAUUCAAUUCUCGCUUGCACCUAUUCCCAGGUAAGUUACGCUUUCGAUGGUCUGGUCCCUUUAUUGUUCAUACUGUUUUUCCACAUGGGGCAAUUGAAAUUAAGGACCCAAAGAACGGUGUCACGUUUAAAGUUAAUGGUCAAAGAUUAAAGCCAUAUCUAGAAUACCAACCACAUGGAGAAGACACCGAAAUAAAUUUGAGUGACCCACCAGAUUUGAAUUGAUUUUUAUUAUUCUUUUCGUUGAUUUGAUUUUUCUUUCUUUCUUUUUAUUAUUCUUUUGCUAAUUGAAAUUAUUUUUGCAUAAGUGUGUUUGUUUAACUAUUAAGUUUUCUCUUAUCAUUUUUAAUCAUGAGUACCUUACUUAGACCGUUCCUCCUGAACAUUCUUAAACCACUUUAACGUGUCAAAACUCAUCUCAAAAGGCAAAUUCAAUUUUGUAAAACACAUCGCAUUUGGGCUCUACAACCACCAGAGUUAGUAGCCUAUGUUGAGAAUCUAGAAAGCCAACUCCGAGAUAUUGAGAGAAGUGUUUACGACAUCCAGUUGGAGCUUGAGGUAAAUUCAAUAAGAGGACGAUUUUAAUUUUCUUUGUGUGUUUUAAUUUGUUUUUCUGUUUGUGUGCUUUAGUUUGUUACCCCGGUGAAGUGGCGGAUAACGGUACUCCGUGACAAUCAAGUCGGUUACUUCAGUUUCCUAUAAUAACUGAUAUUCUGAGGCGAAGGUAUGGAUAGAAACGAGAUUCUAGCAAAGCUUCACAAGCGAUUCCCUUCACUUCCUCAGAAUGCCCUCCUUACAAUCUAUAAAGCCCGGUCUGAACGCAUGCGAUUGCUCAUGAGGAAUAACAUACCUGCAGCCAUCCGUUGGUUAAUCGAGGCUAAAGUACGAUUGGCAGGUGAGUUACCUCCUAAAUUUAUUGCAUACAUGCCUGGUUGUGGUAAAAGAAAUUAUGCAAGAAAACGACGAGCUCGAAGAAUUUCUGUUGCUUGUCAUAAGUGUGCCAGAAUGAGUUGCGAUAGAAACCCAUGUUCUUUAGGAAUGGUGUCUGAUAACAGGGAAGAUAAGAUUCAAUUCAUUAGGGAUGGCUUGAAUAAGGAGUCAUUGGAUGAUAUCCUUUUGUCUCUUGAAACGCAUCCCAGUGGAUAUGUGCAAGGAGCGAUUCUCCAGUUAUGGCCAUUAUUCCAGAAAGAGCAUGCACGAUAUAGUCUUGGGAAUUUGACUAUAAACGACCAUGUUUGCCAGUUUAUAAGAAAACUGGAUGGGAAGCCCAUCCUCGACCCAUAGAGGGCGUUCAAGCCGUUUCUGGACGUAAAACCAGAGGAAGAUGUGAGCCACAGUCGCAACUACCUGUAAAUAUCCUUUUACUUUACUGUUGUUUUAUUUUACUGUUGUUUUAUCGUUUGUAUUAUUGUCUUUAAUAAUUUUAUUACUGUUUACUUUUUCCUUUUUACUGUUUCCUUUUUGACUCGCGAGCCACGUGCUUUACGCGUUAUUUGACACUGACAUGUUACCUCAUUCACAGCUGUGAUCCACUGUCACCAAGAUUCUUAAAUGUGAUUUAAUUUUUGUCAAGCACUCACAAAUUAUUUUUGAGAAGUAUCACAAUGGCAGCUACUCCCAAUAGACAAUUCAAGAACAUUUGUGUGCUUUCUGGAUUUACCUAUAGCAAACAUAAAGAGUUCGUUGAGGCAGCCAUAGAUCUUGAUCGAAGCAUAGCAGCGAGAAAAUUACAUUUGGUGUAUGGAGGAGGUAACCGAGGGUUAUCAAAAAUGGUCUCAGAAGCAGCUUUUAUCAUAGGAAGUCAAGUGUUAGGCAUCAUCCCAAGAGUCCUAAAACCAUUGGGCAGUUCGUCUGACUCAUCAACUGGAGAAGAGUUAGUCGUCUCAGGUAUGCAAGAAAGAAUAACUGAAAUGCUUAAUCAUGCUGAUGCUUUUAUUUUCCUUCCAGGAGAUCUUGCAACACUAGAGGCACUUAUCACACUAGCAUCUUGGGCCCAUCUGCACAUCCACCAGAAACCCAUCGGUUUGUUAAAUGUCAAUAACUUUUAUGAUGGCUUUAUUGCAUUUCUUAACCAUGCAAUAAAAAACUAUUUCAUUCCUUCUAAUGUGAAAAAACUCUUUAUUUGUGCUCACACUGCUAAUGAGCUACUUGAUAUGUUACAAGCUUAUAAACCGGAGCCAGACCCCUGGACCUUUGUGUUGGAGUGACCAAAUAAUGAUGGUAACAGUAGCCGCAGUAAGAAGUACAAAUUAGAUUUAACUCUCCGCCUGUAAAUAUUUUCUUCUGUGUUGCACCACCCAGGUGAUGUCUUCUAAACUCUACUUCUUUCCUUUAAAACAUUGAGGACAAUGUUUCGUUCAGGUUGGGGAAAGGGAAUAGUCGACAAUUGUGGAAUUUUGGUUAAGUUUUUACUGAUUUUUUGUUGUAGAAACUAACUGUUGCUAACGUUUUGUGUUGAAGAUGGCUGAAUAUGGAGUGUAGUUACUCUAGAAACGCAUCUUCAUCGUUUAAAAAAAAAAAAUCGUUUUCUUCCUCUUUCUCCUUUAUAAAUAUAUAUUUUCAAAUUUUUGAGUCGAAGAUGGCUGAAUAUGGAGUGUAGUGCCUCUAGAAACGCAUCUUCUAAGUUAAAAAAAAAAAACCAUUUCGUUUUCUAUCAUUUUAAGUGUAACUUUUCUAAUUAGUUUUUAUGCAUCAUUUUCACAUUUCUGCAUGCAUAUUUUCCUUUCAUGUUUAGAAUAGGUUGGGGGGUAGAAUGUUGUUUAAAAAAAAAAAAUUGUGUGAUUUGUUUUAACAUUGGAUGACAUGAUUAAUUUCAAAUUUUAGUAUUUGUAUUAUCUUUGGUCUUAAGUGAUGUUACGCUAUGUUUGCUACUUUACAUGUUGAUGUCGGAGACAAAUAUGAGUUGCUUGAAGGAAUGAACAUGUCAUAAAUAAAUGCCAAGUGAGUUGUUGAGCCUAUCAUUUUCUUGGAGAGUAACCCUUUUGCCCAUUCUCUAUACAGCUUAGCAGUUUAUUAUUUUAUACACGAUCUCUAGAUUUCUUUUGAGUUAACCCUUAAAAAUGGUAAAAUUAAAAAAAAAAAAAAGAAAAAAAAAUGUGUGUUGCUACAUUGGGAGGCUCAUCUAACUAGUAGAUAUGGAUAAUUAUUUAGAGCCCUAAAAGACGAUGGAAAUGCCAUCUUUGAUUCGUUUGAGUCUUUCUAGCCAUCCCUUUUAUUAAAUAUCCAUAGUUACCCCUUUUGAGCCUUUAAAAAAAAUAUAUAUAUCUGCUUUUCUUUGUCAACUUAUCAUCUUGACCCACUCCGAUUUAGAGUAUUACCCGAUGUCUUAUAAGUUCCAUCACCUUUUAUGUUUGAGAAAAUGUAAAUAAUUAUUUUGUUCAGUGAAGUUAUGCCAAAAAAAAAAAAAACAACAAAACAAAAGUUGUUGUUUCAAAAGAAUAAAAAUAACAACAGGUGAAAUACACCUUGCAACUUCAAAAAAAAAAAAAAAAAAUCUCUGCAUUUUUUCUCAAACAUACACUUUGUUUUCCUUAUUUCCCUUCUGUGUUAGCCAUGUCCCUAGCUUACGUUACGUCCUAAUAAAAGUCCUUCUUGAUUUUAGGGAACUAUAGUUUGAAGUAGAAGCUAGUUAUAUGGGCUAAAAAGAUGUAGUGGUGCAUAAUAAUAAAAGAAAAAGAGAUAAAUAAAAUGGGUUGACUAGCAUUUUUGUGUGACUUGAGAUCGUAUUAUUUCUAAGCUGAGGGCAUAUUUCUUUCAUCUUGGUGAGAGCAUGUGAUAUCACUUCUUUAUUAUUUUCUCUCAAUUACCAUUCAUUGGAGUGACUAUUUUUAUUGGGUUUAAUUUUUUUGCGAGAGUGUCACUACUUCCAGUGAGAUUUUGGGAUUUGACAUGUCAUUCUUGAAAGUAGCUAUAACAAAGUCUACUGGGAUGAUUCAUGUGGAUGGUUGAUGUGGGUGUGAUGUUUCUUUAGACUAGAGAUAAUGCUUAUACUUUUAUUUGAUUGCUAUCAUUAAUCUGAUUGAAUAAACACGAGUGUUUCUAUUAAAAAAAAAAUCAUUUUGGAUUUGAAUUUUGUUUUUGCUUUAUUUGCUAGGGACUAGCAAUAAGCUGGUUGGGGGGUGUGUUGAGUGUUAGAAAAUGUAUAUUUAUAAAGGAGAAAAUCAUCAUUUUACACUACAACCUUUACUAACACCCUUACUUUUAUGUAUUUAACAUUCUUUUGAUUUAAUUCCGUGUGUUUUAUUUUAAUUAAGCAUUUUAUGUAUUUUAGGGGCAUCAUAGUCAUUUCACAAUAAACGAGAGAUCAGACGGCAAAACAGACAUCACUUUUGAACUCAGGACGGUCGAAAACCUUAGGAGGAGCAUAAAAGGAAAAAUGGCACUAUUCACAUGUACGGUACUAUUCACGUGUACGGUACUGUCUACGUUACUGUUCAUGACACUGUUCACAUAGACGGAUCGAUGACGUGGCAUUGACCGAUGAUGUAGCAUUGACUGAUGAGGUGUCACGAUCCUGUUGGGCUAAAAUUCUUAUGUACUGUUGAUGGUGACGUGGCAGUAUAUCAGUGGAUGAAAAAUCUCGCGUACGGUACAUGCAUCACACAUGAUUAUUUUCAACCAAACCGCAUCACUGUUCACCUGGGUCAAACUGUGUUACUGUUCAUCCACGUGGUCAAACCGCGUACUGUUGACUGAUGACGUGGCGCAAUCCUGAGCGUCCAAACUGUUUUUAAUCCGAUGGCCAUGAUUUACUCCAUGUAUCUAUAAAAAGGGGGCUCCCCCCCCCCCCAAUUUGAUAUCUCUGAAUCCAUUUUUGGACUCUGUUUUCUGUAAUUCCUUCUCCAUCUUGUAUUUUCUUCGUAUUUUAAUAAAUUCUCAUUUUGCCCCUAGUUCAAUUAUGAGUGGCUAGUUUUCUUUCAAGCUUGGGUUGAAGGUGAAGUCUCAACAUGUGUCAUGGGCUUUAUUUGGUAAAUUUAUUUUCUCUUCCCCUCUAGUUUUUGUGGAUGAUUUGACUUUUCGUCGACAAAUAAUAAUAGUCUUGUCUAGAUACCACCUUGGUUACACCGGCUCUCUAGUACAAGGUUAUUAUUAUUUGGCACGAUAAACCCUUAGCACCAUAUUGAUUAGAGCGUGGUUCAUGAGGUGUAGAUUCCCCCUCAUGAUUUAAUUGGCAUUAAUAAGGAUUAUUUAGCGCAUGAUGCAUGUUGAUACGGAUCCAGAUACCCAAGUACGUCAUUUCAAUAGAAUUCUCUUCAAUUUAUUCUCGCCAUUUCAAUUCCAAUUUCAGAAUUUAUUCUCGCCAUUUUAAUUUAAGUUUUAGCAUAUUCCAAUUCAUUUCCACCACAAAUCCAAUCACCCAUUUACAAAAUUAAUUCUACACACAAUUAAAAUCCACCUCCUCGUGGGAUCGACACUCGUCACCAUUGAUCUAUACUACAAUAGAUUCGUGCGCUUGCGAGUACAUUAAAAUUUGCACAACAAUGGUACUUUAGGAUUUAGUAUUCAUUAGCCAGUCUAUAAAAAGAUGCUGGAUUAAGUACAUAACAUGUUGCAACUGUAUUGGAGUAUUUUUACUACUGUAUUGGUAUGUUGAUAUUAGGUCUCUAAUCCAACAUAUAUUCAAGGCAUCUAAAUCUACAGAUAAUUAUGGGGUCAAGUACUUAACGUACCAUAACCGUAUUGGUGUGUUGACAUUAAGUCUAAACUCUCAGUUGGAAUGAAAUUAAAAAAUAACCGGUAGAAUAUACAACUUAUAAAUAUGUAAUUAAAAAUAAUAACUUUAAACUAACUUCAGUGAGUAAUUAAAUCCAUAAACUAGCCUUUUGGCAAAAACAAAACACUAAUUUUAUUUAAUAAAUUAACUUACAAAAGUACAACAAAAUGAAAUAAAUUAAAAGAGGGAAAAGAAAAAUCUAUUGUAUUAACUACUCCUUUCCUUCAAGUUCACUCUACAAUUUGCACUAAAUUCACUCCUAAACCCACAACCAAAAUUCUUCUCUUAAUUCACGAGCUCUCUUGCCUUUAUCCGCAAAUUUUGAUUUUGAUUAAAUGUAGUAUUUACAUAGUAACUUUGUUGAGCUUGCAAUCACGACAUUUAGAUGAGCUUUAAUGAUACAAUCCAAAUUAUCAAAUGGUCUAAGUUUGCAACCAAUGUGGUGCAUUGUGGAGUGUCGGAUUCAAUUAAUGAAUGGCUACAAACCAAAUCAAAUUGGGACUCUUCAUUGGAUCUUUUGUCAAAGUGGUUGAAUCAUUAAAGUAAUAUGUGUUGAAUUUGGUGUAAUAGGGUGCAUGUGAGCUCAAACAUGUUGCGGAAUCUCAACUUUUCAGAAUCAUUAAUCUGUUUUCCAAUCCAAGUAUAAAAAAUUCACGAAUUCAGGGAUCUUCCUACAAAAUACAAAAAUCACACAUAAAAAUAAAUAAAAUAAAUAAUUCGUAAAAUAGACCAUGGAUUUGUAAAUGUGACAAAGUUAGUAUUUUCAACAUUGUAAGUGCAAAAUAGUAAAUUUUAAUGUUUAUUAAAUGUUAACUUUUUUGUUUUAUUUAUGUUUAUAAUAUAAUAAAUUCCAAUUUUUAUUUAUUAAUCUCUCAUUUACUAUUUUCAUGUUUAUAAUUCUAGCUUCACAUGAUUUAUAAAACUGAAACUCUUUUUAUCAUUAAUAUCAUGUAUUCUUGGUAGUUAGAAAUAAUUUUUAAUAAAUCUAUACUUGGCUUGGUAAUUUUUAAUUACUAGCCCUUUGGUUUUAUAUUUUUCAAAACAAAUACACUUAAUAUUAAUACUUGUAAAGUAAAAGAGAAUUUACUUUAUAAAUUUCACAUGCGCAUUAAUGAAAAAUAUUAUAUAAACAAUAGAUUGAUUUCUUGAUGGUUACUCUAAUUUAUGGGAUUUAAUAGAUAAAUAAUUAGGAUUUAUGAAAUUAGUAAUGAUGGAUUCCAAAGGCUUAGUAUUUUAUCAAUCUUGAAUUUUCCGCUCACUUUUAUUUACUUUCAGUGUUAAGUUUAAUAUGAUUUCCAUCCUUAAAACAAUCUUGGUUAACUAGAAUUAAAUUGAUAUAGGUUUAAUUUAUUUUUUCCCAUUAUAAUAGAUAAUCCCUGUAGGUCGACCUUGUUCUCCGCAAAUCUAUACUUCAAUAUAUUCGUGUGCUUGCAAAAAAAUUUUAAAACUAAGUUUUAAGCACAAUAAAGAAUAAAUCAAGCUCAAUUUCAACAUUUGUACAUUCGUAGCCUUUGAGAAAAUAAAGUAAUUAAAACUUUACUUUUCGAAUAAAUUGCCCAAUGUUUCCAAAUUAGUCCAACUUCGUACCUUUUCGACAUAAACCGUAUAUCUCAGAGAGGUUGUAUUUCUUUGGGUUGAUAGUAAUGGAAUGAUUUCGUUAUCUAAAAUGAAGAACACUCUUACAAUAAUAUUCUCACAUCUGGACAAUUAACAUAAACAUUAUUGUGAUAGAUCCAGAUAUUUUAGAAUAUAAAGUGAACACAACAACUUAGUGGACCUUUUUGGAACAAACGUGUAUGGGAUGAUUUUCUACACUUGGUGAUCCAUUCUUGGGAUUAAGGCAUGUGGGCCAAUUCCCCUACACUUGAGGAUGAAUGCUUGUAAGUCAAUCCCCGACAAUCAGCAAUCUUUUCUUGCGAUGAACGCGAGCGAGGCGGUCCUUUACACUUGAUGAUUUAUUCUUGGGAUGAAUAUAUGUUAGGUUGUCCCCUAACUUAGUGAUCUUUGGAGAAUGGUCAAUUGAACUCAUUAGGGUUGAACCAGACUUAGCUUUUAUUGGUAAACCGGUGAAUCCUCCAAGAGUAAGGAUCUUUAUCCGAACUCUUUAGGGUUGAUCCUCAAGAGGUGUUGUAAGUCGUCUCCUACGAGUAAGGUUAUUCCUUAAAUAUCUCUCGAAUGAACACUAAAGCGAGGUUCUUUUUCAGACCGUUUUGGGUUUAAAUAACGUUGAUCCCCCAUGGAUGAGAUUCUUUCUAAGAAUUCUUCGGUAUUAAACUCUCAAGAUGGUUCUUCCUCAGAACUUUUCAGAGUUCUUUAUCAAAACUCUUUGGGGUUGAGCCCACAAGAGAGAUUCUUACUCAGGAUUUUUUAGGGUUGAAUUUGAAUCCUUAAGGUGUUAUAGGUGAAUCCCUUAAAAGUAAGAUUCUCCAUCAAAACUAUUUGGGAUAAACCUUUACAAGGUUUUAUAAUUUUGUCUCCCAAAGUGUUCCCUUAGCUUAAUGUGUUGGAAGCAAAAUCAGUUUUUUAAAUUAAAAAAAAAAACUUUUAGGUUCACUCUCAUACAAUAUAUAAGAAUUUAUAAUCUAGAAAUCGUACCUUGAAAAUCCGAUUUGGCUUUUUUCGCUGAAGUGAUUUAAGCUCCCAGAUCACAAUCCGUCACCACCACUCCCGUUAGAUCACGAUUUGUCACCAACACUCAUGUUAGAUCACGAUCCGCCACCAAAUAAUCUUCUAGGCUAUGACUCAAGUUUAAUCUGCACUUAACGUGUGGGCGUCUUUAUCACCAUUAAAGCAACUAGCACAAUAAAAUUUUUCUCUCAAAAUUAGAGAGAAAAAUCUUUUUCUCUUAUUUGUAUAAAGUGGUUGCUCUAUUUCUUUUGGGAGAAAAUAAACUCUUUUAUAUUUCUAUCUAGUGGAAACCCUAGACUCCAUAUUUAUUUAAUUCUAUUAAAUCCCUUUUGAUUUAAAUUAAAAAAUAAUUAAAACAAAAGUCACUUCUUGUGUUAUAGGGGCCCACCUUGUAAAAUAACACAAGGCCCCUUACACUCAAGCAUAUUAAUGGAGUCUCCCACUAAAUAAUAUAUUUAGGCUUUUGACCCAAAUAUCUAGUUAUCUUGCUUAUUAAUCCAGUAGUGGUGCAGUCAAUUAAAUGAGCUAACCCGGGGAUCAUUUGAGAACAUACAAUAGUGGCUACAAUAAUUAGGCUUGUAAUUAAACUAGCCCAAUUAUUUAAUUACAAAUCUACUCCACUAAAAGAUUAGAACUGACCUCCAUAAUUAUAUGCUCGAAUAAUAAUUCGUCCCAAGCCACAUUGAUUUCUUUACUGCACAAUCAUUUGUACCACAUCAUUAAUUAAAUCGAUAUCUCAACUGUCCAAUCAAUUUAAUUACAUCUUGUUCCUUGAUUCUUACUGGUUUUCUCUAAUGAUCAUUUUCAACAUACUAAAUAUGUUGACACACUCUAGCCAGAGAAUUCUAUGAUCAAGUGCCGAAAAUCCAUCAAGAGAUGUGUUGUACAAAUUCUAUAUUGUCAAUCUAUAACUCGAAUACUCAUAAUUGCUCCUACCAAGAUACCGGGUAAUCUUGACUACAAGUAUGUGUUGUGCUCAUUGCUAACUCAAAUAGAAUAAAAAUUACAAUCAUGAAAUCAUAAUUAACUCAAGAUUAAGAUUACAGUAAAAUCAAUGCCUAUGAGAUUUAAUAAGUCUAACAGUCAUGUCAAGGUUAAUUAAAUCUCAUAUGUGAUCCAGCUCAAUGUAGUCAAACUACAUCAGUAAAUUUAUACAUGAUUAAGACAAAUCAUUCAAUGAAUUUACUACAGUCUAAACAUAUAUAGAGCGCCCAACUCUAUUUAUCAACUGCGAACUAAAUUUAUUUAAUCAUUAGAUAACUUGUAUUUAUGUCUUCUGUGAAUCCAUAUGAUGAUCACAUAAAUACAUAUAAUAUGAUUAAACGGACCUUUUUCAAUAUAUAUUUAUGCAAUUGAAAAUAUCUCAAAUAUUUUAUUAAUCAGAAAAUAAAUUAAUAUGUUUUAAAAGAGCAUAUAAUCCCAACAAUCUCCCACUAGCUCUUAAGCUUAUCUGGCAUAUUGCACAUGCUUUAGGGCUCUAAGUGCAGGUUAUAAAGGUUUCCCACUAAUGGCCAUUGUAAUAAGAUCUGCCAUAUAGCAUCUAAUGUCAUUUGAGGUGCUGUCAUAUAAUAUUUCUACACUAUUCCCUUAUAAGAUGAUACUUCCUCUCAAUAUGUUUUGUUUCUUGUGGUUUCUUGGUUCCUUAGAUUGAGCUACCGCACCACCAUUAUCAUAAAAUAGUUUAACGGUGCAGUUACAACAGGUACCACGUCAAGAUCUUAUAGGAACUUGCGGAGCCAUACAGCUUCUUUUGCAGCUUCAGAUGCAGCCACAUAUUUAGUUUCAGUUGUGGAGUCUGUUAUACAAGAUUGUUUCACACUCCUCUAACUAAUAGCUCAACUUCCUAACGUAAACACAUAGCCAGAAGUUGAUUUUCUAGAAUUCUUAUCUGACAUAAAGUCAGAAUUAGUAUAACCCACUGGAAUGAGUUCAUCACCAGAAUACACAAGCAUAUAAUUUUUAGUUCUUUUCAGAUGCUUCAUUAUAUGAUGGACUGCAGUCCAGUGUUUAGGUCCAGGAUUUGAUAUCUACUAACCAUCCAUACCGCAAAACAGAUGUCUGGCCUAGUGUAAAGCAUGACAUACAUGAGACUUCCCACUGCUUCUGCAUAGGGAACUUGUCUCAUUCUCUCUAUCUCUUCAGAUGUUUUAUGUGAUUGAUCCUUAGAGAAUACAAUUCCAUGUCUAAAUGGUAAUAAACCAGUCUUGCAAUCUUUCACGCUAAAUCUAGCCAAUAUCUUGUUGAUAUAGACCGCUUGAGACAAGGAUAAAGUUUUAUUCUUCUGGUCUCGUAGUAAUUUGAUACCAAGAAUAUAACUUGCCUCUCCCAGGUCUUUCAUAUCAAAUUGUUUUGCUAACCAAAUCUUUAUUGUAGUCAAUACUCCUAUAUCAUUUCCAAUUAGGAGAAUAUUGUCUACAUAAAGAAUUAGGAAGGCUACAAAUUUUCCCUGAAUCUUCUUGUACACACAUGGUUCAUCAAUGUUCUGAAUGAAUCCAUGCGAUUUAAUCGUUUAAUCAAAUCUAAUGUUCCAUGACCGGGAUGCUUGCUUUAAUCCAUAAAUGGAUUUCUGCAACUUACAUACCAUGUAUUCUUGGCCUUUUUGUACGAAUCCAUCUGGUUGCUGCAUGUAGAUGUCUUCUUCAAGAUGCCCGUUAAGAAAGACUAUCUUGAAAUCAAUUUUUCAAAUUUCAUAAUCUAGCACUGCAGCAAUAGAGAGCAGAAUCCUGAUGGAUUUAAGCAUAGCAACAAUAGAAAAGGUUUCCUCAUAAUCGAUUUCCUCUUUCUGAUUAUACCAUUUGGCUACUAAUCUUGCUUUAAACGUUUCCAUCCUUCUGUCUACUCCUCUUUUUCUCUUGUAGAUUCACUUGCACCUUAUAGGUUUUACCCUAUUUGGUGCCUCUACAAGUUCUCAUACUUUAUUGGAAUACAUUGAUUCCAUUUCUUGAUUCAUGACCUUUUUACAAAAUUCAACAUUUUUGUCUAUUAGAGCUUCAUUAUAGCUAGUGGGAUCUUGUAUAUGUUCAACUGAGAUCACCGUAUAAGUUUCUCUCAAUAAAAUGCAUCUCGCAAGUAACCUAGUUACCCUCCCACUACGACGAGGUUCUAAAAGUAAUGGUUGUUCAUGGAUAAUCAUGUGCUGAUCAGCUGGUUGUUGUUGUUCUUCCUGUUUUAUAACAGGUGUUGAAAACUGAGCAUCAACCUGAUCUCUUUUAUUUCUCUAGUUUUACCUUACUCUUAGGUUAUAAGUCAUUAUAUAGUCUUCCUCAAAGAAAGUAAAGAAUAUGUCUAUAAAUACAUUCUUAUCUUGAGAACUAUAAUUCAGACUUUCCCUUAUUCCUUUAAGAUACCUAAAACAUGCAAGCUUCUGAACACGAAUCCAUCUUCUCUACCUCUGAUUCUAGUAGAAAUACUAGUAAACUCCAAAUACGAAUGUGUCUCAAACCAUGUUUGUGACUUUUUCAUAAUUUCUUGGAGUAGUAGACACUGAGGUAGAUGAAACUAAGUUCAAUAAACUUUGCAGUUUUAAAUACUAGUAUCUGGAAUAAAAAAGGUAAAUGAUAAACCACUUACUAUAUAUCUUGUCUUAUCCAAAAGAAUAUUGUUUCUCCAUUUAAUUACACUAUUGUAUCAUAGUGUUAAUUAUAUGUGGGAGUUUAUCUCAUUUGACAACCAAAUGAAGCUUGAAUUCUCCAUAGAUAUAUUCUUUGUUUCGAUCAUAUCGAAGUUCUUUUAUGUUCCUGUCUAAUUGCUUCUGUAUUAUCCAUGUACCCUUUUGAAUUUCAAAAGUAAUGGAACCAUGACGCAUUCAGACAAACAUAAAUGAAAUGAAUAUUCAUCAACAAGAUUGAUAGAAUACUCAUAACCUCUUAUAACAUGUAAAUUGAUUAGUCCGUAUACAUUUGUAUUCGUUAAAUCAUCCAAUACAAUAUUAUGCUUUUAUCUCAAAAAGAGCACUCUCGUCAUAUUACUUUUCCAAAUAAGAUUCAUAGAGUUACAAUGAUUAAUCUUAAUAGGCUAACAAGCCUAUCAUUAAUCAUUUUCUUAAAAUCUUAUUAUAGUUUAUAUGACUUAAGCAUAAAUAUAAGAGGUUUCUUUUCUUGGAUAAAUGCAUAUACUUUUUUAUCAUUAUAUCUUGCUUUGAAUAGAUCAAUAGACUUAUAUGAUAUAAAUUGUCUUUAUAAAUAACCAAAAUAAGUAAUAAACAGAGGAUCCAAAAAAUAACAGUGUACUCCUAUUUAUUAAAACAAGCACCGAAAUUAAAUUCCUCUAAUAUUUGGAAAAAUAAAGACAAAUAUCAAAACUAAAGUCUCGUAAAAUUGAUCUAGCCUUUCAAUUGAUAUAAACUAGCAUGUCCUCAACUGCUGUUUGAAGCUUUCUUCACUUAAUCUCUUGGUUUCCUGAAAACCAAAUAAAUGGAUUACAAAUAAGAUUAGUUAUCUCAGAAUUCACUAUUGCAUGAAUCAAUAGAAAUCUAAACUAAUUAGGAAGCUUAAAGAUUUCCAAUAAUCUUAGGACAAUCUUUCUUCCAGUGACCAUUCUGUCCACAUUUGUAACACUUGCCUCUUGACUUGCCAAUUAUUUUAGUGGACAGUUUGCCGAUCCCAACUCUUUCUUGUUUAUUCCUGUCUUUCGACUUAAGCCUUGAAGAGAAUCAUUUUCUAGGAAGUUUUCUGCUAUGAUAAAAUUCUUCUAUAGCAUGUAGUUCGUGCAUUAAUUCAAUUAAGGUCAUAUCUGUUAACAUAUAUGUUUACAUAAUGUUGAUUUUGAUGAUAACAAACAAAAUUAAGAAUGAUUAAUAUUUUAAGCUCAAAUUAUUUAAUAUAUUCUUUUUAAAUAAAUCAUUAUUUUCACAUUAUAAAUGUUUCAUAUUUAAUGGAAAAAUGAUUUUAUGAAAUUGGUUGUUUUUCAAAGUUUAUGGUUUAAUUAAAAGAAUUUUGAAAACUUUGAAAUAAACAAGUAUUGCUUGAAAUUUUAGUAAAGGACUUAUUUGAAAAGUGUCAUAGCAUUUUUGGAUAUAUCAUAAUUUCAGAAAGUUUUGGGAUUAACAAAGCAUUACUUAGAAAUUCUAAAAUUGGACCUAUUUGCAAAGUUUCAUAACAUUUUGGGUCGUAAUACAGUUUUGUAAAGUUUUGGGGUCAAACUAUAAUUUUAGAAAACAAUUUCACUGUAGCAAUCACUGUAGCAACGGCUAACCGUUUAUUUAAAACGGCUAACCGUUUAUUUAAAACGGCUAACCGAUAAUUUUCAGAAAGCAUGUUUUGCAUAGUAUUGUUAAAAUGAUGAUUCUGGAACAUAACGGUGAACUGUUUACUGAAAACGGUUAACCGAUUAUUUUCAGAUUGCUAACCUUGAACCGUUUAGUAAGAACGGUUAAACCAAAUUUGUUUUGCAGGUCUCUGGAAUUUAACGGCGAAAGGGUAAUACUAAACGGUAAACCGUUUAUUUGAAAAUUGGCCCAACGGUAACUUUGACCAGCCUAAACGGUUAACCGUUAAUGGUUAACCGUUAAUGGUUAACGGCGAACCGUUUUUGAGCAGACAAUCUAUAACGGCUAGUUUUUCAGCUACAACUAUAAAUAAGCUCAAUCCAAUUCAAACAAGAAAAAUUCCAACGAUCAUCAUUGAGCAAAAUAUUGAGAAUACAACUUUCAUUGAGCUUUAAAUCCUUGUAUUCAUCUCAUUCAUUCACACAUUGAGCUUUCACUUGUGAUCAAACACAUUGUGUGAGAGAGAUUCAUUUGAAAUCUUCUUUGUAAAAUCAAGUUAAAAGAUUGUAAGUGUUGGGAUACACUUGGUUAAGAGAUUGGGGAUAAUCUCUUGUUGUAAAGGUCCAUUGACACCUUGGAAGUCAAUUGUAAGCGUUUGAAGCCUAGGGAGGCUAGCUUAGUGAAAUCCUCAAGCCCGGUGAGCUUGGAGGCGUGGACGUAGGCGGGGUUUGCCGAACCACGUAAAAACCAUUGUGUUUGUUUUCUCUUCCCUUACUCUUUUAAUAUUGUGCAUGAUUGAAUUUAUUGUUUUCAAUUUGAUUAAGGCAAUAGAUUAAAUUGUUGUGCGAAUUGUAUUGCAUAAUUUUUAAAAUCCCAAUUUACCCCCCCUCUUGGGUUGCCUAGUUAGUAUUUCAAUAUCUUUAUUGUUUAAGAUAUAGCUGACUUUAAACUCUCUGAAUGUAUCAAGCAAAGAUUCAAUCACCAUGUUAAUCUUUAUUUUAUCAUUGAUUUGAACACCAUGAAUCUCUACUUCAUUCAAAUAGUCCAUCAUUUUGAGGACAUGAUCACGAACUCUUGUACUCUCUUCCAUCUUAGUAUCCGUAAUACGUUUUAAUGUUGUUUCUCUGGCAAAAUGAAUAUUUUACCCAAACAUCUGAUGAAGACUAGCUAUUAUUUCAGUGGUUGUUUCCAUGCUCCGAUGUUUCUUAUGCAGUUCCACAGAAAUCGAAGCCAAUAUAUAGCGCUUAGCCAUUUUGUUAGCUUCGCACCAUUUCUCAUAAGGCUCGCUCUGAUUUCUAUAAUCGUAUAACGUUGGUUCUAGAGGGCAUGGCUGGGUCAAAACAUAUUUGCAACCUUUAGCAGUGAGAAUAUUAAAUAGAUUGCGUUUCCAAUCUAAAUAAUUUUCGCCAGUGAGUUCAUUUUUAACAAGGAUAAUUAAUAAUGGGUUGAUGGAAGACAUUUUCUGAAAAACAAAAUAGACAUGCAUAAAUACUUUGAAACAAUAUUCACAAUAAAUGACAAAAAUGCAAAAAAACCAUAAAUGCAUUUUAAUUUAUUGUAACGAUAAUCUAGUAUCGAUUUGACAAGCUAUCCGUUGGGGAAGUCAUGUCUACACUUACUAGACUCAAUUAUCCAUUGGAUUAUUUACUUUCACGUAGAGACAUGAUAAAUAAUUAUCGUUAUCCCUUUGGGCCUAAAUUUGUUAACAGAGCUUCGUUGAGAAAGUUAAAAACAAAUUUUAGUUGAGUGUAUAACCAUUGUUUCAAUCUACGUAUUUUUCAUAUCAAUAGUCACCGUUGGGGUGAACAAUUGAUUGAAAAAUAUUUCAAUUUUAUCUUUGAAGAAGUUCAUCAAAUAAAAUAUCUAAUAUAUAUACCCUCCGUAGGGAGCAUCACCGUAUCAUGAAGUUGAGGUAUAUAUAUAAUUUUAUUAUUGAACUAAGAAUGGAGCCCGUGGAAAAAAUUAUCUUGAAUUUUCCCUCUCCCACUCAAUAUUUUAAAAUUGAUUUUUCAUUUUAAAACAUACAUAUUGUUAAUUGCAUGCUUCCUAUAAUAUUAUCUAGAUGAUAUCCAAUAUUAUUAAGUAUGUGCAAAUUACAAACAAUAUAACGAGAUUCAUAAUAUAUGAAUGACAUGUAUCAUUAUGCAUAGAGUGGCACUACAUAUUUUAUAUGACAUGUUAUCGUGGCAUGUUAUCAUCCAAAACAUAACAUAUAGAAAAAUAAUUAAAUAAUUUUAAUUCAUGGUUUUCCUAAAAUGAAAAAUGCAUUAACCCUAAGCCUAAUCUUCAUUGGGCUUAUUAUCAAUGUCUAUCUUCCAUAGGCUUGUCUUUGUUAAUGGACUAGGGGAAAUUGGACUUUUUAAUUUAUUAUUGAUCCAAUUUUAAUUUUAAAAGGAAAUAAAUAAUAAUUUAAUUUUUUUUAUAUAAAAUAAAACUUUUGGACCAAAAAUAAAUUUAAUGUGUUCAAUUUUAUUUAUGCAUUUUAAUUCAUUAAGUCCAAUUUCAAUUGGGCCUAAAACUAGAAUUCAUUAAGCCCAAAACUAUUUUGAACUUAAAUGCAAAAUAUUAAAACUUGUUAGCCCAAAGAAAAAAAUUAUAGAACUACAGGGAUCUAAAUGAUAAAAACCAUUGAAACCCUAAAUUCAUCUUUUUCUCUCCCCAAUCGCCAUCACCACAAAGGGCAUCCACUGUUCACCCAUCUUCGACGCCGAUUUGACAGUCGUUGCCUCGCCGGGAAGCCACCAAACGAUGCCUUCCACCAGCCGCAAACGCCCGCAAUCUUCCACCCAUGCUCGCAGUGCUGGUGGCGCUGCUGGUCGGGUGCUGCAGCUUCUGGUUUUUGUUGCUUGCAGUGUGCGGCCAGCUUGCUGCGCAUGCAACGCAGCACGCGCUGCUGAGCGUUCAACGCACGCUACUGGUUGCGCGCGCUGCUGCUGCGCGUGGCUGUUGGCAGCGUGAAUCGUGAGGCAUCGUACGCUGGUUGUGGAGGGUUUGUUGUUGCCGCUGAAAUUUCCAGAUUUCUUUGAUUUGAUCUAAUACCCGUGAUUAAUCUCCAGCAAUUUACAAAUUUCCUAGGCUAAUUUUGGCUUACAAAAAUUCUAUAACAGUAAAAUAAAUCAAGAGGGAAACAUGAUGAUAAUAAACCACCCCUCUUAUUACAGAUCCAAAGAAAAAAUACAACGAAAACUCUAACCAUGAAUUAAGACAAACCAAAAACAUGCUUUAUUCAUAUAUUAAACAAAUAAUAUAUAUCUAAAUAAAUUGUGCCACUUUAAUACAUAAAUUUCAAGAUUUAUUCAUACAAUAUUCUUAUAUAUUAAUAUGGAUAGCUAUGAUACCAAUUGUUGGAAGAAAAAUCAAUUUUUUAAAUUAAAAAAAAAACUUUUAGGAUCGUUCUCAUACAAUAUAUAAGAAUUUGUAAUUUAGAAAUCGUACCUCGAAAAUCCGAUUUGAUUUUUUUCCCUGAAGUGAUUUAGGCUCCCAAAUCACGAUCCGUCACCAACACUCCUGUUAGAUCACAAUCCGCCACCAAAUAAUCUUUCAGGGUAUGACUCAAAUUUGAUCUGCACUUGACGUGUGGGCGCCUUUAUCACCACUAAAGCAACUAGCAUGAGAAAAAUUUUCUCUCAAAAUUAGAGAGAAAAUCUUUUUAUCUGAUCUGUAUAAAGUGGUUGCUCUCUUUCUUUUGGAAGAAAAUAAGCCCUUUUAUAUUUCUAUCUAGUGAAAACCCUAGACUCCAUAUUUAUUUAUUUAUUUAUUUAUUUCUAUUAAAUCCCUUUUGAUUUAAAUUAAAAAAUAAUUAAAACAAAAGUCUUGUUACUUGUUCUUGUUCCAGAUUUCUUUGAUUUGAUCUGAUACCUGUGAUUAAUCUCCAGCGAUUUACAAAUUUCCUAGGCCAAUUUUGGCUUACAAUAAUUCUAUAACAGUAAAAUAAAUCAAGAGGGAAACAUGGUGAUAAUAAACCACCCCUCUUGUUACAAAUCCAAAGAAAAAAUACAGCGGAAACUCUAACCAUGAAUUAAGACAAACCAAAAACAUGUUUUAUUCAUAUAUUAAACAAAUAAUAUAUACCUAAAUAAAUUGUGCCACUUUAAUACAUAAAUUUCAAGAUUGAUUUCAUACAGUAUUCUUAUAUAUUAAUAUGAGAUGGCUCUGAUACUAAUUGUUGGAAGAAAAAUUAGUUUUUUAAAUUUAAAAAAAAAAAUUAGGAUCGCUCUCAUACAAUAUAUAAGAAUUUAUAAUAUAGAUAUCGUACCUUGAAAAUCCGAUUUGGCUUUUUCCGCUGAAGUGAUUUAGGCUCUCAGAUCACGAUCCGUCACCAAAUAAUCUUUUUCACCACUAAAGCAACUAGCAUGAGAAAAUGUUUCUCUCAAAAUUAGAGAGAAAAAUCUUUUUCUCUGAUCUGUAUAAAGUGGUUGCUCUCUUUCUUUUGGGAGAAAAUAAACCAUUUUAUAUUUCUAUUUAGUGGAAACCCUAGACUCCAUAUUUAUUUAUUUAUUUAUUUCUAUUAAAUCCCUUUUGAUUUAAAUUAAAAAAUAAUUAAAACAAAAGUCACUUCUUGUGUUAUAGGGGUCCACCUUGUAAAAUAACAAAAGACCCCUUACACUCAAGCAUAUUAAUGGAGUCUCCCACUAAAUAAUAUAUUUAGGUUUUUUACUCAAAUAUCUAGUUAUCUUACUUAUUAAUCUAGUAGUGGUGCAGUCAAUUAAAUGAGCUAACCUGAGGAUCAUUUGAGAGCAUACAAUACUGGCUACAAUAAUUAGGCAUGUAAUUAAACUAGCCCAAUUAUUUAAUUCCAAAUCUACUCCACUAAAAGAUUGGAACUGGCCUCCAUAAUUGUAUGCUCGAAUAAUAAUUCAUCCCAAGCCACAUUGAUUUCUUUACUGCACAAUCCUUUGUACCACAUCAUUAAUUAAAUCAAUAUCUCAACUGUCCAAUCAAUUUAAUUACAUCUUGUUCCUUGAUUCUUACUGGUUUUCUCUAAUAAUCAUUUUCAACUUACUAAAUAUGUUGACACACUCUGGCCAGAGAAUUCUAUGAUCAAGUGUCGAAAACCUAUCAAGAGAUGUGUUGUACAAAUUCUAUACUGUCAAUCUAUAACUUCAAUACUCAUAAUUGAUCCUACCAAGAUACCGGGUAAUCUUGACUACAAGUAUGUGUCGUGCCCAUUGGUAACUCAAAUGGAAUAACAAUUACAAUCAUUAAAUCAUAAUUAACUCAAGAUUAAGAUUACAGUAAAAUCAAUGCCUAUGAGAUUUAGUAAGUCUGACAGUCAUUUCAAGGUUAAUUAAAUCUCAUAUGUGAUCCAACUCAAUGUAGUCAAACUACAUUAGUAAAUUCAUACAUGAUUAAGACAAAUCAUUCAAUGAAUUUACUACAGUCUAAACAUAAAUGGAGCGUCCAACUCUAUUUAUCAACUGCGAACUAAAUUUAUUUAAUCAUAAGAUAACUUGUAUUUAUGUCUUCUGUAAAUCCAUAUGAUGAUCACAUAAAUACAUAUAAUAUGAUUAAACGGACCUUUUUUAAUAUAUAUUUAUGCAAUUGAAAAUAUCUCAAAUAUUUUAUUAAUCAGAAAAUAAAUUAAUAUGCUUUAAAAGAGCGUAUAAUCCCAACAUAAUGCACUUCUCCAGAGGGUUAGUUGCCGAUCCUUCCAAACCGUAGCAGGAGAUAGGAGCUAAUUGCGUCUCUCCAAGAGAUCAUUCACUGAUCUUUCCUAUCGAGAGUGGGAAGUAGUCGUGCCGCUUUGGAAAGUCAAUUUUCAAUCUUUCUUGGUAAGAGUAUGAGAUUGAUGAGUGUUUUUCGAAGGAGUUUAGAAUCAGGAAAUGCUCACAUAGUGUUCGACCUCCUUUUACUUGAUUAAAAUAUAUGCAUGGUUCAUCCCCAUACAGGGAUUGGUGAAGGACUUUGUUGGACUAUCUCAAUGGGUUGCCCAAGUAUUUUGGAGAAUUUUUUACAUUUUUAAAUUUGUCUGCAUUAUGAGCUAGACGUAUCCUUGCUCUAGGGCCUUGUACACCAAAGAGAAUGCACCCUUGUGCCUCUUAAAACUCACAAAUAAUCGACUCAGGUUGAACCCAAGCAUUUCAGAUUUGGAGCAGAUAGUCCUUAUAGGUACAGUUUACCUUUGGUAACUGGUAAGUUAUAUUGUUACGAAAUCAUUGUAAUUCAUCUCCUAUGAUUCCUCUUCUCUGUAUAUCUUAGUUCUAUUUGUAUACGUUAUGAGCUGUACACGAUAGACUAGAAUAUUUGUAAUUAAUCUUUUUACUCUUGUAAUUAGUUUCCUUCCUAGAUUAGAAGUCUGCACUAUUUAAACCCCAUGAGUUGGAAUAAAAAAGAUAUAGUGGAGUAUUCCUUUGAAUCUUAUUUCCUCUGUACCAUUAUUUUCUACUUGGUAUCAGAGCUUUGCUCUUAUUAUCGUAUCUGAAUUCUCAUUUGUUCAUUGUACCAUGGCCGAAAGUAAAAUUGAAUCGUCUACACCAAUCAUACAUGUUCAAUCUGAAAACUCAGGUCUCAAAGCUGGUGUUACCCUUACUGAAACUAACUAUGAUGUGUGGUCCCAAAUCAUGGAGAUGCACAUUGCAGGACGUGAAAAACUUGAAUAUAUUAUGGGUGAAACAGAUCAACCAUUGGAGAAUGAUGCUUUCUAUACAAAGUGGUAUGCAGAAAAUCAAAACGUCAAGGGAUGGUUACUGACAUCCAUGUCACCUGAAAUCAUGAAGCGUUAUCUCAGAUUACGCACUGCAAGGGAAAUAUGGAAUGCUUUGGCUAAAGCUUUCUACGAUGGGUCAGAUGAAUCACAAAUCUUUGCACUAAAUCAACGAGCUUUCUCUACUAAACAGGUUGGAAGUCCCCUAUCAACAUAUUAUGGUGAUCUUGUAGAGAUUUUUUAAGAGCUAGAUUAUCGUGAUAAGGUCAUAAUGAAAUACCCUGAUGAUGUCACUGCAUAUAAAAAAUCAGUUGAACGCUUGAGAGUGCACAUCUUCCUUAAUGGACUAGAUGCAGAAUUUGAACAACUCAGAGGAGAGAUUCUCAGGAAGGAUCCGGCACUAGACUUUGAAGAAACAUAUGCGUAUGUGCGGCGUGAUGCUAUGCGCAGGACAACAGUAAAUGGAGAACUUGAUCAUCAUGAGUCAUCUGCCCUGAUAACUCAUCGAAACAAACAGGGGCGUAAUAACCAACAACUAAAUUCUAGCUCUUCAAAGCAGAUUAUUGAUCAACAUCAAUCAUAUGAAACGCAAAAUCGCAGCUAUGAAAUUGGAACGUCAAAAUUAGAACGUAUGUGCACGCAUUGUGGUGGAACUGGACAUACCAAGUCAAGGUGUUAUGAACUGAUUGGGUAUCCAGAAUGGUGGGAUCCUUCUAAAGCACCCAAACGGAACUCAAAGACAAAAAAUCAAGCUUCUGCCGCUGUGGUUAAAUCUUCGAACAACCCUGAGGAAUCUUCAUCUUUAAUUGCUACUUCAGGUAAUAUUGGUAAGGCUCUUAAUACCUCUACACCUGAUAGUAAUAGUGCUUGGAUAAUUGAUUCAGGUGCUACGGAUCACAUGACUUUUGACACUGAUCAUAUUUUGUCUAUGAAAUCAUCCAAACAAACUGUAGUAUCCACAGCCAAUGGUACUCCCUCUCCUGUCAUGGGAGAAGGUUCAAUUACUCUUACAGAGAAUUUGAAUUUGGAAUCAGUUCUUGUUGUUCCCUCUCUUAACUAUAACUUAUUGUCUGUUGCUCAAAUAACACAUACUUUGCAUUGUAUUGUGAUUUUUUGGCCUAACCUUUGUGUUUUUAAGGACAUCCGGACUUAGAGGACAAUUGGUUAUGGUACUAGAAAUGGGAAGCUCUAUUAUCUUGAUUUGACUACAGCAAGUUCGGAUCAAUUAUCUCAAGCAUUCUCAACUGAAAGAUUGGGCAAAACACAAAGUUCUGAAAUUUGGUUGUGGCAUAGGCGAUUAGGCCAUGCUUCUUUUGGAUAUUUAAAAAAAUUAUUUCCAAAGUUGUUCUCUCAUUUGGCUAAUUCAAAUUUUAAGUGUGAUAUUUGUGAAAUGGCUAAGAGUCACUGUGUCUCUUUUCCACCUAGUAUGAAUAAAAGUCCAGCACCUUUUAUGAUUGUUCAUUCAGAUGUAUGGGGUCCUGCAAAGGUUCCUUCUUUAAAUGGUGCACGCUGGUUUGUUUCCUUUAUUGAUGAUCACACACGUAUGACUUGGGUUUGUUUGAUGAAAUCAAAAAAUGAAGUUAGUUCUUUGUUCCAGAAUUUUCACAAGAUGAUAGCAACUCAAUAUCAAUCUCACAUACGGGUUCUUCGCACUGAUAAUGGUGGAGAAUUUGUUAAUCACGAUUUGAAACAGUACCUCACUUUACAUGGCAUUGCUCAUCAGACAACUUGCCCCUAUUCUCCUCAACAAAAUAGGGUUGCGGAGCGCAAGAAUCGUCAUCUUCUUGAAGUCAUAUGUGCAUCAUUAUUUGGUGCUCACAUGCCUAAGAGUUAUUGGGGUGAAGCUGUUACAGUUGCAGCCUACCUCAUUAAUCGUGUUCCAUCAAGUUUAUUACAAUUUCAGACUCCUCUCCAUGUACUUUAUGAGACUAUAAGUGUUCCCACCAUGCCGAAUCUGCAACCUAGAGUAUUUGGGUGUGUAGCCUUUGUACAUCUUCACAAAUCCUUGAGAAAUAAACUGGAACCUCGGGCUGUUCGGUGUGUAUUUUUCGACUAUGGUUUGUAUCAAAAAUGCUAUAGAUGUUAUCACCCUUCAUCUCACAAAACAUAUACUACACUUGAUGUUACCUUUCAUGAGGAUGAAAUGUAUUAUUCUGUCCCUGAGUCUUCAUUUCAGGGGGAGAGUAGAGUUGAAUUGCAGACUCUGGAUUCUUUAGAAGAUUUUACAAGCAAUAGCUAUCGGGAGAAUUGGGAAACUCAAAAUGGAAUAGCUGAUCACACUUUAGAUGGAAUAAAUCCAAUGGAAGUAGUAACGCCAGCCUUUACAUCACCGAAAGUAAUGGCUUCCUCUCCACCCGAAGUAACAGCUUCCUCUCCUCAAUCUGUACCAUUUAACCAAUUGUCUCUCCAACCCGAGCCAAUCUCUGAAACUCAGGUACAUUUUGAACCUCAGCCCCAUUUAAAAGUGUUGCCUGAUCGAGUCACUAGAGGAAUACCUCGACUAAAUUAUGAACCUACUCUUACCUCCAAAGCUAAAUAUCCCAUGAGUAAUUUCGUGUCUUAUCAUAGGUUGUCAAAGGAAUGUGAAUCGUUUGUGAAUCAAUUAUCUGUACUAUCUAUUCCUAACAAUGUGCAGGAGGCUUUGAAAGAUCCUAAGUGGAAGGAAGCAAUGAAUGAAGAAAUGAACUCUCUCCAAAAGAAUUCUACAUGGGAGGUUGUUGAUUUACCCGAAGGAAAGACACCUGUAGGAUGUAGAUGGGUCUUCACUAUUAAAUACAAAGCUGAUGGAAUUGUUGAAAGGUUUAAGGCUAGGCUUGUCGCCAAAGGGUAUACUCAAACUUAUGGGGUCGAUUACAUGGAAACAUUUGCUCCAGUUGCAAAAAUCAACACUGUUCGUGUUCUAUUAUCUGUAGCCGUGAAUCUUGAUUGGCCACUGCACCAAUUUGAUGUAAAAAAUGCAUUUUUGCAUGGAGACCUCCAAGAAGAAGUAUAUAUGGAAUUGCCUCCAGGAUGUAAAAUACAAGUUGAGGGAAGUAAACAGGUUUGCAAAUUACAAAAAUCUCUGUACGGCUUAAAACAAUCUCCUAGAGCAUGGUUUGGAAGAUUUACUAACUCUAUGAAGGCUUUUGGAUAUCAACAAAGUAAUUCAGAUCAUACCCUCUUCUUGAAAUAUAAUAGAGAAAAAUCACUGUUCUUAUUGUGUAUGUUGAUGAUAUGAUAGUAACAGGAAAUGAUCCGGAAGAAAAGGCUGCACUACAAGAUCAUCUUGCUCAAGAAUUUGAGAUGAAAGAUUUGGGUUCGCUGAAGUAUUUCCUAGGAAUUGAAGUGUCAAGAUCAAAGAAAGGCAUUUUCUUAUCUCAGCGAAAAUAUGCCUUAGAUUUAUUAAAUGAAACUAGGAUGUCCGCUUGUAGCCCAAUUAGCACUCCUAUGGAAGAAAAUUUGAAGCUAAGCACGGAUCCAAAUCAAGUUCCAGCUAACAAGGAAUGAUAUCAGAGAUUAGUAGGCCGACUAAUGUAUCUUGGGCACACCCGACCAGACUUAGCUUAUGCAUUAAGUGUGGUUAGCCAGUUCAUGCAUUCUCCAAAGGAAGAACAUAUGAAUGCUGUUAUUCGCAUUUUACGGUACUUAAAAUCAUCUCCUGGAAAGGGUAUUGUGUUUACAAAAGGUGAUAACUUGGAUAUUAAAGGGUAUACGGAUGCUGAUUGGGCUGGAUCAAUUGAUGACAGGCGUUCUACAUCUGGUUAUUUCACAUUUGUGGGUGAAAAUCUAGUUACAUGGCGAAGCAAGAAACAAGAUGUUGUAGCUAGAUCGAGUGCUGAGGCUGAAUAUAGAGGGAUGGCCAAAGGAAUAUGUGAAUUACUAUGGAUCAAGAAUUUAAUGCAAGAUUUACGUAUUCAACAAGUCAGUCCCAUGAAGUUAUAUUGUGAUAAUAAAGCAGCCUGUGAUAUUGCACAUAAUCCAGUUCAACAUGAUCGAACUAAGCAUGUUGAAGUUGAUAGACACUUCAUCAAGGAAAAGCUGGAAGCAAAAAUCAUCGAGAUUCCUCAUGUCCGGUCGGAAGAUCAACUUGCGGAUGUGCUAACCAAGGUGGUAUCCAUCAAAGCCUUUAAUAAGUGUCUCAACAAGUUGGGCAUGUGCGAUAUAUAUGCACCAACUUGAGGGGGAGUGUUACGAAAUCAUUGUAAUCCAUCUCCUAUGAUUCCUCUUCUCUGUAUAUCUUAGUUCUAUUUGUAUACGUUAUGAGCUGUACACGAUAGACUAGAAUAUUUGUAAUUAAUCUUUUUACUCCUGUAAUUAGUUUCCUUCCUAGAUUAGAAGUCUGCACUAUUUAAACCCCAUGAGUUGGAAUAAAAAAGAUAUAGUGGAGUAUUCCUUUGAAUCUUAUUUCCUCUGUACCAUUGUUUUCUACUAGUUAUACCCAAAUAUUCAGUACUUGAGCUUCAAAUCUUUAAUCUUAUCUUUUGGGAAGGUCUCAUUUUGUAAAUACUCCACAACAAUGUUCAUCCAUGAUUCCCCAGUUGUCAUUGAAUUAAUCUCUUAGGCUUGAUCCUUAGAGAUGCUGAGCUUACAGAUCUUAUUAAUAAAGACGUUCUAGGAAAGACUAUCUCCUCUUAUAGGCCAUCUUGGCUAAGCUUUCUACUAGGGCGUCCUCAUCUAUCAGAAUCUGCUCCUUUUUUGCUUCUAUAAAGUGUACUUCAAUAUAUUGUUGGGAAAAAUAAUGUUCAUUCUAAUUAAGCUCGAACCUAACCUCAAUCCUAUCAUCCUCCGAAGUCAGUGGUGAAUUUAGUAAUUAGAUCGACGGUGACUUAAGCCUUUAUUGAGGGGCGAGAUUUCUUUUGCCUUUUUUUUUUAUUAGCAUCCACUACAGCUUGAUAGAAUAGUAAAUGGGAUGAUGUUAACUCUUAGAAAUUUCUUGUGGGAUCAUAUGAAUACAUUUUUGAACUCUUGGAGUAGAUUUUUCUUGGAUUUGGGUGUAUAUACCCGACCUGUUUUCUCUCCCAGAUUUUUCUGGGAUGGAGGUGGCUGCCGUGAAAGGAGAAGUCACUGAAAGAACUAAGUAUGAAACCCUAGCUUGAAGACACCGCUCGAUCUCAUGGCGUUUAUAUGGCAAGCUUUCAUAAUGAAAGAUGCGGAAUCCUAGCUGUUGAUUCCAGCUUUUACGCCAUCUCUAGGUAUUCGUCGAAGCUGUUCAUAAUUCUUCUGAAUUCUAAGUACAUUAUACAUACAUACAUACAUACAUACAUACAUACUAAGUAGAGUUUCAUUAAACCAAACACAAUUACCAAUAUCAGUUAUAAAAAGUUUACUAUAUAGGCGCACGUGUGUAUAUAUAUAUAGUAGUUAAAACUGUUAAGAAGACAAUUGCAAUUAGCUAACUUAUAAAGUAAUAACAUAAAAAUUUAUGUUAAAGUGAAGCCUAAUUUUUUUAGGACUUGCGUGGAAUUAAUAAGAUCAUGUUGUUUUGUUUGUGGAUUUGUAUGGAUCUGUUUUAUUUUAGAUCUAUUUUGAAAUCUUGUUUAUUUUGGCAUGUUUCAUAGAACAUGAAUUAUGUUUAUUUUAAUCUGUAUUAUUUAUUUUUUCAUGUUUUUAUGUUUGUCACAUAAAAUGAAUUUGUUAAUUAGUGUAUGUUUGUGGGCAUAAUACAUUUAUAUAUGAUAUUGUCAUUCUUUUUCUUUUUUGUUUUAAUCAAUUUGGAACCCCUCAAGUAAUUUAAUGUCGUUUGUGAGUUUAGUUUUGAGUACUUGGGGAGUUGUUUGAUUGUAUCGACGGACUAUGUUUCAUUUUUUUUUUCAUGAGUUGGAGACAAAAUGUUAGAAAAGAGCUAUCCGUUUCUAGACAUUUCAAUCGAAAAUGGUUUGAUUAACAGUGUCUUUCCAAUCUUGAUAAGUAAGUGAUAUUAUGAUUCACAAAUUUCUCUCAUUUAUUUUUCUUUUGCUAACUAAACUCUAUGGACUUAUUAUUAUCUAAUGGGUUUGUUUGAUCUUCUCAAACUUUCUAUCCGGGGGCAGGUCCUUUUUUUUUUUUUUUUUUUUUUAAGAAAAAAUUAUCUCUUUUCUUUAUACUGCUUAAGUCUUUUGAAAAUAUAUGUUCUUUAGUUUCUGCAUUUGAAAUUUUGAAAAGUAUAGAUAAUUAAAAGUUUUAGUGUUCUUUUAAUUUAAAAGAAUAGAGGAAAAUGUGAUAGUGUUCUUUUCAAAGACUUAUCUUAAAUUUGAAAGGCUAUGAAUUAGAUAACUAACAAAACGAUUUUUUUCUUUUUAAACGAAGAAAUAAAUCUGGAACUUUUAAGAAUGAAAGAUAGAAAUCUAAAAAGUCGGGUUUUGAAAGUCAUAGUUGUAUUAGUUUCGAAGGCUAUGCAAAGUGGAUGCUAAUGUAUAAUUGUAGCUGAAUGCAAUUUUCUUUACUGAAGAAAAUUACUCUUUAAUUAGAGGGGCGUGAGUGCAUGUGCGCACAUUUACUUUGUUAAGUUUAAUUAAUGUAUUUGCUUAUAUGAGUUUGUUCACUUGCUCUAAUAUGGUGCAUUCCGACUUUCUCUGUUAGACUAGUGCCUUUUUUUAUUCUGUGCAGUAACGUGUAUAAUUUACUUGAAAAAAGAGCUGAGACUGUGUAAACGGAUAAUUAUUUAUUGUUUUAGCUCUAACUAGUGGUAGAUUAUCCCAAAUAGCUUAUCUUAUUUUCUAUAUCAUUUCUAAGGGUUAGCAAAUAGUGUUUCAAGACCUGAAAUUUCCUUUGACUUGUUUUGUAGUAACUAUAAUUAUGAUAAGGUUUUAGAUAAUUAUACUCCUUACUCAGAACCCUUUUAUAUUUAUAUAUGCUUUAUCGUGUUGGUGCAUACAUAUGUCAUACUUAGUUAUUCUUAGCAUUUGCAUGCGGCAGUAGUAAUGGUAGAGAAAUCAUCAUCUCAUCAAUUAGGUUUAUUCCAUCAGCAGGACUAAUGGAAAAGAGUAUUCAGAGGAUUAUGGGAGCAGUAGCAGUAGUCAAGAGAGGAAAAGAAAAUAUUAAAUGGGAUCAGCCAGCAUGGAGUAGCAGCAAUCAUAGGUCACCAUUAUAUGUUGCCAUUUUUUUUUUUUGAGUUCAUUGCAUUGUUGAAAACUUAAAAGUGAAAAUGUUAGAAACUUACUUCGGUGUUUAUUUUGGCUAGGAAAGUUUGUAUAAUAAAUUUUAAAAAAAAUAGUUGCAAUUAUGGUUUUUUUUUUAUUUUGUUCAUAUUAAGAUUUUUAGCAAUAAUUGUUCUAUUAUUGAAUUAUAAAUGUAUAUUGUGAAAUAAAAAAUAAUUAUUUAAAAAAAGGUACUAAAAUUUAUAAUAAAUUUUAAUUCCUGCCAAAAUAUUUUAUUUAGAAUUAAAAUUCAACUCCUGCCUAAAUAAUUUUAUAAUACAUAACAAAACUAAUAAAAAAUAUAACUACAUGUUUUUAUAAUAAAUGACAAAACUAAAAUAAAAAAAUAUUCCACUUACCAUGUGAUGCCAAGUUUCCUCUAAUUUUAUAAGGCUCUAUGAAUGAUAAUGGCACAAUACAGCAUAUCAUUAAUGUCAUAAUAUUAUUUAUAACCCCCUAAAUUAGUUGGAAUCUUCUUAAGUAUAUGCUACAAACACCACCAAUAUCGACUAUUAAGGAAAACAUGAUCAAUGCCAUUUUUAUUGCUCUGUCUUCAUUUGUAAUGAUUCCAAUGGGAGCAUAAUUAAACAUGCAUGAUAACCACAUCCAAAAUAACGUAAUAUGAAAUUAAUCUACAUAAUUAAACAUGCAUGAUAGCCACAUCCAAAAUAACGUAAUGUGAAAUCAAUCUACAUCCUAAUAAUAUAGAAUGACCAUGAUAAUUAACUCUCACAAAAGAAGUAAAUUGUAUGUCAUACUUAUUUGUAAGAUACGUAGUGUCUAAUGUAAUCUCCAAACUUUUUGUAGGCUUCCCUAGUCUUUGUAUGUUACCCAUCCGCCAUAAGAGUUGUGAAUAGUCAAAUACUUUGACAAUCCCUUGUAGUGGAAUGAAUCAAGAUAAUUUUAAUUUAGAAAUCUAAUUUUUUUUUUGUCAAUCCUUUAUUGACAGCUUUCCAUAGAAUUUUAUGUGUUUAUGAGGUUGAGUAUGGAUCUCCAACUCACCAACUUAAGUGGCUUUUUUCAUAUUCUUCAUUUGUACAGAAUGAAUAUAUUUCAUAUUAACUGGAAACAACAAAGGAUUGCUAAACAGAGAGAGCCAUUGAAGUUAAAUAUACUACAAAUUACAAAGAAACACGACCCAUUGCUUAUAUCAAUUUCGAAUAGCAUUAUUUGCAAACUUAUGCGUAUCAGCUUUGAUUGCAAAAAAUAAAGUAUCAAUAAAGAGAUUAUUCAAUUCUUUCAAAGGGGAUUACCAUGAGCAUCGACAAUGCUCAUUAAGACAAUUCACGGUUGCUAGGCUUCUCCGUGCCGGCGAGAAGAGAGAGUGGACAAGGUUGAUUUGCAUUUAGAACAGGCGAGACAAGAGGGAGGGAGACGAGGGAGUGGGAUGGUGAUUUGUCUUAUUUAAGUUUUAAGAGCAACCCAAAACGAUGAGUGCUGUACUAACUUUGUACUAAUUGUUGUAAUUAUCUCUUUCAGAUUGCGAAUGGAACGGGUGGAAUCAAUUCCUAUCAAAUAAUUGACCACGCUACUCUCUUAGUAAAUAACCACUUUCCCUAACUUAAACAAAAUUAUCAUUUACCAUUUAUUCUAAAUUGAUAAAUUCAUGAUCAUCUACUUGAGGUGGUAAAAUCUAUUAUGUUAAAAAUAAAAUAAAAAAUAUAAAGCACGUGCUCAACUCAUUAAGUUGUGAUUCAGCUAAAUUAAAAAGAUGGGUCUGUUGUCUUCAUCGGACAAAACUACGUCAACGGAGCUGGAGUCUAUACAUUUAAAGUUCUUAAUUUGGUCGAUCAUUCAUAUUUAAAAAGAUUUUUAUGAAAAGCCACGGGAAAAUGGUAACAUUUGUUAUAAUUCAAAGCUAGUUCAGAGACUUAAAAACAGACGAUACCAGACUUAGGAAAUCAUUCAAAGGAGUUCUAAAUUUUUAUUAAGCUUUUUCCGAGUAGUUAUUCCAAACACAGACGUAGGUUUUAAGAACCCACCAUGUCGUAAAUACACACGAAAACCAAACACUAAAAAAGGCUGGGGACACGUCCUCGUACAAAGAAUUUCUCUCUCACCCAGUGGCAAUUCUGAAGCCGAUUGUUCGAUGGUGAUAGCAACAGCAGCCAUUCACCUUUUUCUGCUAAGCUUGUACGUGGUGAACGAUCAACCUCGUUUGUAUGGGGAAGCAUUAGGAAGCAUUGCCUCAACUCAUCAUCACAUGUUCCACCACCCCCACAACAGCGUUUUGACAAAAGGAAAUGGUAGAAAAGAAAAAUGAAUCCACAGUAGUUAGUUCAGAGCAGCUCAAGUAAUUGAAAGUGUCCACAAAACACACCAGUUUCUUGGUAACCAAACAGGAAUCUAUUAAAGAAUCAUCUUGAAACUCGAUAAACAACCAUGAGAUGCAUGAACUUGGGCGCAUUCAAGAAUAGAAACCUUAGCGCAACAUUUCCAGACAGCUCAACAGGACUUGUGCAUGUCAACUUUCUUGCAUUACAACCAAUCACCAAUUCAAUCAAAUGGUUUAGUCUCAUAAAGUUUAAACAUUCUAAGUCACAACUAACUUUAGAACCCAUACAUAUUUUAACAAAAUUGAGCAAAUUCCAGGAGUUAAAGAGACUUCUUGAACUAAACAUUGCUUAGAAAAGUGCUUUAGAAAUGAUAUUGCAUAUUUUUCUAGCAAUGAUUAUUGAAAAGAUGACUUCUCACAGAGGUAGCAUUACAUGCCAACAUUCAUUUAAAUUGAGGUCAACAGGUAUCUGGCAGCACUUCCAAGAAAUAUCACAUAACUGCACAGCACCAGUAUCAUGACAACUACGCAGAUUUCAUAUAAAUCCUGGUAAAACACCAAUAACACAGCAGAGUAGAAAGAUUUCCUGAAUCUUGGAGCCUUUCUUAACAAAGUUAUGGAGUGUAGAAUUCAACUGUCCAGACAAUUUGGGGAAAGGAACCCAAAGAAAGAAGAACGCAUAAUAACCUCAAAAAUUAAAUUAACCAUGAUGGUCUAGCUCACUGACGCAAGCAGAAAUUCAGAAAAGGAAAAAAUCUGGGAGAAAGAACCAACAGCACGCAGAAUGCAUAACCUCAAGACUAAAUUAACCACAUUGGUCUAGUUACCAACACAGGCAGAAUAAUCAAAAUCAGAGGCAGAGGCACCAUUAAGGAUUUUGGUGAAGUGUAAAAUCUCAUAGUUCAGCAAUAGAGAUGGAAAUCCCAUAUUUAAAGGAGGAAAACAAAUUAACACCACCAGCAUGUGAAUAGAUAUGUACAAGGAUAGCCCUACCACCAAUUGCUUUCACAACUUCUCAUCCCAGUAACAAGGUCCACUAGUCCACCGAACAAUUUACAAUAAUUUCAAGUAAAUACGAAGCCAUCUUCCUACCCAAACAAAGGAUCACCACAUAUACAGAACACACGCUGAUACUGUUGGCGACGAGAAUGAAAUCAAACAUCUCAAACUAUGACAAUGACACUUCAUUUCUUAUAACUGAAGCCCAAACCUGUCCACAUCUAUAUUCUAGCAAGGCAGGUGAAAUAUGACAGCCAAAUAUACAUUUUCCCAACCAUCACCAACAUCAGUUGCAUAUCAAACUUUGCAACAAUCAAUGAAUCACCGAUCUUAGCUGCUCUCACGAACAGGAAAUCAAACAACCACAAGUAAUAAUCCACUAUGGUUGGAAAAGCCGACAGUGGAGAAAAGAAAGAUAACCGAAAAGACCUCUAGAAGCCACCAACAAGACACAGUCCAACUCAAAACAAUAUAUGUAUGUAUUCAAAGAGAAUUACCGACCAGCAACCUGCAGGUGCUACUACAACUUGUAUGUAUGAAUAUAACAACUGCAAAAUGUCACCACAAGAUAAACUAAAUAUCCAAAGAUGCCUUUGUAUGUGAAGAAAAUAUGGGAUUGCAAAACCAGAAAAUUUUAUUUACUUCUCUGGAUAUUUAGUUUAGCUCGUUGGUUGUCAUUUUGCAGCGAUUUUAUUUGCAUACACAAGUUGUAGUAACACCUACAACAAGGGAUGAAUAUCAGUCAUGGACAAACAAAUCGUUCCAUCAUUGUUAUCCAAAAGAAAUUAAAAUGCAACAAUAUGCUUUGAUAGUAAUUCCCCGAGCUUUUAUUGAAACAUCAUAUAUUAUAAGGUACAUGCAUUUCUUACACAAUAAAUAUGUAGGCAGAAGCAAAUGUUAUAGGAGGUUUCUCUUAAAAACAUUAAGAAAGAUCAAAAUGAUAAGAGAUAAAACACAGGUAAAGCAAUAUGUAAAGAAAACCUAACAAAAUAUAAAUUACAGCAACAACCGUACACAGUCGCUCCAAACAAGGAAAUAUGAUCUGAAUACUUGUAAGAGCUAUACUAGUACUUGAAAAGCCCAAAUGGCAAAUAUGUUCUGUCAUAAGUACAAACUAGGCUAACUCAGUCAUUUGGAAAACCAUCAUUCAGAAAUAAACCACAUCUUAAAGGUGCAGAUCAAGACAUCAAGCGAAGAAGUGGCCGUAAAAGCAAAGCUAAUACAAUCAUAUAGUCUGCAUUACGAAAUCACCAGAACCACAAAAAGCAUCUGCGCCAACAAGCUGUCAUACACCUGAAUCAAACACCCAUUCACAACUCAAUUCAUCAUUCCGCAUCAUCAACAAAACAAAGGUCAUACAAAACUACAGCUAGUAACCAAACAAACUAAGAAAAACUAAUACUGCAACAGAGCUUAACAUGAGAUGCAAAAAAUAAGAAACUACAAGCAAAUAAGCAUACAUUUUUUAGAGCACAUCAAAAUUAAUCACAAGGCAGAGCAACUCAUUGAGAUUAUAAUGGGGCUGCUUUCAAGUAGAAGAGCUUCUUUAGACCAGACUUUAGCACUACUGGGUUUGAUACAUAACAAUGCGAAAGAACCAGUUACAAGUCAUCAACUUUAUAGGUUAUUUUUACAUUGUUAACAGCAUUACUAAUCGUAUAGGCAUGUUAGUUUAAUCAGGUGUUGCAUUGUUAGAGGAAAUCAAUUAUAAAGGACCAUAAUUGCAAACCAUCCCAGACUCCUGAUAUCCAUAACAUAUGAACACCACAAUGGAAGUGGUGGCAAUGCAGCAGAAAACAAGAAUUGUAUGAGUGCCACAGAUAAAAUUCACGUUGCAACAAACAUGCAAUGACGUCAUUAGAACGAGAGAAUGAAAACGUUUAAUUACAGAACAAGAGAAGGCUGGAUACUUCUGGAUUACCCCACUGUUAUCACCCCAGUAUUUGCCAGUUAAAAUUGCAAAAACAACAGACAGUAAACGAAUCGAAUAAACACGUGAACAAAUAGAUUACAAAGAUAACAAUCAAAUACCAAAUGUGGAAAAAGCAAAAUCAAAGAAAAAAAUGAAAAAAAAAUAACUGGGCUAACAAGGAAUUAGCAUACAAUAAGAUGAAUUAAGCAGCAAACAGACUACUACAACAAUGAACAAGCAAAACCAGAAAAACAGGUCCAUACAUUCUACCAAAACCAUUAUAAUAAAAGCACCAAAACUAUGAGCACAUUAAUCAAUGAGAAAACACAUAAUGAAGGAAGACUACCUCAAUAGUAAGGCGGCACGUUCGGGUACAUUCCACCAGGAGGAACUCUAGGAACUGGAGACGUCCCUGCUGCCUGGUGAUGCUGACUUGGAUAACCGGCCGAAGUAGAUGACAAGCCGUAAUGCCCGGCUUCAGGAUACCCUCCAGAUGGCAUUCCAGCCGAACUCGGUGGCAACCUGUACAAAGAGGACCCUCCACCCAAUCCUCCAGCAGCACCACCUAGUGCCCCGCCUGCUCCAGCACCCCCACCAGCACCACCCAGCCCACCGUAACCUGUAGAACCAGGCCCUCCAUAACCACCGUAAGGCCCACCCAACCCAGCACCAUACCCACCAGCACCAACACCACCCAUGGAAGAUGGUACCUGACCCGGCCCUCCUAAUGAUGAGUUCAGAUGAUGUCCCAAUGGCGGAGGGCCAGAAAACGGGUACCCAUGUCCACCCGGCCCACCAUAUGAUCCACCGGCAGAAGGCGGAACCAUUCCCAUUCCAUCACCGUGAUUCAUGCUAACAUUGCCAGGCCCUCCCCCAUCAGGCCCCAUUGGCUUAGCCUUUUUAUUAUCGGCUAGUCUACAAUUCAAUUGCUUACCGUCCACCGUCUUAAUCGGAUCCACAAGAGCCGCUUGAGCUCCCUCUGCAGUCUUAUAAACAAACAAAGCGAACCCUUUAGGCUUUCCCGUUUGCUUAUCAAAACCCAACGGGCCCUCUUCAAUUUCCCCAUAACAAGCGAAAUGCGCUAGCAAUUUAUCAGCCGACAUGUCGUUCGGCACAUUCCCGACAAAUAUCUUCCUCAACGACACAUCAACCGGGUUAUUAGUACUAUUCCCCGAAUUCCCAGCCACCGCAAGAUUCGUGACCGUCACGCGCCCAUCUAUCUUCUUACUCGGCUCUUUCAAAGCCAACAUCGCACCGUCGAUGUGUUUAAAAGUGAUAAAGCCAUAACCUUUGGAUUUACCGGUGGCUUUAUCGAGGAUGACGACGGCCUCUUCGAGCUCACCGUAGGCGGAGAAUAUGGAGCGGAGGCCCUCGGUGGUGGUGUCCCAGCCAAGGCCGCGGAUAAAUAGCUUGCGCUGGGUGGGGUCCGCGUCGGCGAUAGAUCGGACGGAUUCAAGAACGUCGUCGUGGCGGGCGACAGCGGAGGAGAGGACGUCGAGGAGUUGAUCGCUGGUUAAGCGUUCGACGAUUUUGCGGGCGUCUUGCUGGGUCAGUCUAUUGGGAGAGUCAAGGUCGGACAAAACGGCGCCGUUUUCAUCUAUCUUGCGUUUCUUAAUAGAAUCCAUAUGAGAGAAUUUUGUGAGCAAAACCCUAGGCCCUAGCCCUAAUGAGAUAAAUUCACUGACUGCAAAGAAACAGAAGACUGCGAAUUGGGGAGAGAGCCAAGGCGCUGUUUUUAUUAAUAGAGUGCGAGGCGGUAAGAGAAUUCAUUUGAGGCCAGGUUUUUCAUUUGGACCGGCCCAGCCCAAUUUAAGUAACAGCAUGGAUCAUAAUGACUAACUUAUCAAUGAUUACGCUUUUAGAGAGCCCUUGUAGAAUUAGGAAUUGCAAUCUGCUCACGAUUCGUUUAUUUCAAUUCAAUUUGAUUUUAUUCCAAUUAAAUGGAUUUAAGAUCGGAAAGACUUAAAUCUUAAUUUAUUUAAUAAAUGAGUGAAAUUCAAUUUGAUUCGUUAAAUAUAUUAAUCAAAUACAGGUUUAAACUCAUUAAUUCAUUUAUUGAAUGAUUCAAUUAAAAAAAGUAAAAUUAUGCCCCCCCAAAAAAAAAGCUUAAGUAAAAGUUAGUAAAAAAAACUAAGGAUAAACACUUUAGGGUCAGUUCAAUAAUGUUGUAAUUUUUAAAAGUUAUUAACUGUGUAGAAAAUCAGUUAAAUGUUUGGUAAAAUUUGUUUGUAAAAGUGUCAUAAGUUUUAAAAACAGUCAUAUAUAGUUAAUAAAUCUUACUAUUUUUUUUUUAUCAACUGGGGCUCAAUUAAGAGCUAGAGAACAACUGAGCGAAGAGCAGCAACCCCGUAAGAGUCAUACAUAAAAAGGGAUCUAAUCCCCAACGGAGGACUAGGGUACAUAGUAAAACCAAGAGACAAAGAACAAGUAAGGUUCGCCAUAAAAUCAGCAGCAGAGUUUGCCUCUCUGUACACAUGAGAAAUAGAAACAUGUCAAUUCUUCUUGAGAUACUCAUUGAUAGCAGAAAUGAGGGAAGCAUAUUCAUUAGUAAUCACCACCUGUCUAGCCAACAUCAGAGUUGCACACAAGCUAUCAGUUUCCACAUGCAGCUGUCGAAUGCCAAAAUUCCAAGCAAGGAUAAGCCCCUGAUAUAAGCCUCUAAGCUCAGCCAUUGUAACGGAGCAGGAACAAAGCAUCAUCCUAAAACCAGUAAGCUAGCGACCCAAAUAAUCGCGAAUCAAACCACAGUAGUAAAGACACCAUUAGCCCUAUGAGCCCCAUCAGUAUUCAAUGUGCACCAAGGCCACUCAAUGGGAUGCCACCAAAUCCACUUAUCAAUCUUUAUCCGCCUCGUGACCAACGCAUGACUGUGAAUCUUACUCAUCUCCUCAGCACGCAGAGAAACAUCCACUAACAAAGCCAUAGUAUCCGUAGAAGUUUGGUUAAAAACAAAUUGGUUCCGCCAGAACCAAAUCCUCCAAACUCCAAUACCAAAAAAGAUAGACCAAUUAGAGAUAUUCUGAAUCCUACUCACGUCAUCCACAUUCCAACGCAACUAGGUUGAGAGAUUGGAGCUAAAGAAGGAUUGCUGCUUCUCCAAACGAAUAACUUUGAGCCAAAAAGUCUUGAUGGCCACACAAUCACGAAGAACAUGGAGACUAUCCUCAACCGAAGCGCCACAACGAUCACAAGCCACUGAGAUGGGAAUAUGACGCCUAGCCAAUUCAGAUUUAGUCUUCAAACGGUCCUGUAAAGCUUGACAAAGAAAGAUUCGCACGCUUAGGGGACCUUUCCACCUCCAAACUGACCGCUAACGAUAAUCCUCAACAAUCGGAAUUGAUCCAGAGAGCAUCAAAUAAGCCGAUUUAGUAGUGAACAGCCCCGUUCUAGAAUGAGCCUAAAAACAAGUGUCCAAACCAUGCAUAAGAAAAGGAGGAAGCACAGCCGCAAUAUGAAAAAUGAUAUUAUUAGGAAGUAAAUGUUCACACCAACCCCACGACCAAGAACCAUCAACCUUUAUGAAGGCAUACACCUUACAAUCGAGGAUAUGAACAGGGAUAUUAUUCAUGGCAUAGGCAGCCAGCGACAAAUCCUUCGUAACCCAAAGAUCCCACCAAAACCAAACGGUUUCACCAUCACCCAAACACCAACAGCAAGCAAGAAUAUCACUCCAAACAGUGCCAAUAGACUUCCAUAGAUGAGAACCAUAGUGAGUAUGUAAAGUUUCAGGAAGGGUGUCAAUAGCGACCCCAUACUUAUUUCUCAAGACUUUAACCCAUAGACUAUCAAGAGAGGAAAUCAAACCCCAAGUAAGCUUCAUAUGUAAAGCCUUAUUCAUCAUAGAUAAAGAUUUAAAGCCAAGGCCACCAAUAGACUUAGGCUUGCAAAAUUCCGCCAACUAACCAUCUUGAUUUUCUGCUGCGAAGAGACACCACUCUAGAUAAAAUGUCUACAAGCUUUGUCAAUUCUGCCUCGCACUCCACUGGGAAGCAUAACUGCUUGCAUCAAGUAGAUGGGGAUGGCUUGAAGGACUGAUUGAGCCAAAGUAAUACGGCCUACUAGAGAUAAGUGAGAAGUAGUCCACCCUGAAAGCCUCUUCUCAAUCUUAUUAAUAAGCUCUUGAUACAUACAACUCGACACUCUGGAAUGUUGCAGAGGAACAUCAAGAUACUUGCCAAGGUCUUUAGUAACCGAGUAACCAAGUAGCCUUGAAAUAACAUUAGCCUCACUUUCACCCACAUUCUUAGAAAAGUAUAUUAAGGUUUUGGAAUUAUUAACUUUCGAACCAGAACUAUAACAAAAGGAGUCCAACACAGACGAGAUAACACAAGCCUGCUCAACAGAGGCUUCUGCAAGUAAAAGAAGAUUGUCAGCAAAAAAGAGGUGAAACAAAGUAACACUAUUACGAGACAGAGUAAUAUGAUGCCACUUCCCUAUACUAACAGCAUUAAGGAUCCCAUGACUUAAGCGCUCAAUACAAAGUACAAAAAGCUAAGGAGAUAUAGGAUCUCCCUGACGGAUCCCUCUAAAAGGCUUAAAAGAAUUUGUAUUUUCCCAAUUCCAGAGAACCCGUAUAGAGACAGAAGUUAUGUAAGCCAUAAUCACUUAAAUAAGGUCCGAUGGAAUAAGAGAUUCAUAAAGAGUUUCAUUUAUAAAAUCCCAACAAAGUCUAUCAUAAGCAUUCUCCAAGUCAACUUUGAUGGCCAUAAAUCCUCUAUGACCAGUCUUUUUACGUAUAGAAUGCACCAUCUCUUGAGUUAUCACAAUAUUUUCAGUAAUAUGUCUUCCGGGGACGAAACUAGUUUGAUGAGGCCCAACCAACUGAGGUAAAAUGGUCUGGAGUCUAUUAGCAAUGACUUUAGUAAUGGUUUUAUAAGCCACAUUGCACAAGGAAAUAGGGCAGUACAUCUUCAAAGAAGUGGGGUUCUUAAUCUUUGGAAUAAGAACCAAAAGAGUGAAAUUCAAAUCACCAGUGAUACACUUAUUUUUGAAGACAUUUUUAACUAACUUACACAACGAAAGACCAACCGUAGCCUAUUGAGUGUGAUAAAAAAUGGUGUGGAAGCCAUCGGGGCCGGGGCUUUAAGGGGAUGCAUACCAAAGAUAAUGGUUUUUAUUUCUUCAUCAUCAACUGAAUUCCUCAGCGUGAAAAACAAGGCUUCAUCAAUCACAGGGAAGCAAUUCGGAUAAGGGUAAGGCUGAAAAUCCCGAUACUCACAAGAGUUGUGCGAGGAAAAGAACUUAAUAACAUGAUCUUUAAUCUUCUCCUUCUCAUAAAUCCAAACACCCGAGCCGUCCUGAAUGGCAGCAAAUGUUAUUAAGUCGCCUUUUAGAUAAGGUUUUUUGAUGAAAAUAUGUGGUAUUACGAUCCUUACGACACAGCCAAUCUUGGCGAGAUUUUUGAAGCCAAAUGAUUUCUUCUUGACUCUAAACUUCCUCCAGCUCAACCCUAUGCUGUUUUUCAAGAUCAAUAAGCCCUUGGGAGUAGUAAUCCUAUAAAGCCCACUAAAUGUCCCCCAACCUAGCCAAUAGCCACCUCUUCCUCUAGAAAAUAUUACCAAACACGUUCAUAUGAAUAGCGUCGUACUUGUGAAUAAUGUUGUAUACAUGAACAAUACCAUAUACGUGAAUAGUUUCGAAUACCCUUUUAUGCUUCUAAGAUUUUUGACCAUUUAAGUUAAAAAAUGUCAUCGUUUUGCUGUCUAACUUCUCGUUAAUCGUGAAAUGACCAAAAUAUUCCUGAAAUACAUAAAAUACUUAAAUUAUACUAAGACAUAUAUAAUAAAAGCUUAAAUGAUUUAAAUGCAUAAAAGUAGAAAAUGUUCGUGAGACUUGGAGCAUGAUAUGACAAUUUUACCCUUUAUAAAUAUACAUUCUCCAGUACUCAACAGUAGCGAAUUGAGCUUAUAGUCACCGUCGUUCUAUAAUUGCUUCAAGAACACCUACUAGAUAAAUAACACAAAAUAUGACAUGGGAGUAGCAACAUCAAUAUACAAUUAGGAAAUAAGAAAUUAAACUGACAAUUAUAAGUUUUGUAGUCUCAUUACCCAAAAAAGCGUGUCUGUAUACAUGACACAUUGAGAUAAGGCAUUCGGAUAUUGCUUCUAUUUUUCACUUAUCAAUCAGAGGUACUCAUGGAUAUGAUGUGGCAGAAUAGAAACAUGUCGAUUUAGAAUAUAAACAGUAGAUAAGACUUCAAGAAAUAACUCUUAACAAUACUUAAUUCAUUCUCUAGCGAUCCCAGUGCAGCGUAGCAAAAUAGUAUUUCAAAAAAUUUGUGCGACUAUCGGAUGGUGCAAUCCAUUGUGAUUUGGCUAGCAAACCACUAAUCAAACUCAUCAAAUACUAUAGAUCCUCCAAUCCUCUAAGUGGGUUUAUAUCCACACUUAUUAUUUCGUGAAGUCACGGUCUAUUAUUUCGAGUAUGGGUACAUGCUUAAUUUUCCUAACUCUCUUGAAAUGAGAAAUCAUGUAAGGAUUAUUAAAGAUGUACGAAUGUCGGGAGGGACGUUCAAAGUUACUUAUGCCUAGUAGCACCUCCGUGAAGAUUUGGACACUAUCACCACUUAAUCCCCGUGGAAACUGUACAAUGACAGGAGAGUGUAAUAAUUAUUCCUACCAACAUCAGUAUAUACUUUACAUUCAUUUGAGGCCUUUCAAUUAGCCAAGAUGAACAUAUUAAACUCAUGUUUGAUUAAAAGUAAAGGAUAACAAAUAUAAAAUGUUAAACCUGCUCAUCUAGUCGGGGAAUCAUCGUAUGACUGCUUGGAUGUACUAUCAUUAUAUGAACUGAUAAACCCCAUGACAGCUUAUCUAAACUUUCUUACUUCUAACUUCAGUUCAAAAAUAAAACAAUCAAUCUUGUUCAUCCGUUAAAUGAAAUAAUUAUAAUAAAACUUUGUCAUUGACUGUCAUCAGGAAACAAAAAUAUAACGAGACAAUGUUAAAAUCAUUUAUUAAUUUAUAUUUGAGCAAUGAAAUGAUUAUUAAUGAAAAUAUAACCUCAGAAUCUUGUGUGUCAUUAAAAUCAUAUGAGUGGUCGUCCUGGUCAACUGCAACACGCUCAUCGUCAAUGAGGUUCUAGUGCUCUUGUUCUUCCCUCAUGAUGUCAUGCUGCUUUGCUACUUCCUGUCGAAGGUGUGGUGUGUUGAUUGUAGAUUGAUGCCACACAUAGUACAUAAAAAAUGAGUAAAUAAUUGGAAAAAUUAUUGAACUUCGAUAAUGUUUUAAAGUACUCAACACCACCUACAUUAUGAACUCAUCUUGGGAAAUUUGGCACAUCAUCCUCCACAGACGUCCAAUAAUUUUACACUUUCUUGUUUGCAUCUGGCUAGAUGGUUUGUACAAUAUUCCCCUGUUGUAUAGUUGACCAAAUUUUAUGUUGGAAUAACUUUUUACUACUUACUAACAUUGCUAGUUGUUUUAUGUCUAUAAUAAUUACAAUAUGAGUGUUAUCAUUGAAAAAUGAAUGCACCACAUCAUCAGUUAUUUUUAAAGAAUUAAAUGCCUUCCACUUUAAGAUGUGGGGAAUUUACUUGUUUAUUUUCAUGGGCCACUGUGAUGUUAUCCCCCUGAUUACUUUGAAAAGCCAAGCCUACAACAAUUAAAGUUAUAUAUAUAUAUAUAUAUAAGAAUGAUUUUUAGAGCGAUCCUUUUUAAAUUUGUAGACCUUUUGGUUCAAUACAUUGUCAAUACUGUCGUAUACCAUUUACCAUGAUAAAUAACCCAUGGACAACUUUUAAAGUGAUCUAUAUCUUCAACAUAAUUCAUUAAUUGGAAAUCAACUUGACUGUGAUCUUUUCUUUCAUUCAGUACCCUAAUCGCAAACUACUAUUAUGUGAUUUUCAGGGCAUCAAUAUCAUCCAUAGCACGAAAGUUCAAAGCAGUAAAAAUCUAGCAUCCAAUUGUUUAAGUCUUUAAGAUUCAUGUCUUUAAACCUACCAUCGAAGUACUUAUUAAUCACCAUAUGUUGCGUCUUCAUAUUUUUUGGUAAGACAUUUAGACCAUUAGAAAGCCUUUAACUAGGCACCACUCUCCAAUCAAUAAACGUAUCAAGUGCUCUCAAAUUUAAAAGCAUAAUUGAUUUUCAUCAAUUUCUUCAUAUGCCAUUUGCCUAAACAAUAUGUUGUGGAUUAUGACAUCAUUGAAUGCAUAACUACCCAAGUCCAUUAAGUGCCCAAAAAUAUCACUUUUGAACAACAACUAUUUGUGCGUUAGCUUAUAUUUGAUAGCUUUGAUGGCCUUUUUAAAUUUUGAUUUCUUUGUAAUACAGCCUGAGAAAUGAUCAUCAUAGCAUAACUUCAUCACACUUGCACCUUCUUAGGUUCGGAUGGAUUACGCUUUGCAAAUUUAGUUAGUGUCUUCUAUCUGAAACAAAAUCGAAAUUUUAUUCAUUGUUAUGCAAUCUAUAAAAUUAAUAUUAUUAUUAUAUAAAUUAAAAAGUAUAUCCAAAAAAAUAAAAAAGAUACUAUGUUUUAGAAACAGAUUGUGCACAAAAACCCAUUGCACAAAAAUUCAGAAUGUGCAUGCUGAUGUUUUGUGCGACGACUUUUGUGAGAUGAGCACUCGUUGCACAAUAAAUCAGAUUUGGUUUUUGGUGCGAUAGGUGCAAAUUGAGAUUACACAUUCUAAAUUUUUAUGCGACGGAUUUGUGUGAUGUCGCACAAAAAUACCGAUGGGCUGCGAACCCAUUGCACGAAAUUCAUGAGAUAGACAACACCCAUCGCAUGAAAUUCCUGGCAACAUACAAACACUAACAGUGUCCCAACAACACCAACAACCUUUACCACCAUCACCAACAAUACCAAUAAAUACUCAGUCCUCCACACUACUAACAACACUAAUAAAUACUCAAUCCUCCACCUCCACCUCCACCACCGUCACAACAAUACAAAACAACAACAUAUAGCUACAACACAACACAAGAAUAAAAUAAAGCAUAUAUUUGAAAUUGUUAACCUGGAAUUUUUGUACUUCAACUGUUGAUUUUGGAGAUCUUGGCCGCUAUUGGAUGUGAUUUCGGUGAGAUUGGGGUUGUUGGACGUGAUUUUAAUGAGAUUGGCCGUCGAUGAUAGACUCUGAUGUUGCUCUAAGGCACCGGCAACGGGUAAGAGAAAUAGAGAAUCAAUUGGAGAUUAUGGAUAAAAAAAGGUUUGGAAGCAUUAAUUAAUUGAUUUUGGGAGCAAUUAAGCAUAUUUGCAUGUGAUGUCAAGCCAAGGAAACCGAAUUCAACAAAUUCCUUUAUCCAUGCACAUGCGGACAAAGAAGAUAAAGUGAUGGAAAACAAUUUAAAGGGACCCGCACUUGGCUUUCAUGAGUAGAAAAAGGAAUGAAAAUUCCUUUUGAAGUGCACGUGAGUGAAGCCAAAACAAAUUAAAAGGCUUUGCCAACUAGGCUUGGCAAAAUUCGGGUCCGGUCUGAGUUUUGGUGUUGCUCGGGACCGGAUCGGAUGAGUGAAACUCAAGACCGGACCCGAGUUAGAACCCGAUUUUUCUGGGUGCAGUCCAGGCUCAAGCCCGGCACCCCCCGGGCCUGGGUUUUUUAUCCGGGUUUCUAAGCCCGCAUGUGAUAAAUUCAAUUUUUUUCUUUCAUUUUUCUAACAAUGCAAAUUUUAAAAAAAGAAAAUAGUGAAAUAAACUCAUUCAAUCUCAAGCUUAAAAAAAGAAAAUAGUCAAAUACAAAUAUAUAACAUACUAACAAUGCAAAUUUUACACAAAUAAUAAAUAACAAUUGUUUCAAUCUAUUUUCUAAUACUUAAAUUCAUCCAAUUUUUAACCUAAACUCAUUCAAUCUAUAUAAAAAAAAAAAUUAAAUUCAACAACACAAUAAAUCUAAAUAACAUCCAACAUAUCAUAAAUUCAUAAUUAUAUAUUUAUAUAUAAUAUAUAAUAUAUUUAUAUUUUCUUUUUUUAUUUUAUUAAGAAAUCGGGUCCGGGUCCGGGUCCGGGUCCGGGUUCCGGGUUUUUGGUGUUGAGCCCGAACCUAGGCUUGGAAAUGUCCGGGUUUGAGAAUUUCAAACCCGAAUCUAGUUUUUUGUGUAUGCGGUCCGGGUUUUGUCCAGGACUAGAUUGCCCGGGUCUGGUCCGGGCGGGCUUUUUUGACACCCCUAUUGCCAGCACAUGAGAAUUAAAUCAAGAUUGAUUUGGGUUUUGCAUAAAUGGGUCGAGUGUUAGCCUGUGUGAGACAAUUUAUUUGCAAUCAAAACUUGACAAGGAUUUGAGCCAAUUAUAAAAGCUGAACUUUGGCUUUCGAAAAGGGCGGCAACCAGAGAAGAAGACGUAAGGCUAGGAGAGAAGAAUGAAGCAGCGGUAGGAGCAAUUUAAUUUCCAUGGCUGGUUUUGUUUAUUUUAUUGCUCUCAAUUCAAGUAUGUCUAACUAAUUUUCUUUUACUGAGGUUAAAGAUGAAACCCUAUUUAAUGAAAUAAUUAUCUUUUUAUUUAAUUAAUUCCCUAUGUAUGUUCUUUGAUGAUUAUGGUUUUUAUUUCACAUGAUUAGUUGGAUGUUAUUAAAUCUGUUCACCAAUUCUGUAAUGCAUUAUUGAUUGUUAGGAUUAAUAUUCGAUUAAAUCUAUCCUUGGGUCUAUAAAGUUUAUAUAUGGUUAUCUUUGAUUAUGUAUCUUUCAUUAAAUUGUUUACACAGAGUGUUUAGGAAAACUUUGACUCUUUGUUAUUCAAUAUGUUUACAUGGAAUGCUUAGAUAUCAUACUAUUAAGCAAAAAAAAAAAACUUACAUAAGAUUAAUUUUAAUUGGGCUUAAUUGUUAUAUCCAAAAUUGGGGAUUAACUAAUAAUUAGAUAAUUACUAGUUGAAUAGUGGUGGAUUCUGAAACCUUGGUAAUUUUUGUCUUAUUGAAUUCUCCUUUACUUUAAUUAUUUUCUUAGUUUAAUUUCUCUUAAAAAUUCAAAUUGCUCAACUAGGCUAGAAUUAAUAUUAAUUUUAGAUUUAAAUUAGAUUUUUCAAUUUAUAACAAUUCAUGUGGAUUCGACCUCAUUACCACUAUUCUAUCUCUAGAUUCGUGCGCUUGUAAGUAUAUGAAAAUUUUUCACAACAAGAAUAACUAGGGUAGUUUAGUCCAAAAAUUUAGUGUUUUGCUAGCUUUAAUAGAAAAAAAAAACUUGUGUGGUUAUUUUUAUUAUUUGCUAAACUUCUGUGGCUAUUUUCAUAAAUUUUUCAAUAACUUUGAUUGUACCAGCUCUAAGCCUCAGGCUACUACAGUGAUUAAGGACAUUAAUGGUCAGUGUCUAUUAUGAAGAUUGGUGGCUAAAGACAUCAUAAAAAAUGACAUAUUUAUGUCCAUUUUAAUAAAGAUUGGUGAUUAAGGACAAAAUAUAGGUGAUACCACUCAUGCAAAAAUGGAUUGCAAUAUAUUCAUGUCCAUUUUAAUGCAUCCCAGACACUAAUAGGCAAUUAUGAAGUGGCUUGCGAUAUAGUGUGAUAAAUUUAGUGUGAUCUAGUAUUGCGUGAAACAUUUCUCUCAUGAAGAAACAAAGGUAAUUUUCAAUUAUUUUGGAUGCAUAGCUAUUAUCUUUUUUUUUUUAUUGUGUUAAAUUUAAACUAAGCUUCAAGGUUCAUUAUUGGUUCAACCUUGCCCUUCUUAUGCUUUUGUAUAUAUCUAUAGCAAUGAUUCCACUUUCUGGCCUAGGUAUGAUUAAAUUGAAAGAUAGAUUGGGGCUUAUUUAAAGUUGACAACAAAAAGUACUAUUUUUCAAUGAUGAAAAUGCUUUACAUACAAAUUUAUUUGCCUGAACAGCUCUUGCAAUUGCUUUUGUUUAUAUUGGAUCUACAUUUGUAACUUAACAUGCUUAAAAAAUUAGCUCAUGCUUUAGAGUCUCAUAAUAGACAUGUUUAACAAUCAACAAAUGCCACUUGAAAAUAUGUAAACUACUAUAACAUACAAGACUUUGCAAUCUUCAUCUUUUAAGGGGUAUUUUUUAAUUGAAUAAGGGAAAAAUCAAAUAGUUUUACUACAAUCAAAUUAUUUUAUUUUCUCCUAUCAUCUUUGAAAUUCAAAUAGCUUUAUCAUAUGUGAACAAUAUUAGUACACUAAUACCUAGGCCUAAUAUAUUAUAUUAUUGUCUCGUUAAGCAUGUGUUUAGAUAUUAUUGUCUUUUCCAGAUCUACAGUGUGGUGACCAUAGUUAAGCUUUUAAAUGAAACUAGUCAUCUAUUGUUUUGAGUUUAACAGUGUUUGAAAGAAUCCAAGGUAGCUCCAAACACUAGGCCACUGUUUUUCUCGUCCCAAACUUUAUUAGAAGGAUAAUUGUGCUAGAUUUCUAGUCUACAUUGCAUUUAUAUCUUAUAAUCCAAUCAUCUAUGUUCAACUAAAUAUUUAAAGAGGCAUAACAAACUUUUUGUGCAUUUAGAGCAAGAUUUAAGGUGUAAACUUUUUACAAAAUCAAAGCAAAGAGUGAAGGUGCUAUCUGGAGGAAGAGUUCACCGCUGACAUAUUAUUUUUCUUUUAUAAGAAAAUUUUAAAAUUGCCAAAAUAGUUGACAUAUUAUUCCACAUGAAUAAAAAACCUUUUUAAAAAUUUCUUUGGCUAUAUGUUAGUAAGGGAUAAUUAUACUUUGUUUGUUUUGUUUCAAUUUGAAAAUUUUGAUAUUUUAAAUGGUACUAAAACUAAUUUCACAAAUGUGUAGCGCCCCCAACAACUAGGUGGUUUUUAAUAUGGGUACUUUGUUAUGAAGAUAAUAGGAUUUGAUUUUUAAUUUUUUUAAGGAACAAUGAUAAUGUUGCCUUUUUUUUUCCUUUAUACUUUCAAGAACAUGCUGGAACUAUAGAAUUUUGCUAAUGCUAAAUUUUACCAAGGUUAUUGAAGAUUGUUGCUACUGAUUUCUAGUCAGCAUAUUGAAGAUUGUUGCUACUAAUUUCUGCUUAGUCUUUAGUAUUUGUUUAUUGUUGGUUGCUUGUGCACCUAAAUAAGUUUGUGCAUCUAUUUUGUUGGAUGUUUAUGAGACUUUAAGAAUUGGUACUGUAGUUAGAUUAUGUUAAACAAGACUGUGAAUUAUAUUGUCGAAUGUUUAUGACACUUUAGGUAGUUUGUGGUAUUAUUGUUGAAUGGAGCUUAUAGGAUUGCAAAUGUAAAUUCUAUCUUUAGCUGUAUUUUUAUUUUUUUUAAUUUCCUCAAAUAAAUACAGCCACCAAUUUAGUAUCUAUAAAUACUGUUGCUCUAGAAUCAAAAUUUAGUUAACCCAAGAAUCAGAAUUCCUUUGAUAUCAUAUAAUCAAUAUGAACAUGAUAUUCUAUAAUCAAAAUAGUUUUGAUAUCAUAAUGACAUAUGAUCAUUGAUACUAUUUUCUAGUGUCAAUGUGACAUUGGCUCGAGUUUUGCCGACACUAAAACUCAAUAUUAGCGAAACAUGUUGACACCAAAAUAGUAUCAACAUAAGCCAUUUUUCCACUAAUGCUUAUGCAUCCUACAACAUUCAUUAUCAUCUUUUCGUAAUUUUAUUAAGUAGUAAUUUCAAGCUAAAUAGGAAAGAGUGCCAACAUUAUUUUUAAUUUGAAAACUCAAUGUGAAACUCAAAAUUACUAAAAUAGUAUUUAAAUCAUAUCCUUAAUAUUGUAAGAUAAUUCAAUUAUCAUAUAGUCCAACAAAUUUCAAAAUCUAUUUUGAAAGCAUACAAUCUAAUACAGUCUCUACUGUGAGAUUUAUUUUUUUAAUUCUAAUAUAUAGGCAUGGAAGAGUGCCCAAAGAUAUUUAUUUGUCCAAUGGUGAAAUAUUAUUAAUAGCCCUUCAAUUUCUCAUGUUGUAUAUUUCUUGAUUUGCUAGCUUACAAAACUAUAUGCAAAUGUCGAAAAUUGCACUACUGUAUGAAAUAUCAUGCGAUAUAUAUAUCUCAUUUGACCUUAGAUUAAUGUAUCAAAUGCCCCUAAAAUAUAGUUUACUUCAUUAGUCUACAUAUUAAUUUUUACGAAUAUUUAUAUUUCAUAUAUCAAUUCAUAAUACAUUAGGGUAAUUAUGAUUUUAACUUCCCUCCUAUUAAUAAAUAAGGGUAGAUAGAAGUAUUCAAUACAUGUGUGUGUGUAUGCGCAUGUAUAUAUAUAUAUAUAUAUGUGUGUAUAUAUAUAUAUAUAUAUCAAUUCAUAUGCUUCAAUAACUAUGGGAAAAAUCAACGUUAAUAACUUUUUCCCAUACCAUUUUUAUUAGAUAUCACCAAUUGACUUUUUACAUACAACUGACUACUCAAAAGUGCCCUUAUAUUUUUUAUUACAUUUUAUUUUAAAGUUGCAACACUUUAUAAAUGCAAAGUUUAAUUUUUAGUAACAUAACACUUCAACAAAAUUAACAUCUUAAGUGCAAUGUAUGAUAUAGAAUAAUAUAACACUCUAAAUAUGCUACAAAAUUAAUAGGAAAAAGACCACCCACACCUACAAGUUUUGCUUAAAUGGUCAUACAGAACCCCUUCAAAUAAAAAAAAAUAUAUAAAAUAAGAUAAAAUUAAAAAAUUAAAAAGUUACUUUAACACUAUUAAUUUUUCAAAUUCUUUUAAUGAAAAUAAAAUCUAAUUGACAUACUAAUAAUAGUAAAAUAAUUAUCCCUAACAUUCACAGUAAUUUAUAAAAUUUGUAUUAUUUAAUUUACAAUAUCUUCUUUAAUUUUUUCUAUAUUAGUAUCAAUCUUAAAGUCAAUUUUUGGAUUAAUAGAUUUUAGUAAAUCUAUCGGAAUAGACUAAUAAUAACUUAAUAUUAAAAAAAUUCAUUAUACACAUUAUUUUAUUAAUGAUGCUUAUUGUACUAUUUUAUUUAUAUCAUGUGAUAUUUUUUAUUAUUUUUAUCUUAUUAUUAUAUUUAUAUUUAUUUAGGUUAUUUAGUCAAAGGGUAUAAUAGUCAUUUAUGAAAUUAAGAGGUCUAUGUGAUCAUUUAUGAAUCUAAGAGGAUUUGCAUGGCCAUUUAAGCAAACCUUGGGUGUGUGGGUGGUUUUUUCUAAAUUAACAUUUAUUUUAAAAUUAAAAAUAAUAUUUACUAGCAAUCUAUAAGUUACAUGCUAUCUUUUAAUUAAUCAUUUAAUUAUCCAUUAUAUUAAAUGAAUGAUGGCAAUUGAAACACUUAUGUUGCGUUUACUUAUCGAAUUAGGGAAUCAGAAUUCGAAAUCGGAAUCAUUGAUAGUGUUUAUUUUGCAAAUUAGAGUCGGAAAUCGGAAUCAGAAUCGUGAGCACCACAAUUUGGGAAUAAGGAAUGGGAGACUCAUUCCCAAGGUAGGGUUUUGGAAUGAGUCUCCCAUUCCCAGCAAUACUAGAAUCAAUUACAUACCAGUUCCAAACUAGAGAAAUGUUAUGGUAAAACUUUGUUUGAAACGAUGUGGUAGAAAGCAAUGUGCGACUCAAAGGACAUGAUCCACUGUGGAAUUGUUUUUUACAUCCACUGUUUUCGAUUUUAUAUGAAUGGGCUCUUACCAAGGCAUUUUGCUUUCCUUCAAAAUUAAAAAUGUCCGCUUUGUCCUUAUUUAUAAUUAAUUAAUAUAUUAAUGCGUUAUUAACAAUAAUUAUUAAUAAUUAUAGUUUAUGAAUAAAUAAUCACAAUAAUUAAUAUAUUAUUAUUAAUUAUUAAUAUACUAUUAUAAUAAUUAUUAAUAUAAUUAUUACUAUUAAUUAAUAUAUUAUAGUUCUUGAAUAUAAAUUGAAAAAACUGAAAAUUUAUUAUUAUUAUGGAAUUUAGUUAUUGUUGUUGUUGUUAUUGUUAUUAAUUUAUUAAUUAUUACUAUUAUUUAUUUAUUUGUUAUUUUAAUUAUUAUUAUUAUUGUUGUUAUCAUCAAAUGACAAUAAUUAAUAAAGGGUAUUUUAAUAAAUUAUUAAUGAUAUUUUUUUAAUAUUAUUAUUAUUGUUAAUCAUUUUUAUAAUUAUAAAAAUAAAAAAUAAUGAUGAUGAUAAUGAUGAUGAUGAUGAUGAUAAUAGUUAUUAUUAUAAUUAAUUAAGGGUCUUUCAGUAACUUGAAAUAAUUCAGUUUAUUCCGAUUCCGAUUUCAAAAUGAAAUAAACACAUUAAUGGGAUUACAACCCAUUUCCAUUUCGAUUCUUGCAGCUCAAGUAAAUAACUAAUUAUAAUUCAUAUUCCUCAUUCUCAUUCCAGCUCAUUUUGAUUCCAGCCCAUCUUAAUUGUUGAUAAGUAAAUGCAACAUUAAAUCUAAAAGUCCACAAUAAUCUCACUAUCAAUGCUGUAAAAAUACAUACACUAUCAUAGAGAAAUCCUAUUUAUUUUCAUUUUUGGAAACAAUCAAUAAUUUCAUUUUAUCAAAGUGUACAUAAUAGUUCUAGCGAAAAGAGUUUACUUAACUGACACAUGGGCUGAGUUAUUAUGUCCAAAAUAAAAUACCUUAAAUAUUAUCUUUUCCAAAUACUUAAUUUCUAACUUAAAGUUGCAAUCUCAUUUUCCUUCUCCAACUCUAUCAUUGUAUUCUCUCUUUAGUUUAUGUUAACUCUCAGAUGCAUAUUUCAUAAAAAUUGACAAAACAAAUACUAUAAUAUCAGCUAAUUUAUUUUUAAAUUAAUUGGAAUGAAUUUGUAAAUGAAUAUUAAAUUUCUAUGAAUCAAUUUUCAAGACACUUUGUUUUCGUAAUUUGAUUUGAACUAUAAACACCAAUUCUUUCAUGAAAUGAUAAUUACUUGUGUUUAAUCAUAUCAAAUGUAUCUGUUUUUUACAUGCGUUUCUAAAUCAUAUGACUUGAUAAGAUUCUUUUUAAUAAUAUUAUUUAUUUACCUUUACAAAUUAAAGUGUUAAAAUUGACAAUGUAAACUUGUAAUUUAUUUUAUGAAAAGUAAAUCAAAGUUUAGAGUUUGGAUGGAGGAUAUAUUUAUAUUGUUAUUUUUUUAAUGAUAAAUUUGUGAUAUUUUUUGCCUUGUUAUUAACAAGGUCGUAUUGGAUGAAGCUAAAAAAUUUGUUAUAUUAUCUCUUUAUACAAUAACAUAAAUACACCACGCGACACAAAUUGCCACCUCAAAUUUAUCACAAAUAUUAUACUGUGACAUGAGACAUAUAUGCUUAGUUAAACAAAAAGAUAAUUAAUCAAUGUCAACAACUUUUUAGGGUUGACCUGGUAAUGUUGUAGAUUUUAAAAUAAUUGUUAUUAUUUACACUAUAGAAAUAAUCAGCUAUGAAAAGAAUUAAUAAACAUUUGAUAAAAUUUAUUUUUAAAAGUGAUGUGAGUUUUCAAAGCAAUUGUAUGCAUUAGAUAAAUUUUACUAUUAAAAUAUUGUAAGACUAUAAGAAUAUAAGUGACUAAAUUAGACGUAAUGUUAAAUAAUAUUUAUUCACACAUUUAUUACCAUGCAUAUAAAAUAUUUUUUAUUAGGUAUAUAUAAUAAUUAAUAACUAAAAUAAAUAUUUUAUACUAUUAAUUUAACUUCAUUUUUUUUAUCUUUGCAUAACUUGGAAUAAUAAUAGUUUCUUUAACGUUAAUGGUUUUAUUUCCUUAUUAGUAAGGAUAAUUUUGAAUUUUUAUAAUAUAUAUAAGAAUAUAUGUGAAAUUGUAUUAAGUAUAAAAUUAAUUCUUAAAAUUAGAUUUUAAAAAUCUAUUCCUUAUUUAUGUUUAAAAUCUGCCAAAAUGAUUUAAUCGAAAGUAAUUUUUAAAAAUAAAAUUUAUUAAAUAUUAAAAUUAAUUUGUAACUUUAAACUUUUGGAGAUUCCUAGAAGCCUUUAGUUGAAUUCGUCAAACAUCUUUUCCUAAGUUGAUUAGACAUCUUUUCGCCUCAUCCUUAGUUUAGAGGUUCGAAUCGUUUUGUGAGUCCCAACUCCCAAGAUUCCCAACAAAUAUUGGGCCGGACUUCAGGACUUGACAUAUAAUGAUGGGCUCUAUUCAUUUGUAUAGCAGCAUUCUCUUAUCUAAACAAAAUGAAAAAAAAAAAAAAAAAAAAUCCUCAAUUUCUGGCCAUUAGCAAAAAAUAAAAUAACUUUUAACACUGUUCUUCUCCCUCAUAAAAUUACUUGCAUAGUAUUUACAUGAAUAAGCGGUGAAAAAGUAGGCUAUAAAAAACCUCGCCUGCCUGGUCUGGUGUGUCUGGUCAGCACUUUAUCUUCUUCU
rnacentral:lncRNA from 1 species